rnacentral:lncRNA from 1 species
AAACGAAGUGUUUUUGUUUUUUGCUGAUUUUCAGUGGAAAACAAAAUUCAAGCUACGUAAAACUUUUUUCAUUUAUUUUUUUUUCCACUGAACCAAACAAAUGUAGAUUUUUUUUCCUUUCAACCAAACAAAUGUUGAUAGAAAAUUACUUUUUUUUUCCUACAAACCAAACACUACAAAACGUACCCACGGAAAACUAUUUUUCACAGUUUCCCGUACAACCAAACACCCCCUAAAGCUCAAUCAUUGUGGCGUCAGCAAUAUGGAGAGUAAACCAUUAUUUAUAGCAAACAUAUCACUUAAAAAGACGAGCACUUCAAAUUUCGAACUUCAAACUAGCUACCUUAGCAGAUUCUAUUGUGGAGAAGGUUUUUUCUUCUUUUUUGAGAAUGAAAUCAAAUGAUCGUCACCAUUCAUAAUACGGAAAAUCCUCGAAUCCAAUAAGAACAGCAAAUAAUCUUAAUUAUCAUACUACAACAAACAAAUUCAGCAAGAACUGCGACAAAAUAAACCUACAAUGAUUCAGCCCACCAAUCAAUAAAAUUUCGCAGUCCUAUUUGUCGGAGAAAAAUGGUAAUCAUCAAUUCUAAUAACAAUCAUAAUAAACAUCAUAUAAUCUAUAUGAUUCUAAUUGCGACGAAAAGGUACAGGGUCAUUAUCAUGGUGGGUUGGAUAAUUCCAUUUCCUUUGAACCCAAGGAUCCUCCAAGAUCAAAAUGGUUUGAUACCAACCAACCCAAUCAAUCACUUUCAUCAUUAUUAACAACAAUUCUGGUUGCCCAAAAAAACAAAAGCAAAGAAAAAUGGUGUUUUGAAAUCCUGAUUCCCAAAAAAAAAAAAAAACAUCUUUGAUCAAAAUUAAUUAUAAAAUUUGGAAAGGAAAAAAAAACCAAUCAAUCUCUUCAUCAAUCUUAACAACAUUUCUUGUUGGAAAAAAAAAAAAAAAACAGUAUGCAAAAUGGCGUUUUGGAACCCUAACUCCAAAGGGGGAAAAAAAACCAAUCUUUGAUUAAAAAAAAAAAAUAACCAUCAAAUUUGAAAAAACAACAAAAAAGAAAAAAACCUUAAUCAAUCUCUUCAUCAAUGUUAACAGCAUUUUUUUGUUGCAAAAAAAUACUAACCAAAAUGGUGUUUUGAAACCCAAAUUCCCAAGAAAAUUUUUUUGAUGAAAUUAACCAUAAAAUUUGGACAAAAAAAAGCCCAUUCAAUCGCUUCAUCAAUAUUAACAAAAUUUGUUGUUGCAAAAUUUUUUAAAAAAGAGAGAGAGAGAGUAAUGCACUAACCAAAAUGGCAUUUUGAAGCCCUAAUUCCCAAAAUAAAAACCCAAUUUUUGAUCAAAAUUAAUCAUAAAAUUUGGAAAAAAAGAAAAAAAAAAUCGAAACUUGAACGGAUUCGAGGGGGGUAGGUUCCUCACGCAGUGGGGACACGGCACGCAGUGGUGAGACGCGGCGUGCGCCGUCCAAGUGGCGGCGCCGCCCAAUCGGACGGCCGAGAUCGAGCCGCGGUGGAGAGAGGAGGAGAGGAGGAGGAGGAUGCUCCGUUUUUAUGCGGCUCUUUUAUGCGGCCUCACGUGGGAGAAAGAUUAGGGAGAGCCGUAGAAUCAAAGCGUGGGGACAAAAGAGAGGGUAGAAUCGGAAUAGUGGGAAAAUUGUAGGGGUACUUUGGGAAUUUUGGUGGUGAAAAGAGAGACUUUUUGGGUAAACAUUUAUGGUGACCACCCUCAACUAUAGGCAAAUUCAAAACAACUACCUCAACUUCUAAAUUCGUUCAUUUGAGUUGUUAGUGUUGAUCUAAAAUUUAAUAACCUACUAAUUAUUAAUUAGUUUAGUUUUAUUUGCUAAAAAAUAAUUAAAUUUAUUAAAUUUUAAAAAAAUCACUAACAAAUUUAAAAGAAUCUCCAAAAGUCUUAACUACACAUUAUAUGUUAAUAGUUUUUUUUGGGCUAAAUUACAUAAAACCCUCCUGUCUAAACCUGUUUUUUCACUUUUUCCUUCUGUCAUUUAAAAACCUACACUUUGACCCCUUAUAAAAUAAAAAAUAUUCACUUCGCCCCCUGCCGUUAGUAAUCCGUUAGGGUUCUGUUUAUAAAAUAUUAUUAUAUAUUUUUUUAUGCGAAAAAUGUCCUCAGCCUUUUCUCCUAUGAAUAUGAUGAGAGACAAAAUAGUGAGGGGCAAAAUAAUCAUUUUAUCAUCAUAAUUCACACCGUACCCUAUGUGAACAUUUUUUAUUUUACAAGGGGACAAAAUAUAGGUUUUUAAAUGACAGAAAAAAAUGGGGUUUUCGGUAAUUUAGCCUUUUUUUUUUAUUUCUCACAUUAUACUAUUUUUUCAAAGACAUUAAAAUAUCUUUUUCUUAUCAAUCUAUACACUAAACUUUAGAUUUGUUUUAUUUACUAUGCCGUAUUAUUUUUUUGACCUUACUAAACUACUAUUUUCUAGUUAGGGAUAACACUUAGGCGUGUUUGGUUCGAAGUCGGAAUCAGAAUCGGAAUCGAAAUCAAAAUAAGCUGGAAUCGGAAUCGGGAUGACUCAUUACCUAAUUUUGUUUGGUUCAUUACCUGAAUCGGAAUUGGAAUAAAUCAUUCCCAUUGUCGGUGUUUGGUUCAGGUGAAUAUAAAAAACGUAAUCAAAUUAAUAUACUAAUAUUAGCUUUAUAAUAUAUUAAUUUAAAUUCAAAUUAAAUAUUAAAUAUUAAAAAUUUACAUCAAAAUUUUGAAAUAAUGUCAAAAUUUUAAAUCUAUUUUUUUUAAAAAAAAUAAAAAUUUGAAGUUGAGUGGAUAAUUCAAAAUAUGAAACUAAAUUUUUGAUUUAUUCAAAUUCAAAAUAAAAAUUAAAAUUUAAUUUAAAUUCAAAUUCAUAAGUUAGAUUCGAAAUACUUGAUUAAAUUUUAAUUUUUAAUUUAAGUUCAAAUUAAAAUUUAAAAUUAUAUAUUUAAUUUUUAAAUUUUAACUCAUAUUUUAAUUAAAAAAGUUGAAAAAAUAAAUUUAAUCCGAAUAAAUAUUCAUUCCAUCCGGAUUCAACUUCCAAUCCGGCCUCCUAGCCGGAUUGAAAAAAGAGGUGAUUGGGGGAUUCCUAUUUCACUCGGGAAUCGGAAUCGGAAUGGGACUCCCGCGUUCCAAACACCCACAAACAAAUUUAUCUGUUCCGAUUCCGAUUCCAAGGUGAAAAAGAAGCGAACCAAACACGCCUGCAAUAUUAUUAAGAAAUUUAUUAUUUUACACGAAAACUCUCACUUCUAUAGAGAGAAUUGAGAGAAACUUGCUUAAUAGCACUUAAAAAAAAAAAGAAAAAGAAGACCUUUCAAGAUAAAUUUAUUAAAAGCUUAUAAAAAAGUAUUUCCCAGUAUUUUUCUACUAUUUCAAGCUUUUUAAAUUUUUAUCAAAAUAAACCGAAUAUAUAUCUCAGCAUUUGUAACCAAUACUUUUUAAAAUAUAGAGAUUGAUUUUUUUUAAAAAAAGAUACUUCUAGUAUCACUAAAAGAGUCGUGCUACCCAUACACCCCAUAUUGAGUUGUAGAUCCUACAACUCUUGAAUCCAACGUAUGAUAUAAAAUUUGAGGAGGCAAUUUCAUAAUAGCACAUAGUUGAGGGGUCUCUAUGCAUUUUUUACUGAAAAGUAUGUAUUGCUCAUGUUCUCUGAUUAUUAGGGGUGACACAUGCUUAACUCAAAUAAUAUGUUUUAUUAGUUUAGAAGAUUCAUGGUUUAAACGAAAGCAACCUCGCUCUCUCUGUCGUACAAUAUUUAUGAUUGCCAUAGAAUGCAUUCAAGUCAUUACAUUUAAGGGAAAAUUUCAAAAACCCCCUGUCGUUUCACAUUUUUUUAUUCUAGUAUCAUAUGGUUUAAAGUGAUUAAGUUAGUACCCUAUGGUUUCGCACUUUCUCACUUUAGUACCCUGUGAUUUAAAGUGUAUCUAAUUAGUACUCUGUGAUUUUAUUUUUGUAUCAAGUUAGUACCCUAUGGUUUUUAAACCACAGGAUACUAAAGUGAGAAAGUGUAAAACCACAUGGUACUAAAGUGAGAAAAUGCGAAAUCACAGGAUACUAAAUUGAUACACUUUAAACCACAGGGUACUAAAGUGAAAAAGUGCAAAACCAUAUGGUACUAACUUGGUACACUUUAAACCACAGGGUACCAAAGUGAGAACGAGUGAAACCACAAGGGGGUAUUUGAAGUUUUUUCUAUAUUUAAAUGUAUUAUAAGCAUUGCUGGACAUGGGGCUCAUCAUUGGGCAUUUGGGCUUCAACCUCUAGGCGGGGGCUUUUUUUGCAUUCGGCCCUUGAAAAAAAAUUAUUUUAAAAAUAACUCCAGCAAAUUUAUAUUUACAAAAAUGGUCAUAGCUCUACCACGCAGGCGCCACGUCAGUGCCACGUGAGCGUGCUGUGGCCGGUUUGUUAAGUUGAACACGAUGAAUCAUUUACCGUGUUUAGACACGGUGAAUGAUUUACCGUGUUUAGACACGGUGAAUGAUUUACCGUGUUUGAAGAAAAUAUAAUAUAUAUGUAUUGCGAAAAAAUAUAAGGAAAAUAUAUAGGAGUGCUUGAACACGGUGAAUGUGGAAUGAGAAGAAUAUAGGUAUGGAACAUGGUGAACCAUUCACCGUGUUUGAACACGGUGAAUGAUUCACCGUGUUUGGGAAAAAUAUAAUAUAUUGUAUUGCGAAAAAAUAUAAGAAAAGUAUAUGGGGGUGUUUAAACACGGUGAAUGAAGAAAGGAAUAUAGGUAUGGACCACAGUGAACCAUUCACUGUGUUUGAACAUAGUGAAUGAUUCACUGUAUUCAACUUAAAACCAUAGUGCUGAUGUGGCGCCUGCGUGGCGGGGAUAGGGCCAAAUUUGUAAUUAUAAAUUUGAUGGGGUUAUUUGUAAAAAAAAAAGUAUUUUGAGAGGGCCAAAUGCAAAAAAAAGCCCUCUAGGUGGGGUUGUCAGUGGAUACAGAUAUCUAAAAUUUUAUCAGAAUUUGAAUAUGAGUGAAGCAAGUUUAUUUGAAGCUAAAGGGAUAUGGUUUCGGAUACGGAUAUAAGAAAUAAAAAUCGGACGGAUUCGGGUUCGGAUAUAAAUUUUGUCUGAAUCUAUUAUGAACCCAAAUAACUUUUACAUUAUAUAAUAUAUAUGAAAAUUUAGUCUUAUAUCUGAAUUUGUACUUUGAUACUUAGAUUUUAAUAUAAUACGUUUGAAAUGCGGUAAAAAGACAUAAUUGUUUUAUAUUCGAUUUUGGAUGUGGAAUUUCAAAACUUGUCGGGUUCAGAUUUAAAUUUGGGUUUGGGGUUUGGUUGUCGGGUUCGGAUUCGGGUUUUUAAAACCUAGCCUGAAUCCGACCUGUUGACGCUCCUAACUUUUACUUUUUUUCAAGAAUAAAAAAGUACAGUUAAAACUAUAUGCAACGAAAUAAUAUUUUAUAUUAAAUCUCAAGCACUUCACCAUCCAAGUAAAUGGUGACCGAAAUAUGUUAUCGAAAUAUGUUAUAUGUACAUUCAAAAAUAAAUUCUAAAUAUUACAUCCAUCCAUCCUAAAAUAAAAUUAGUAGUUUUUGGAUGGAUAGUAUUCAAUUUAGGGUUAAUUACGCUAGUAGUCCCCAACCUUUUCAUCAAUUUUCACUUGGAUCCCUAACUUUUUUUUUUUGCAAUUAAAUCCUUAAUCUCUUGAUUUUAUUACAAUUAGGUCCCAACCGUUAAAAAAUCUAUUAAAAUUAACGGAAUCCUCACGUCAGCGCCUAUUUGGCAUCCUUUUGCAUGUUAAUUUAGGUUUCUAAACUUUGCACAUUUUUUACUUUAGUCUCUAAAAAUAAAAAUUCAAAAUUUUAAAUUUAAAAUCAAAAAUAAUAUUAAAAUUUUUUUGCAAUCCGCUGACACAACGCUACCGUGGUACUGACAUGGUCCCUCCGUGGCGCUGACAUGGUGCUGACGUGGGUAUUUUUCGUCAAUUUUAACACCUGUCUAACUGCUGGGACUUAAUUGAAAUGAAAUCAAGAGAUUAGAUACUCAAUUGCAAAAAAAAAAGGUUAGGGACCUAAGUGAAAAUUGGUGAAAAGGUUGGGGACUACUAGUGUAAUUAACCCUUAAAUUUAUACUGAUACUUUUAAGUGUACAGCUAGCAUUGUUCUGCUCGGCAGCGGAAAAUUGAUAUGGGACUAUGGUUAUACUCAAGAGGUUAGGAGGGUUAAGCGUGCUAGAAUUAGAAUAGUUCUAGGAUGGUUGAUUCUCUAAAAAGUGGGGCGUCACAGGUAAUAUUGGUUAAGCUCAGGAGGUUAAGACGGUUAAGUAUGUUAGAACUAGAGUAGCUCUAGAAUAGAUGAUCCUCUGGGAAGCGGGGCGUCAUAGUUAGUAUUAAAGCCAAUCGCCAGUAGGAAAUAUGAGAUGAUAUAACGGGCGGAGCCCGGCUCCCGGACUGAUGAUUGUUGUGGGUGGAGCGCCACUCUCCACAAGGUUGGCUAUGACUAGCAAGACUGAGAAGUGAGACAUCACAACUAAUCUAGUCCUAGACUCUCUCAAACUUUGGGCUUAGCUACUAUCCAAAAUACUAUAACUGAAUUAAGAUAUUUAACUAUACUAUACCUUAUAUAUGGAACUAUUCCAAAUCCCGAGGGUGUCACAUUUCCUCCUUUCCUCUUUAAGCUUUGAUGUUCUCAUCAAACUCACAAACACCAGAUGAUGUGAGACUCCUCUUGCUAGACUUAACGGAUCUUGUGGAAAACCACACUCUGCCCACAAUGACUGUCAGCCGAAAAACCGCGCUCUACCGGCUACAUGAUUUUACCUCAGCCGAAGAUCAUUUCACACUUCUAAUUGGUAAUUGACUCUGAUACUAAUUGUGACAGCCUAAACUACUCUUAAUUUUAGAGCAUGCUCAAAGCGAUUUUAAUUUUUCUCAGCCUUAUAAAGAAUUGGAGGUGCAUUUCAACAGUAUCAGACUAAUGCUUCUCCAAUGGCUGGGGUUCUAACCAUCAUUUUAUUUAGAAAAAAACUUCAAAUACAAUCCAUGUAGUUUCGCACUUUUCCACUUUAUUAUCAUGUGGUUUAAAGUGUAUCACUUUCAUACUCCGUGAUUUUAUUUUUCUCUUUUUAUUAUCCCUUCCACUAUAUUUUCGUUAAAUCAGUGACAAAGUUAAAACUAAAAGGUAUUAAAGUAAAUAUUCGAUAAAUUACAGGUGAGGUAUCUGAAAUUUUUUUGUAUAUAAUUUAAUAAAAAGUUACUGCUGACGAAAAGAGAAAAAUAAAACCACAGAGUACUAAAUUGAUAUACUUAAACCACAAGGUACUAAAAUGAGAAAGUGCGAAACCACGGGAUGGUAUUUGAAGUUUAUCCUUUUAUUUAUAAACUAUCAUAAUAUCAUCUAUCAUUUUAUUUGUAUCAAAGGAGAUAAAAAAAUCUAAAGUGCUUUAAUUUUUUUUUAAAAAAAAUCUUCCUAUAUCUAGGGCAGCAGAUAAGCUUCUUUUUUCUUUUCUUUUUUUUUUUUUUUUGCCUCAUUCCAAGCUUCUGGAAUAGAGUAGAACUGUUCAAAGGAGCACCAACAUUCUAUCAUCACAAAUUCAAAUACUAAAAUUCAAAUAACUAUUUCAAAAUUAUAAGUGUAUAAUUAGGUUAGAAUACUUUUGGAAGCUCAAAGAGAGUUUACUUUUGCAUUGCUUCCCUUAUAGAACAUCUGAACCAAUGAUUGAUAUAAAUAUAUUCUAAACUAUUUGAAGUUUCUAGGAGUGUAAUUUUAUGAUGUCAUUUUUCUGUUAUUCAAGUGGUUCAAAAUUUAACAACUUCGACUUAUAUAAUGUGAAUUUGACAUAACUAGAUCACUACGUAAACGAUGUCAUAAAAUCAUGAAAUUUGAUUUCUAUUAAGUACAAAUAGCCUAAAUUAUAUUUAAUGAUACCGAUCAUCCAUUUGGAUAUCUCAUUGCUGAAAACGACACUAAAGUAAACUCUCUUAUUUACUUCUAUAAGUAUUCUAGCCUGGCUCCAAAAAUAUUAUCAGCAUAAUAAAUAAAAAUUUCAAAAUAAACUCUUCCAUUUACUUCCAACAGGAAUGAUCAAUAUAGACAUUUAAUCUUCACCACAUUAUGGGCUAGUUUGGUUCACUUAUUUUCGACUAUAAAAUCGUAAUGAGAUUCAUUAACUCUGAUAGUUGUUUGUUUUAAAGAAAUUGAAUUCCGAUUCCCAUCCAGAGUGGAAUGAGACUUGAACCAAUUUAUUUAUGUCCCAAUCCGAUUUUGAAUUAUGUACUGACCCAUUCCAAAAUAAACCACUCAAAACCCUUCUCUCUCUUAACGAAAAUCCUAUUUCAAAAUCCUAAAUAUCCAUUCCGAUUUUCAUUCCAAUAACAAAUUAAACAUUUCUAGGUGCUUCGUCAUUCUAUUUCCUAUUCCAAUGCAAUCCAAUUUCAUUUCUCAUUCAUACUCCAAUCAUAAACCAAACAUACCCUACAAGUAAAGAGUAACAAAGCCAAACAAUUUCAACCUUGUAUAGCACAACUUGGAUGUUUAAUCGCAUGAGAAGUUAACUGAGAAAAUAAGAUGCAUUUCACCAUCAAUUCACUAAUAAACAACUCAUUACCUGAAAAUCUUCGAGCUUAUUCGGUACUCCAGGAUAUCACUCGACCGAAAGCUGAACUCACCUUAUACCCUAUAACCUCUCUUAAUAACUCUACUCUACACUGUGAAUCACCGCUGUAAGACAAAACAGAAAAUGGUUAUAUAGAAGAUGGUCCAGCCAAUAAGAUGUCGCAGCUGAUCAGUUAUUGCGUGGCGAUUGUAAAAUUGUAUCUCAAAUUCAUAUUAACUACAUAUAAUUUCCGUGGCAUCCGCUGAAAGGCUUACCAACAAGAAAAAAUAAUAGAAAAUUCGCAAGGUUUAUUAAGUCUGUAACUUACGGGCUCCAAAAGGAUCAAAAAACCUUCUCGGUCAAGAUUUCUCCCGCACGAAUAAUAAGACAAUCGGGCUCUUUGCUGAAUAAUGAAACAAUAAGGAAAAAAAAAAAGAUUAUUUGAUUACUAUUAGGGGGUUAUGUACUAACUGUUCCUACCAUGUUGCAGCAAUCAAUCUGCAGUAUCCAUUGGCUUUUUCCGAAAGAAGGCCUGGACCAAUGAAACCACUGCUAUCAGCGCAAUCUGAACAUGUUCCGAUGUGUUGGUCCUCACAGAAACCUGACCUAAUCUUCUACUAUUGAGAUUACCACUAAUAGAAACUUUUGAACCACGGCCAACUCGGAAAUCCGACUGAAAACUGCCGCCCAAAACCAUCUCUUUCUCAAAGGAGAGGAUGGUGCCCGCCAAAAUUACCUUCUCAUCCCUUACAGGAUAAUCUUUCCCCUUUAUUGUUGCCUCCAAACUUCCCCCGUACGCCACUUGACCGCCGCCCCCCAUCCGACCAGUGUUCAUUGUCAGCUUAAAUCUCUUUCCUAACGAAAUCGAGUCCUCAACUUUUGCCCCGAAGAAAUACAUAUCACCAAAUUUAGUAACGGAAAGCCCAGCUCCCAUUGUGUUGAAGGAUAAAUUGCGGAAUCUAGCAUCGCUACGAAGAGUGGAAACCAAUUCUUUACCGGCGGUUUGAAUGUCCAGUCCGCUGUGUAAGGAGUGGCCACUUGGGUCCAUGUAAUUUGCCGCACAUUCCGAUUGGAUAGUAAAAUCUUCUUUAUCCUUUCUCAUUUGUCCUGCGAGAGAAAUAUAAGUCCUUCUCUUUACAUCUCGAGAAAACUCUAUAUUGAUCCCGUCGAACCCAACAUCAUGAUCCCAUCCUUGAGGAUCCAAAACAGGCCUCGAAAGCCACUGAUCAUUACCUACUAAGCAGCGAUAUCUAUAGGCUGGAUUCUCAGAGUCAAAACUUUGAGCAAUUGCUAUAUCCAAUACUUGCAUAGCCUCUUCGGAAGGAUUCUCGUAAUCCUCACUGUCAUUUGAAGUAUCAUUAUUAUCCUGAACCAUGGCCAUCUUUUGCUUUCUAACUUCUUCUUUCCAUUGUUUCUUUAGAAAAAGAGUCUCGCGAUAGUCCAACUCAUCAAGAUAAGACUUUUUCUGAUUCUCAGAUAAUUUCUGGAAUUGGGUUUUGGUUAGUAUUCGAAUUGGAGGUAGCUGAUCGUAUUCAUCCUCAUCAUUAUCUGAGAGAUCAUCCAUUUCACUCUCCAUGCCCCCGGAAUUAGCUAAAGAAUGGGGCCUAAGGAGUGAAGAGAGGAGAUGGGGCAUCGAGGGCACUCUGUUGCUUGCUGGUGUUAAUUGAAAGCUAUCCUGAAAUUUUAGAAGAGAGUUCGCUUCGCCCAAUACCUUUGUAGCUGUACACAACAGCAAGAAUCUGGAAAUCCAAGCUUGGCCACUUCGGAGAACUUUUUCGCCUUUGUUGUUUGUUUUACACAUUGGAUGAUUCUCAACUAAUAUUACAGGAUUAUCAAGCUGAGUGCUAGAAACAGCUUGGUGUAUAUAAUGUUGAAUCAUGUUUGUCCAAUAGUGAACCAACGCUUCAUAAUUCACAGGAUAGCCGUCGGCCCCUUCAGGAAGAGGAGAGGAAGCAUGUGUCAUAACAAGAACAGUACUGAACCAGAUCGAAGAACCAAAGACUUCAGUUAUAAGCUUGAAAAGCGGAUAUUCAUUGUAAUUCCUGCCAGUGAGAUCUAGCCGCUCAAAAUAUAAAACAACAUCAGGCGGAGACUUUCGAAUGAAACUUCUAAUUUCUUGCAUGAUCUUCCUGUUUCUUCUUUGAUUACCAUGGGGAGGUGAAAGACCGGGUGUAUCAAUAACUGUGACAUUAAUUCCUUUAAUGUUUCCAGAAACUUCUUGGAUUUUGUCAGUGGAAGGUUGGAAUGGAUCAGUAAUUACCUUUUCCUGAUCAAAGAUUGCGUUUAUGGUUGCGCUCUUGCCCACACCAGUUUUGCCCAAUAAAAGAAUCUUGAUCGAAAAGUCGAGGGGGGGUCGAUUAGUUGCCUCCUGCUCUGCUGCUAUAGCCCUAGCUUUGUUGAUCUUAAGACAAGUCCUCUUUAUUUCUGAAUCAGUUGCUCGAAUUAAGCUAGCGAGGUGCAAUCUGUAUAGAACCUGUGCAACCACAUUAUUUUCGGGUGACUCUCCUAUUCUACGAACAAGGCGCAAGAACUUGAUUUGGAGAGACUCGACUCUUUUUAAAGGAUCUGCAUCCUUAUCAUCGCAUUCGUAUUGAGCAGGAUCAGAAGUUGAAGUCGAAACCAGCUGAGAAGAGGCUGAUAAUUCUGUUACUUGGUCAUAAUCGGAAUUAGCACUACUGGCAUAUCCUGUUCCCACCAUGUUAGUUCUCUCUACUGUACCUACAAAAGUCAAAGGAUCAUAAUUACUCAAGUUGCUUCAAGCCUCUAAUCUGGAGAUGGAGUCAUUGAGCAGAUCCAGCUCAUUCUCUUAAUAGAUAGUGGAUUUAGAAAGCAGGAACAGUACAACAAUUUUAUCACAACGUGAUAAUUAUAAAUUACAGGAAAAACAGAUUAAGAAAGAGAUCUUUUGUUAAAAGUAAUCAAUCAAAUUUCAACAAAAGAUUAGAAAAUAGUGACAAAGAGCAUUAGGUUUUGCACCAGUCACAAGAAGAGACAUUAUUGUAUUUCCGUGCCAAAAAAGCACCUGUGUAAGGGAACUAGGAGAAAUGAAUGGGAGAAAACAUAACAGAGGGUCAAAAUAAAGAAGGUUGACGGCUAGGACUGUCAUAUCGGUCCACAGGACAACUGUGGUGGGCAUUUGCCGACUUUGGUGUGUCCACAAUGUUGCAAGCUCAUACAUGCCUACGCAUAACAGUGCCUUUGUACUCAAUGAGUGUCAGCAUGUGCCAUGUUGAUCUCCGACGAGCACAGAAACAUGCUAGGGAAAGUAAAUCCAUGAUGGACAUACUUUGAAAUAGGAAAGCUGAUUUUCAUGCCCUUGUGAAAAAUAGAGGGAAAAAAACAGUAGUUUUCAUGUCAACGGAUUUAUCAAGAAUGACAUCCCGAGCUACAUUGCUAGCUAAUGAAUGCUCACUGUUUCAACAUGUUCAAAGCACGCAAAUUUGUCUUAGUUAUCUUUUCUCAAAAAAAAAAAAAAAGUGUCUUAGUCAUCACAACAUCAUUCCUCGUUAUGGACUAUUAGUUCAAACCUCCUAUCUUUCCUCCUUUCCUUUAAGUUAAAACAAGUGUGUUGCAAGUAGAGACCAAAAAUAGCUUCCAAGUUCCAAUAGAAACCGAGUAUGAUAAAUCAACAAGGAAAGUUAGUCCUAGAGCUAAUAAAGGAAAAGGAUUUAUAAAAGGAGGCAAAACUAAUGAGCUUAAGUUUGAUAUUAGGUUGUAAUUAAUUUUUCAACAGCCAAAACUAGGGUCAAUUUCCAAUAACAUUGAGUUCUUCUAAAAAUGCACCAAAACUAGCAAUAAGAAAAGACGAUGCAAAAUAUCCACAGAACGUCACGAAUUUUUUUGUGUAAUGGGAAUGACGAGAGACAUCAUGAUUUACAGCAGAAAUAUACUAUACCUUGAACUCCAGGUUCUCCAUUCGGAGAAUCCUCAUCAAAGAAGCUGAAAGGCCUCGCUGACAACAAUUUCUUAGAUACCAACCGGCAGAAAAGCCACUUCUUGAAAUCCAUGGUCCUACAUAAAAGAGCAAGAAAAAAUCAAUACACAUCCAGCGCAGUUCGAUAGCAACCAUAUGUUAGCGAGUAUCAACUAAGUUGGCGUUCGAUGAUGUCGAGAGUAACUUCAAAACAUAGAUUACAAAGCUCGUGGCAUAACUACAAAGCUCGUGGCAUAACUAUAAGGCCAUGAUGAUGAUAAUAAUGAUAAUGAUAAUAAAUAAUGAUAACAAUACUUUAUCUUAGUGUUCCGUCAACUGCUAUCUAAUUUCUACAAAAUGCCAUAUUUUUCUAGCAUUUACAGGAUAAACUGAACCGGAAAAUCGUUCCAGGAUUCCUCAAAUUAUCCAAUUGACAAAAUUCCCAUUUUCUCUAAUUUCUUCUUUCUCUUUAAAUACUUACAUAUCACCAAAUUCACAAUUGAUUCCGUAAAUAGAAGCAUGCGAACUACAUCAAAUACAAAGAAGAGAACGGACUUAUCAACUCUUCUGAUUCAUGAUUAGCUCGCACAGUCAUCUUCUUUUAAAAAAUAAAAGCUAAAAACAAAAAAGAAAAAAAAAAAACAACGCGUAAUCACCAGGGCACUCUAGCACAUAGAAUUUGAUUUUUUUUAUAAAAAAAAUAUAAGAAAAAACAAAAAGAAGUAUCAUACGAAGCCUAAAAUUACAAUCCCUACAAUAACAUGCUACUAAAUCUCUUCGAAUCCUUUCAAACUACUCUUUUUUGCCUUGAUUUGGCUUUUGAAUAACCAAAUUAAUCAACAAAUAAGGAGCGAACGCAGGAGAGGUUUCGACCCCAAUACCUAAUUCAAGAACGCCGCGUCCGAUUCUUCGGAUUCGCCGUGGGAACGGGGAGAUUGAAGCAUAAUAUUACAAUCUAAUUGGAGCAAUUAUUGGGCAAAUUAUAGGGGGGAUUCGAAGAUGGUGUGUGUGAGAGCGAGGGAGAGAGAGAGAAGAGAUUAGGGUUUCGUCUCCGUCCAAAGAUUGGGGAUUUGGUUUUCGCCUUCUUUUUGGGGAAAACUUCAAAAACCACCCCUGUGGUUUCGUACUUUCUCACUUUAGUACCCUGUGGUUUAAAACGUAUCAAUUUGCCCCCCUGUGGUUUCGUUUUUCUCUUUUUGUUAUCAAUUUUAUUAUUAUUUUUUUCUUAAAUCAGUGACAAAGUUAAAAUUAAAGGAUACUAAAGUGAAUAUUCGAUAAAUAUAGAUGGUUAUCUGAAGUUUUUUGUAUAUAAUUUAACGAAAUAUUAACGAAAAAGCUUCCGAAAAGAUAAAAAUGAAACCACAGGGGGGCAAAUUGAUACAUUUUAAACCACAGGGUACUAAAGUGAGAAUGCACGAAACCACAGGGGGGUUUUUGAAGUUUUCCCUUCUUUUUGUCCCGUUAGUAUUUUUUUUCUUUUUUUUUUCUUUUUUUUUUUUUCUAAUUAACGUUCUUUACUUCUUUUUCGACUUUGGUCGGAUAAAAAUAAAAUAAAGGGUUAAUUUCACUUAGGCCCCUACUAAUACAGUAAAUUGCAAACAUAUCCCUAUAAAAUUUAAUUUUUAUAUAUUGUUUUUGUAAAAAUUCGGAUAUUUUCAAAUAUAUCCCUGCCGUUAGAAACUAUUAAAAAAAAUUAGUUAAUCAUAGAUAACAUAUUUAACCCUAGUUAGUUAAUGAGGUGAAUUAAUUUUUUACUCAUUUUUAAUUAACAGUUGAAAUUUUUGGAGGGACAUAUUUGUGAUGAUAAAAAGGUUAUUUCACUAAUAAAAUAAAUAGUAUUUUAACGGUAACAAAUCAGAGAGAUAUAUUAGAAAAUAUUAGAAUUUUUUAUCGUCAUAUAUCAAAGUUGAACGUUGUAGGGAUAUAUUUGUAAUUUACUAUGUUUGCAGGGACUUAUAUGAAAUUAACCCUAAAAUAAAAUGAGGCCCUGUCCUGCAAACGGGUCGGAUUUUUCUUUUUCUAACCCGACCCUUUUCCACCCUUUAGAUCCGAAUCCAUUAAACUUUACAAAAUCGUGAGCAUCUCUCUCUCUCUCUCUCUCUCUCGCUCUCUUCUCGUUUCCUCCCCCGAGAAAUGACGAUGAAGAGGAGAUCCAUGGCGACCAUGGCCUACUCCUCCUCCUCCUCCCCCUUCCCCGCCACAGCACCUUCGCUUCUUCUCCUCCUCCUCUCUCUCAUCGCCCUCUCCUCUCUCCUCCCUCCCACUCUCGCCGCGCCAACCGGGUAGGUUUUUUCCCCCCCCUCCUUUUUUCCCCUUCUUUUUGCAUCCUUUUAAGCCCUGAUUGAUCCAUCCCCUCUUCCUCUAAGAUCAUCCGAUCAUAGUUGUUUUCCAACAUUUUUUUCUGUAUUUUUUCAGCCCUGGAGAGGGGUUUUCCGUCGCGGGUCGCGUGAAGUUGGAAGGUAUGCUACUUUUAAGUCGAUUUUGUGAUCCAAUUAAUAUUGAGAUCUGUAUCAUUUGAUUGUGAAAUUUUUGGAUAAAAAUGUACUGAGAUCCUCAGGGCCCUCCUAAACUUUGAUUUUUUUUUUUUUUGGUUUGAGUUAUUUUAAUUAGAUAAAUUUAGGAUUUUGUUAUGUUUGAUAGCUCUGUUAGUGAUUAGUUGUUAGUUGUUGCACUUUUAUUUGCUAUAAAGUAUUAAUGUCAUUAAAAUUACAGACCAACUGUUGGAUUUAGUGAAAAUCUCAAUUUGUUUGAUUGAAGUAUAAUUUAAACAAAGAUAUCAGGCAUUUCCAAAUUGCCUAUAGUUGAAGGGGCGUUCGUACCUUUUAAUCAUAGUUUCAAUGAGUGUUGGGUUCUGAUUGAUGAGAUCUGAGUAAUUGAAGUAUAUGUAAAAUUAUGAAUGUAAUUAGACUCUGUUAAAUAAUGUAGAAGUGAUGAACAUGAUUGAUAGCUGUUUGAAUAAUCAGAAGUUGGAUUUGAUGGUAGGCAAUGGAUUCUUGCAUUUCAUUUGGAGUGCUACUGAUCUCUUGUUAUUGUUUGUUAUUUGCCUUUUAGUCUUCUAUCGUGUUUAUGCUUCAUUUGCGAGCCCAAAACAAAAAAAAAAGGGAAUAGUUACUUUGUAAAAAGUUGUUUGAUGUUAUCAAUUUUUGAUUUGAUGAUAGGCAUGGGAUCUAAAGGCUUCGGUCUUCCAGCAAAGACAGCUAACACGAAGGUCAUACUGAAUGGUGGUCAAAGGGUCACAUUUGUUAGGCCAGAUGGUUACUUUGCAUUGUAUCCUAUUCCCCUUUUAAAUGGUUGCAACUUGCAUUUACUUCUCAAUGCAUGAAGUUUAGUUUUUCAGGUUUGUUUUUUCACAUCUUACUACCAAUUUGUUGUUAUAAUAGUUCUUUUUAGCUUAAGUAACUAAUAAAAUGGCAUUUGCUGCCUAAGGGUUAAAAAAAAAACAUGGUGUCUUAUGUGACCAUUAAGAAAAUUUCAUUGUAUAGAUGCAAUACUUGUCAGUUGUCUUGUUAGAUGCAUCGGGGCUCUGACAGCUUGAGAAAGACUGGUGGGGAAGAUGGAAAAGAAAGAAAAUUUAACAUUGACUUCAUUGCAACUGUGUAGAUGGCCUCGACAGCUUGACCUCACUAUUCAAGCGAUGUGCUUCCUAAUAUUGAUCGGCCCGCUAUAUUGCUAAUUUAAGUUUUUUGUUUUGUGCUCACCUAUGUGAUGCCUGUUCUUAUGGUUAAAGUGGCAUUUGAAAAUCAACUUUUGUAAGAUAAGAUGGCAGGGGCAGGUCCCUCUAGACUUGGUUUAACAACUUGGCAAUACAACGCACGGUUGGUUUAAGAGGUAGGUGUGGCUUUUGUAGAUUAAGAGUAGAUUGGUGGUAGUCAAUCUCAAGAUAUAUAGAAGCCAUGGUGGCUUCACACACAUCAUCUAUAAGUACCCUACUGUAAACCUUCAGUCCAAGUAUAAACUGUCACAUAUGGUCUUGGUUCAUGCUGUCACUUUAAACCAUGAUUGUUGGCUGUGCCUUGUUGGUAAUGCCAAAAAUCAUGAAAUUUAUCUAAGCAUUAAUUGUUCUAUUGAGAUGCUGGUCCAACCAAAUUUUUUGCUGCUUUGGGAGUUUCAACAUGGCUCUGGCUAGAGAUGUCAAGCACAUUCGCAUUCUUGUGCAUUAGCUUUCCAGCAUUAAUGCACUUGCUCAUUUGUUAAGCACAUUCUCUGGUAAGUCAACUUGAUAUUGAAAUAGUAAGUUGCUCUGGAUUUUACAAAAAAAUGCCUCAUUUUUACAGAGAGAGAGAGGGGGAGAAUUAGAGAGAGAGGGAGAUGAAUGGCUAAAAUGUUUUGCUCUCAUUAUACCCGAAAACUACGUAGGAAUGGGAUUGUUAUGUUGUAUUUUGUAAUACUACAAAAGCCAUCUAAACUGCUUUUCCAUGAAAAUAAUAAUAAUAAUAAAAUACAGCACUAGUCAAUAUACCUUGGGUUUAACAAAUACCCUACUUAUACAAGGUAACCAAACUGGGCUGUACUUUGAGGUGCAUGUUAUUAAUGUUAAUUUUUUUCCUCUUAACCAAGCAUGGAUUACAUUUGGCAUUAUUGAAUCAAAUAUCAGUCAGCUUCAUUGGGUUCUCAGCUCAAUUUAUAGUAGAGGAGCUAAAGACAAAUCAGUAGAUCAAAAUUGUUUUAUCAUUUUAUUGUCAAGACUUUAGACUUUUUCCUUGUCUAAAGGAUUUUUGGUCGGCUUCUCCUUCGUUCCACAAUUCACAUGGGCCUGAACUACAACUAAAAAAAGCACAUUGGUUUACUUGCCAAAUGCCCUUGAUUUGUUUUUCUUUCAGUGGCAAGUCCGCUAUUGUUUGAUUCUGCUCUGAAUGGAAUUUUGGCAACAAUAUUUUCAAGGUAAUUCAGGUUGACCCCCCAUAUUAAUAUCUGUCUGUUCUUUUAGUGCCUUCUCAUUUUCAAGCUGGUUAUAGCCUACACAUUAAGGUAAAUAAGAUGCUUGCCUGAUUACAAGGUUUUCCUGGUUAUAUAUUAUAAUUAUUAAAUAGCAAAGAAAAGAGAAUGGAUACUUCAUUUAAACUGGAUGCUUGAUAUGUAAAUUAUAAAACUGUCGGGGAUGUUUGCUUCUCAUGGAAUGUGGUACAACAUCCUGAUUUCAUUUUAAUCUAAUAGCUAAUUGAAAUUUAUUAGAGCAACAUGUUGUAGGACUACGAUAAAAAUGCUAGCACAUAAAAAAGGAAGUCCGGUGAGCAUAGAUGUAGCUAUUAAGCUUUGGGUCUUGCCAAUGUUGUGUUUGUAUAGUUCUUUUUUACUUAUUAAAGCUUUUCAUGCAGUUGGUUAUGCUGAAACCUCAAAUGCAAAAAGUUUGUUGGUAAAUAUGCAGUAGAUUUCAUUUAUCCACUAAUCAACAUAUAGAAUAUUUGCUUCCUUGAAAGUUUUUUUUAGCUGUGAGUCUAUCAGUAAUCUUUUAUGGACAUAUUGAUAUCGCAAUAUUUAAAUCAUGUAUCAAUCGUGUAUCUGAAUGGUUAGUGUGAUCUUUUUCUUAGUUGGCGAGAAUAAUCUCAGCCAAUUCUUUUGGUUCCUUGACCUACAAUGCUGAAGCCACAACGUGCCAGCUGGUACUCACUUAAUUGAAGUAGUGUCAUUGGGUUAUUUCUUUUCCCCUGUAAGUGUCUGACCUUGUUUUAUUGCAUUAGUGAUUGGAAUGUCAUAAAAAAUUUGCAACAUAACUUUCUUCCCCAUAUACCAGGUUCGUGUUGAUAUCAGUGCCAGAAACCCUGGAAAGGUUCAGGCAGCGCUGACGGAGAAUAGAAGACAUCUGAAUGAGCUUGUUUUCGAGCCUUUAAAAGAAGAGCAGUAUUAUGAGGUUGCAGAGUGUUCACUUUCAAGUUCCAUGAUUUGCAUCUCUUAUGUAACUCAAUAUAGCUUAACUUUUUUCUAAUUAUUUUGCAGAUGAGGGAGCCUUUCUCCAUUAUGUCUCUUUUGAAAAGUCCAAUGGGUAUGAUGCUGGGUUUCAUGCUGGUUGUGGUGUUCCUAAUGCCGAAGUUGAUGGAGAACAUAGGUAAUGUUACUGAACCUUCUACAACCGACAACUUUUAGAUCAUAAAACAUUAUUCCCGAUUACUUAGCACAACACACAACAUGAUUGUGAGUAUUCUGAUGAUAUGAUUAUGAUAUUUCCCCUCUGAACAAAUAGUAAGUAUCAUGCUAAAGUAUCAUGUGAACUUUGGUACUUGACUACACACAAUUACUCACCCGUUUGCAUAUAUUAGCCUAACAAGAUAAACGAUAAACCAUAGACUAGAUGAGCUAGAACUGACUAAAGAAUAAAAAUGGCCAAAGAAGAGAACUGAUUAACUUACAAAAGGAUAAAAAAAUAAUGAACCACUGCAAUAUAAAUAUUCCACUUGAAUCAUGAAGUUAAUAUGGUCCGCAAAAUAGGUAUAAUAACUUGCCCUGUUGUAUUAUCACGGAAAAGCUAGUGGUAUGGAAAUCACUUAUUAACCCCGAACAUGGCAAACAUCCUAUAGUUUUCUUCUGCUAAUGAAUUUUCUGUUUACUUACAAUGUUUCGAUUAAACUCAUUAUCGCAUAAUCUUUGCGAUUCAUCUGACCUAGUUACUGCUAAAACUUCAGUUACUAAUUCCAUCAUUUCGUCUGUUUCCUUAUUCCACAUAUUGCAGAAAUAUUUGGUAUUUUUCCGAUGGAAAUUUUGUUUUUGUCAUAAUUUAAGUGCAUCAUUCUACGCUAAUUAAGAUUAUAAAAUAUAUAUGUUUGCUACCAUGGGUAGCUAAGCUUGAUAACCAAUAGUUGAUCGACUGUAUCUAGAAAUUUCGGUCUAGUUUCACAGCAGAACUUUGCAAAGUUUUUCAGUUUGAGACACGUGGUUGGAAAAUAAAUACCAUUUAAUCAUACAAUGGGUUGCUCAUUUAAACUUUGUCGUCAUGGUUUUACACAUCACAACCAUCUUCGCCAGGGAGGUUUUCUACGUUCAACUUUCUCACUUUCGUCAGUUGAUUAAAUGCAAUACGUAACUUCGCUUGGUUUGAUAUUCAGAUCCGGAGGAACUUCGGCGCACCCAAGAGGAGAUGAGGGCCCAAGGAGUACCUUCUCUUUCCAGCUUGGUUGCGAGGAACACCUAGAUAUUAGGAUUCUCUUCGAGCAAGCUCUUACGGUGUCGAUGAGCAAGAAGAUCUACUCCGGCCCGAGGUUUCCACUCUCGCUGAGCUCGAAGCUUGAAUCUUUUAAGACUGCAGUUAAUUGUACUUCAUUUGUAUUAAAGAUUACGUGGCUCUGUGGUCACAAUACAAGGAUACUUCACAUCGAUUUUUGACGGAGCUGAACUAAUUUUGAUUGUUAAAAACUACAGGAACUGAGGAUUUAGAACAACCACUUUCCCCCGGAAAGGUAAUCAAUCAAGUUGUUGCUUCUUUUCUAAUUUUUUUUAGCAUAUGGUAUUAUUAUUCAUUCUAUUUUUAAAUUGUGUACAAUGUACAAAUUUUCUGCGACACAGUUUCCCUGGCACGAGCAAUUUUUAUGUAGUUUGGCCUUUUUUUUUUUUUUUUCUUGUUUUCUUUUUUAUUUGGUUGUGGGUGUGGAGUGUCGGUUUAAUUGCAGUGCCAAAAAGAAAAUUCUAGCGUUUUAGAUUUUAAAAUUUUCUAUCUGAAAAAUUAAAAUUUUGAAAAAUGGUGUUUUUUUUUUGUGGAAAACUUAUAUUUUUCAAAGAAGAGGAAGAAGAUUUUCAUAGUUUUCUGAUGAACCAAACACCCUGUAAGGGAUUAUGUUGUCUUGAAUUGAUUGAUUGGUCCACUCGUAAUUGUUUCUAUUCUAUCACUUGUUAUUGUUUCUAUCCACUGUACUAGCAUGUUAUUAAGAUGCUGAAGUUUAUUAAUGUUAGGGAUUUGAUCAGCAGCUGGGAUAUUUUUCUUUUUUCAUUUUUAAUAGAGAGAGCCUAGAACACUAUUAAUAGCAUUUUUAAUAGAGAGAGCCUAGAACACUAAAAAUUGCUGUAUAAAAUAAUUUUUCAUAUUUAGGUGUUUGUUUCAGUGAUCACCGCAAUUAAACAUGAUCUAGAAUGAUUGAGCUUUUUAGAUAUUGAGCUUUGUGAGUUUUUGAUGUAAAAAAUGGCAAUUUAAUCGUCUAUGUUUGGGUGUAUUUUUUUUGUUUAAUGGUGCUAGAAUUAUUAUUAUUAUUUUUUGAGAGAUAGGUAGUACGCUACUCGCUUCGUUUAUUUUAUUUAGAAAUAAACUUAGCUGGAAAGUGAAUCAACUAGGAUUUGAACUUGGAUCUCGGAUACCAACCACUAAGUCCUUUGCCACUUACUCUGGAGACGGUCGGUUAACGGUGUUAGAAUGAUCCAAAUCUGUCAGAUAUUGGAUGGAAUUUAUUUUUAAAUAUUUAGAAUAAGACCUACAACUCUGUUCUUGGAUUUAAGUUUCAUAUUUUCCAUUCUUAAAAGGUUGUUUAACUUUGAUUGUUAAAUUUUUGAUAAGGGGGUGUUUGGUUGUAUGUAAAAUCAUGAAAAUUACUUUUUUAUAGAAAAAAAGUGUUUAGUGGAAAAUAAGUUUUACGUUUUAUAGUAUUUGGUUUGUUUGAAAAAAAAAAAUAAUUUUUCAUCAUCAAUAUUUAUUUGGUUGAAAAUAAUAAUAAAAAAAAAUCCUUAUUUGUUUGGUUCUGUGGAAAAAAAAAAAUGAAUGGAAAAAAUUUUACACAGUUUGAUUUUUCGUUUUCGGUCGAAAAUAGGCCGAAAACGAAAACACUUCAUUUUUCUCAAAUAUAUAAAAAUAGUUUUUUUUUUUUAAAAUCCUUUUACAGAUAAACAAACACGCAAAAAAUAAUUAUUCAAGUCGAAAAGUAAUUUUCGGUACAUUUAAUGGCAAACUAAACACACCUUAAGUCGAUAAUUUAAAACUAAUUUUCAAAAAAUAUAUAUAUAAUUUAAUUUCUAAAAGUUUUGGAUUAAUCUACUGUGGGGAUUGAUAAAUGGAUUGUCUCAUCACCUCGUGUCUACAACUAUGCUAAAUAUACACCAAAAGAGAGAGAGAGAGAGAGAGAGAGAGAGAGAGAGAGAAAGAGUGGGAUUUACUCCAGAAAAAUAUUAUUUGCAUAUCCAAAAGUCAACUGUAAACGAAACUUUCGGAGAGGAAGGAAGUGGGGUGGAAGUAAACGAAAAUUUCGGAGAGGAAGGAAGUGGGGUGGGAGUGGAGAGAAGUUAUUUUCGCCGUAAACGAUUACUUCUGUUGUUUGAUUUGUCGUAAAAAAAUUACAGUCGAAACUUGAGUUAACCUGAAACGGCGCUGAUUUCGACCCACCGUGGGCCGAAAUCAAUUACGGUAAAAAAAAUUAAAAUAAAAUAAUAUACUAGAUUAAAUAAUUAUAUUUAAUUUAGUUAUGGUAUUAAUUGCUCUUUUAUUCAGUUGGCAUAUUUAAAAUACGAUAAAAAUUGAUUAGUUAAGUUUUAAUAUUUUUUUAUUUAGUUUGUAUAAUUAAAAUAUGAUAAAAAACAAUUAAUUAAGUAUUAAUAUUUUUUUACUUUAUAAUUUUAUUGUUGUAUUGCUAUAAUUUACAUAUAAACAAAUAGUAUAGUUGUUUUAAAUUAAAUUUUAAUUAUAUAAAAAUAUAAUUAUAUUAUUUUUAUUUAUUAAAUUAUUUAUUAUUUAUAUAUAAAUUAUAAUUUUAUAUCAUACACUUUCUACCAGAUAAUAAACAGUAGAACUGAUGAAACUUUACUUCUAUAACAGCCAAAAAAAAUAGCGGGAAAGAAAUAAUUUUUACUGAACUCUAUUUCAACUCAAAAUCUAUUUCAAUUCAAAAUUCAAUUCCGAUGAAACAAACAUGUCUAUGUCUAUCCAUACUGUCCAUUGAACCCUCCAAGAUAAAGAGCUUUCUAUGGGAAGAUAUCUUUGGGGCCCAUCCAAAGGCAAGGAACAAAAACAUUAGAUGAGAGAGAGAGAGAGAGAGAGAGAGAGAGAGAGAGAUAGGAAGAGGCCCAUCUCAUUCUUUUGCAUUGGAAAAGAUGAACCACAAAAUAUUGAUAUGCUUCCAAUAAAACUUUAGUCGAGAGCUCCCCAACAAACGUCUCAUUAGAAAGUUCUCGAUCGACUAUUACAUAUUAAUUUUGCCUCCGUCUGAUAACUUAUUGUCUCAUUAGAAAGUUCUCGAUCCACUGUUAUGUAUUAAUUUUGCCUCCGUCUGAUAACUUAUUGGAUGUUUUUUAAUACUAAAACUCAACCCGAAAAAAAAAAUACGCUCCCCAGAAAAAAAGAUUAUAAUUUUUAGAGAAAGAUAGAAGUGGCACACGGCGAUGAAUUAUAGCUCCUUAACCAGGCGUCAGUGAAGAGCUCCCCACUAUUAUUAUUAUUAUUAUUAUUAUUAUUAUUAUUAUUUAUUUUUGUAUAUUCCCCACCUCCUCCCUAAUAUUAUCCUACUAUUUAAGAUUCCAAAAAAUGGUCCUCCUCUCAUAAUCCUAUGGCCCUUAGUUUUCUCUCCCAUUAUCCCUUUGCCCUAAAAAAGGAAAGGGAAUUUUGUUGUACAACAUCCAAAGUCCCUAACUACCCUGACAACUCUCUUAUCUUCUUUGAACCAGUUGGGACUUGGGACCAUUAAUUGUGAGCUCAUUUGUGGUUGGUCCUUGUACUAUUUCUCUAUGGCAAUAUGGUUUGUGUACUUUUUUUUUCUUUUAAGGCAUAAAUGUACUAAACUUAUCUGACCUAUUCAUCACUCAAAGUCGGUUACCUAAUUUUUCAAAAUUUUUUACUUUGCGGUUCAACCAUUUAAUUUGUUUGAUUUGAAUCAGUCAAUGAUAGUUUGAUUUUAAAGUUUAUAGGCUAAUUACUUAUUUUACUGAAUUUACAGUGGUGAGAAUUGUACGAAACAUAAUAACUUCAAAUUUGAAGUUACAGUGUCGUUGACCGACUCAAAUCAAACAAAUUAAAAAGUUGGAUAGUAAAAUCAAAAUUUUAAGAAAAAUGGAUAGCUAAAUCAGAAUGAUCUGUAGUUCAAAUAAAUUUUGUAUGUUCUUACCUUAGUUUUAAGCUCUUUGUUUUUUAAAAGCUUUCGCACAUUCCAAUUUAGUUUGUGAUUAUUAAAAAGUAUUAGACUUUUAUUAUAGAAGGGUUAAUUUCACCAUUGGUCCCAACUUUUCUUUCUUUUUUUUUUCAAUUAGGUUUCUAACUUUUACUUUUUGCUUUAGUUAACUUUCGCUGUUAAAAACGCUGUUGAUUUUAAUAGAAAUUACUACAUCGUUGCCGAAUGAGCACCAAACCGUGUCUCGUGACAGUUUUCAUUAGAAUUAACGACAUUUUUAACGACGGUCGCUUAAUUUGACCUAGUUUCGGGAAAAAAAGAUUGGGGACAAAAGUGAAAAGCUUGGAAAAGAAUAGGGACCAAUGGUACAAUUCACCCAUUAUAGAAUGAUACUUAUUCUUGUUUUAAGAAAGCUAAAAUAAAUGAAUUAUUUAUGAUAAAAAUAAAAUAAAAUGCCCAUUUUAUAUUAAAAAAAAAAAUAGGCCAUUUUUUGACGCCCAGAAAUGGCAGCGAAUAAGAAAAAAAAUCUAAAAUGCAACGGUCAUAUUGUUGAUGUAACGCUCCCUAACCAAUCAAAAAGCUUUCGAUUUACCGAUCUCUAUGGUUUUUAGAAAAAAAAAACUUUUAUUAUAUUUUUUUUCUCAAAAAGAAAUAUGUGAUUAGUUGGGAAUAGACGAUGUAGUGUAAGCGUUAUGUAAUGGACUUCCUCGCGGAUAAGGAUGUCAAUAAGUCGGAUUCGAAGUGGAUUUUCAAGAACCAGAACCCGAACCCAACUACCAAACCCGAAAUCCGAACCCUAAUCCAAAUCAAACGAAUUUUAAAAAAUCCAUACCCAAAAUCCGAACCCAACCAAAAAUUCAAAACCCGAACCCAAGUCCGAAUCUAAAAAUUCGAACCCCGAAACAAUUAUUUCUCUUUACAAUAUUUCAAAAUUUAUCAUAUUAAAUCUAAAUUUUUAAAAUAAAAAUUAAAAUAUAACAUCAAAUAUAUAUAUAUUUUGUAAUGUAAAAUAAUUUCGGAUUCGGAUUCGGGUUCGGGUGCUGGUUCGGGUCGAGUACAAUCAAAAUCCAUAUCCAAAUUUAAAUCCGCUGAGUUUUCAUUUUUGAUAUUCGUAUUUGAAGAUAUAUCUAUUUAGCGUGGAAUAAAUUCACCCUAUUUGGAUUCAAAUUGAAAUUUAAAUAAAGUUUUAGAUAUCUGUGUACAGUGACAUCUCUGCUCGCGGAUAAGAGACCGCAGUCUGCCACAAUUUUAAGAUAUGAUGAUUGUAAGAUUAGAACCUGCCACGAUGCAGCAGCCGGCCAAUCCUUUUAUUCGAAGCUUCAUGACCACAUUCUGCCAUGGAUUUAUUUCUUGCGCUAAAAUACAAAAAAAAAAAAAUCCUCUAUAGAUAUUUAUUUAUUUUUGCUAAUUUCUUUUUAUUUUUUCAAAAAUUAUAUUUGCGUUCUCAAAAAUUUUGAAAUAUUUUAAAAAAUCUACUAUAUUAAUAUAGAUAUGAAAUGACGAAAUUAUCUAUCAUUUUUAAUAAUCUUUUGGAUAUAAAAUUAUAAGAAAUUGAGGAAAUAGUUACGAAAUCCUGACGGACGGAGGAGGGCUAAAAAUCAGAGAAGAAAAAUAAAAUAACGAAUAUUUAUAAGGAAGAAAUUGGAAUUUAACCCAUUAUAUAAGACGGGAAUUUAACCCAGACAAAAAGGUUUACGAUUAGCUCUGAUACCAUAUUAUCCAAAAACUUAAGCUAUUAGAAAAUAAUAUUUUAAAUAUUUAUAUUCGGCAUUCUCUCUAACGUCUGGAACGAGGCGUUUUAGUAGGUUCAAGAAAUUGACUUAAAUUUCUUGGAAGGAAAUUAAAUAAAUAAACUCGAACUCAAGAGCUGCUGCUUUUAAUACCACGUUAAAUUAUAUGAAACCAUCGUCUAAACCCUAAAACUUAAGCUAUGGGAGAAUAAUAUAUAUCCCUUCUUUCUAAUUUGACCUUGAACUAAUAAGUUGGGAUAAUGGAUAAUAAAUAUUAUCAGUAAUGCAGAAACUUUAUUAUUCUUGAUAGGGAAAAAGUAAAAUUGAUUUUUUUUUAAAGAAAAAAUAAAAUAAAUAUUUGGAAAAUUCAAAAUAGUUUCAAUUGAUCAACACGCGCAAACUAUUACUAUUACAAAAUACAACAUCUUUGUGAUAUGAGUAAUUAGUUUUAUCAAAUGAAUUAAUUUUUUUGGCAUUGUGAAGGUCAAAGGGAGAGGGAUUAAUUUGAAUUUAAAUUCUCUUGUCAUAGCUGUAAAAAGACAACAAAAUAAAAUAUAUAUGUAUAUAUAAUUCCAAAUUGGCAAAAACUACUCUAAAAUAACAAAUUCCCAAAAUAAAUAAAUAAAUAAAUAAAUAAAUAACAGGUGCAUGUGUUUUACAACAGCAAACUUGUGCUACUGUAACCCCCCCAUGUGAUGCAAAUAUUUUAUUUUGAGUUGUAUAUUCACCUAUAUAAGUAAAUAAUUAUGUAUUUGAAAUUUAUUACUAAUAUCAAAAUGAGAAUUAUUAAAUGUUAGCAUAUUUUUUGGAAGUUUAGAUAUAUAAAUAACUUAUAUAUUUGUAUAAACUUUAAAACGGUAGAAGAAACGAAGAAAAAAUUUUACGCAGGGUCGAUGGAUAUUUAAAAACUAGCAGAGGAAUUUUUUUUUUUUCAAAAUAAAAAAGUAUUGAAGGUUUAAAGGAAUGUUCCAAUAGUUUUAAAGUUUCGAAAAAUAUAUGAAUUAUAUUUAAUUUUUUUAAAAAAAAAUACUAGUAUUUAGUUGCUAAAAUAACUACAUAGUCCUUCCUAAAACUUUGGUUGAUUAUAAUUAAUGAUUCAAAGUUUAAUCAUAAAAAAGUAAUCUCUAUAUAGCUAUUAAUUAUAUAUAUAAAAAAAAAGUAAUAAAAUGUAGGCCUGAUUGAAACAAAUCGAAUUAAAGUUCAUAUGGUUUUUUUUUCUUUCAUUAUUUUUUAAAUUUCAAAUGGUUGAGUAUAAUUGCAUAUUUGGUGUCUAAGCAUAUUAUUUUAACUUAUACUUUUAAAAUAAUAUUUGCAAAAUCAAAAAGUGCUAAUUUAUUUUAGAGUUUGUUGAGGGGAAUAUAAAAAUGUCAUCUUUGUAAAAGAUGUAUGAUAGAAAUAUUAUUUGGAGUUUUAAGGGUGUGGACAAAGCUCUACUUUCUUUUCUUUUUUUUUUGAGAAAAAUGUAGCAUGCUACCCGCUUCAUUCAAUGGAACGGUAAAUUAAGCUACAUGGGUGAGGCAGCAAGGCCUCAAUGGGGGCGAAAAAAAAAAAGAAGAAGAAAAAGAUUAACCAGGAGCUGAUUGCUCCCAUGAGUUUGUCAACAGCGAGAUCUUCUGCACCAUAAGGUUUCGGUUCGGGUGAGUCGACUGGAAGAUUACUCCGUUCCGUGCUUCCCAAAUGACCCAAAUGAUCCACCAGCACGCAACUAGUGCAAAUAACCGGGUACACAUCAAUGGUCCACCCGUGCUAGCCAUCAGUCUGUCCCAGAGAGAAUGGACAUCCUCCCCCCGGUCCGAAGGUUGGAGUAAUUCCGCGAACAUCACUCGGAGGAAUCUGAUAAUGACGCACUGUGUGAAUAAGUGGUCGACAGAGCUCUACUUUUUAGUGUGUUAAUUAGUGGUGCUCCCUAUUUGUGGUUUUUCUAUUUGAAAAAGAAACAUGAAAACCCCACAAUAAUAAAAUAAUUCUAUUAUAAGAUCUUUUUUUUUCUUUUUUCUUUUUUUGAAAACUCUUUUAGGAGUGUUUACAACAAGAUCUCCUUGGUCAUUUUCAUACUUAACAUGCACCCAUUAAUUCAUUUAUUUUGAUUGGUAACUUCUCAAGAUCUAGUUGUUUUGAUUUGGAUUGUUUUUUUUUUUUGAAUUAAAAGUAUUAUAUAUUCAUUAUAGUUAAAAUUCUACACAACAACUAAUAUAAUAGUUCUAAUCUAGUUAAUAGAAAUUAGUAUAAAUUACUAAUUUUAAAUUUUUAUCUCUAUAAUUACUAGUUUGAUUGAUUUUUGGAACAACUUAUUUACCAAAAAAGAAAAAGUAGUAUAUUUUAUAAAAAGAAUUUAAAAAAAUCUUUUUUUUCCCUAAUAAGUAGAAAUUUUAAUUCGAAUCUUAUGUGAAAACUAGUAAGAGAUUUUAAUAAAACAUCACUUGCAGUUCCUUAGAAUGUUGUUCCAUGCACCUCAUUUUGUCUCUUAUUUUACAUCAACUUGUUAUUUAUUAACAAAUAGACCCUUUUUUUUUUUCUUUUUUCAAGUAGAUGCACCAUCCAUUUUUCUAAUAUAAUAUUCCCUAGAAUAUCACCACCAAUUAAUUAAUUAGCUAGCACAUGCUUGACUUAAAUGGAGCAAUUAAUUUGUAAUAAAAUAAGGAUAAAUUACACUUUUGGUCCUCAAGCUACGAGGUGCAUGACACUUUAGUUCUCAAACUUUAAUUUUAAAUGUUGUAUAGCUUUUACAUUAGUAAUUCAUCAAUAUAUAGUCGAAAAAAUGGAUUGCGGGGCUUGCGUUCAAUACUUCCGAAAGUUUGAGCCAAAAAUGAUAAUAAAUUAAAGUUUGAGGACUAUAUUGACUAUUUAUUAUUGGUUAAAAAUAAGUCGAACUUUCUGCUUCGUGAUAAUAGGCUUAAGAGACUAAUAAGUUGGGUUAAGUAAGUUCAAUAAAUUUUGUGAGCCGACAGUUCACAAUAAAGCUAAUGGCAAGAUACUGAAUAAUAGACUUAAUUUUCAGAUAGGUUGAGCCGGUUCAAAAUCUGUGAGCAGUAUAGCUGAGCUUUUAAAUGCGACAAAUGUGCCCUUUCUAUCAGAACGUGUUAUUGAAACAGUUGGUUAGCGCGUACAAUUUAUAGACUAAAGUGUCACACGUCCCAUAGUUUGAGGACCAGAACUUAUUUUAGCCAUGCCAUAAAAUAAUAAAGCAACAUGGGUUGCUUGUGGGCAUUACUUAAACCAAUUUAAUUUGAUUUGUGGGGUGCCAAAUUGAAUUGGUAUGAGUCUAACCAACCUCAUUGAACUGAUGAGCCAACCACAGGAGGGAGAAAAAGGUAGGUUUUCUCAGCUAACUCUUAUUAUUAGUUAAGACAUGAACUUCCCAACUUCCAAUCAUAGAGUUGUUUUUUUUUUUUUUUUUAAAAAGAAAAAUAUAGCACGCUACCUAUUUCAUUCAUUAGACUGAUGAAUUAAGCUACAAGUGUGGGGCAACCCGGCCCCGAGAGAAAAGAAAACCGAAAAAAAAAAAAAGAGGAACUAUGCGAGAAGAAAGGAACUAUGUGAGAAGAAAAUCCCACUCCUUCACAAAAAGUUUGAGUCUGUGGAUCGCGAGUUCAGGGUUCGGAAGGAUAUUCCGAAAGAUUGUGUCAUUUCUGACCUUCCAAAUAAUCCACCAGCAGCCUACUAGAUCUGUAAGUCUGUUUCGCUUCUUUCGGUGGUCCUUCUUGCCCCCCAUCUAUCCCAAACGAGAUUCACGUCGUCCCGCAAAUUAUCAGCCUAAAUAUCGUCACCCCUGUCACUAUCCAAUCAUAGAGUUGUUGGUACUCUCAAUGGUGUGGAGUGGGAAAAAUUUUAGAAUCACUAAUUAUAUUAGUGACAUAGUGUCCCCAACCAAUUAAAUAAUUUUUUUAGUUUAUUUGUUCCAUCAUGAGUAUAAAAAAAUAUUUUUGUUAUACUUUUUUGUUAAAUGAAGAGAUUUAGUUGGCUUGUUAUUAAUGAUGUAGUGCAAGUGUGACACAUAAACUUUCUCGUGAAGUAGCUCCACCCUCACAUAUGGAUUUUUUUUUAUUUAUAUAACGAUCAAACCUGCUAGCGAUAAUAACUCGUUUGUUGGAUUCAAACUAUUAGCCCAAAAUACUUAAGUUCAAUUAUUACUAAUAGGGUGCGUGACGAUGUAAGAAUAUUAAGGUGUUGUUGUUUAUUUAGAUGGUGUUUGGUUCCUUAAAAAUCAUAAAAAUAUAUUUUUUAGAAAAAAAAAUUUGGAAAAGCAUCAUGAAUAGGACACUUUCAUGAAAUCUAGAAAAUAAUGGAAUAGUAGUCUAGUAGAUGAUCUAGGGGUUGAAAGGUUAUAACUAUGUGAAUAAUAAUACUUUUAGAAAUAUUCUAACUCAACUAGAAAUAUUUAUGAAAGUCUUAGAUAUGAAGGAAACAUCCCUCCACUCAAUGAUUGAGAUGAACUUUCUACUUGAUUAAUUGCACUUGAUUAAUUGUACUUGAUUUGAGAUGGAACUUCAUUAAUUGUGUGCUUGAUACAUUUUGUGUUGGUUGCAUGUUCUGAUUCAAUUGCAACAAAUAUUUUGUCCCUUUUGUUUACAACAGGUUUCAUGUUAGUGAGGGUAGUUUACUUCCAUGUGGUUUCUGGCCGUAGAAUAUCUGAAUCGACAAUCACCUCUGUUAAAUAUGAUCGAAGUUGUUUAAACAUUUUAGAAACCAAAUUUUCAUGAUUUUAUGAUAUCAUUUGCCUAUUAAUUAAGUGGCGUCAAAUUCAUUUUAUAUUAGCCAUUAAAAAUUAUCAAUUUUUUAAACUACUUAAAAAUUAGGCAAAUGAUAGAAAAAAAUAAUAAAAUUAUGAAAUUUAAAAGUUUAAAUAUUCUAGAGCAUAUUUAAUAGUGUUGAUUGCCGUCCAUGAAACUAAUGGCAAUUUUAGUGGUUAAGUUGCUGUCACAGCCGUGCAAAAAUUGUCAUUAACUCCUAUUGGUAAAUAACGCAGUUCGACAAAGAGAUUGGUGGUUGAGACCCGAUGUCUUAAAUUCGAUGAUUAAUUACAUCACAUUUCUAACUGAGCUCAUUUUUAAAAGGUGAACCAUACAGAUUUUUUUCUCUCUCUCUCUCUCAAAAAAGAAAAAGAAAAAAACCUCCUAUUUGUAAACACCUAAAUAGUAGUCAAAAGUGGGAAAUAAAAAAAAAAAAUCUAUUCCAAAUCUGUCCAGAUUCAUUAAUAAAUAGAGUGGAAGGCGGAGGACCAAUUUUUUCUCUUCAUUCGCCUCGAUCUGUCAAAAAAUUAUCAAAAAAUUCUCUUAUUCCGAAUGAAAUGAUAAGUUGGAGAAAACACUAAAAAGACACAAAUCAAUUCGCCUCAAAUAUGCCCGAUUGGUAAGAAAACAGGACGAAAAGCGCGGGACCCUCCCAUCCCCGGAUUGGCCCCCCAUUCGUAAAUUAUGAUUACGAGGAUCUUGAUUGUGUGGAUACAUAUUUCUAGCCCUAUUUUUUAUUAAAUUAAAUUUUUUAGAUAAUAUGGUAUCAGAGUCAAUUCUAAACUCUUUUAUUUUAUAAGAUUAUAAAUUCAACCGCCAUCUUCGAAAUUUAACAUGUUUCUUAUUAGAUUGAUCGUAGUUGAAGCUUUCACAUCAAAACAACCUAUAAUGGAAGGGGUCAUAUAAAGUACUUCUAAGCUCAAUUAAGAUGCUCACUAAAACUAGAUUUGACUAACAUUAAUCCCAUCUACCAUUUUAUCACACGCUUGACAUUAAAACUAGAUUUGACUAACAUUAACUAAAUAAUUAUAAUUAAUGAGAAUUGAUGAACCUUAUAAAUAGGGUUUCAAGCAAUGAUUGAAAAAUCAGGUCGGAUUAGUCGGUUCGACAUGUCCAAUCGUGACCCAGUCUAUAAAGUAGUUUGAUUCAAUCUUUUGAACUGAGUAAGUUAGUAGAACCACUUUGAACCAUUCGAAUCAGUAGGUUCAACUAUCAAACUAGUGAAUCAAUUUAGUUAUACUCAAACCGGCUGAAUUUUUUUUAUAAAGUCAUAUUAAAAUUCAACGGCUUAAAAUCAACUCAGCUGAUUUUAUUUUUUUAUUAGCACAAAUAAGCCUUAUUAAAAGUAAAAUUUAAAAAGCUUUAUAUAUAUACAUAUAUAUAUAUAGAGAGAGAGAGAGAGAGAGCUAGGCUGGAAUACUAUUGAUAGCAAAAGAACCUUUGUGCUAUCAAGUUUUUAAACCUUGGAUAAAAAAUUGUAGGGUUAGAAUGAUAUUAGUCCCUUAGAGUUGAGUGGUGGACUCCUAGGAUUGAGUGGUCCCCGCUGGGUUAUAAUAUUUAAUCUAGUGGUUAGAAAUGAUGAAAAUAAUUGAUCUAACGGCUAAAAACUUAAUAACAAAAAGGUUUUUUGUUAUCAAUAGUAUUCUAGCCCAACUCAUAUACUUAAUUUGGUCUAAAAAUUAAUAUUUUAAAAUUAAGUAUAAUACUAGAAUAAUAAUAUAUAUACAUGUGAUUCUAUAUAUAAAAUUAAAAGCAAUAAUUAAAUAGUUAUAAUGUCAUACUGACGUUACUGAUUUUAUAAGUGAUUGACUCACUAGUUGAGCAGGUAAUUUUUUAUCCAGUAAUAUUUUUAAAUUAUUAUUUGAUCCGAUUUUUAAAAUAUUGAUUACUCAUGGAAAAUAAAACUUCAUAAUUUUUUCGUCACCGUCGCAGUCGCGGUCGCAGUCGCUGUCGCCGCCAUCGCUAUUCGCUAGUCACCAUCACCAAUCUGCCAUCCAUUAGGAGGAAUUCUACACUGUCACACUUGCACCACGCUAUCAAUAACAAGCCAAUCUUUUCAAACAAAAGUACAAUAAAAAUAUUUUUUUUACAAUCAUGAUGGGACAUAUACCUUUAAAAGGAGACAUUUGAUUGAUUUGUUACGCCACGUCACCAAUAUACCUGUUGCAUUUUAGAAUUUUUUCAUCCAUUGGCCACAAUAAUCACAUUACAAUCAUCUUCAAUUAUCAAUACAUCACUCACCACCAGCUAGUGUUAGCCACCACCAUUACCAUCUUUAUCAGCCAUUAUUAGGGUAGCAAUCCAGCACGUUGUUCGUGAGCCAGCUCGUAUUCAGCUCGAAAUAAACUUAAGAUCAUAUCACUUAUUUAGUGAACGAGUCAAACACGAACUGAAUUUUUCAGCUUGUUUAAUAAACGAGCCGAACACGAAGUGGGGUCAGCUUGCUUGUGCUCGGCUCGAUAACAGCUCGAAUAUAUAUAUAUAUAUAUAUAUAUAUAUAUAUAUAUAUAUAUAUAUAUAUAUAGAGAGAGAGAGAGAGAGAGAGAGAGAGAGAGAGAGAGAGAGAGGGGGGGAUGGUAUGCUUCUGGAAGUACGGAGCUCUCCGUGCUUCCAAGUUGUUUUCGAUGUUCGAACUUUCGAAUCGAUGAUCGACUCUGUUAGACUUCAUUUAGAGUAUUUGAAGUAUCUAGAAAAUAAAUUUUGUGAUUUUUCGAUAUCAUUUGCCUAGUGAUCGAAGGGGCACAAAAUCAAUAAUUUUAAUGGUCGUGGUGAGCCGUUUGCAAGUUUAACGGUGUAGAAAUAUCCAAAUCACAUGAAAUUUUGAUAAAAAAUUCUUUAUACCAUAUAAAACAAGAUCAAUAACUUUGAUCUAAAAUUUUAAUGUCAUAUCAUCAUAUUUUGUAAGAUUUUAUUUUCAGCCGUUGAUUUUGAGCCACUUCGAUCACUAGACAAAUGAUAUCGAAAAAUCGCAAAAUUUAUUUUCUAGAUACUUCAAAUACUCUAGAUCAAGUCUAACGAAGCCGAUCGUCGAUUCAAAAGUCUGAACAUCGAAAACAACUUGAAAUCACGGAGCGCUCCGUGCUUCCAGAAGCAUACUAGACGCACUAUAUAUAUAUAUAUAUAUAUAUAUAUGAAUAUUUUUGCAGCACCAACCCCUUGGUGCUUCUAAGUUUCAACCCCUUGGAUCUACUCCUUGAUUACUAAUAUCCAUUGGAUCAAACACUAUUCCACCUACCACCAUCAUCUCAACUGUACAUCUCUCCAUCCAAAGGCUAAAAACUCAAAAGCACCACUCCCUUGGUACUUUUGAAAGUAUUCUAGCUCAACUAUAUAUAUAUAGAGUGAGGCUACUAUGCUUCUGGAUGCACGGAGCCUUUCGUGCUUCCAAGUCAUUUUCGAUGUUGCGACUUUCGAAUCGUCGAUCGGCUCCUUUAAACUUGAUCUAGAGUAUUUGAAGUACUUAAAAAAUAAAUUUUAUGAUUUUUCGAAAUCAUUUGCCUAGGAAUCGAAAGGGCUCAAAAUCAAUCAUUUUAUUGGCCGUGGUAAACCGUUUGCAAGUUUAACGGUGUAAAAAUAUCCAAAUCAUGUGAAAUUUUGAUAGAAAAUUCUUUAUACUAUAUAAAACAAGAUCAAUAUCUUUGAUCUAAAAUUUUAAUGUCAUAUUAUCACGUUUUGUAAUAUUAUUUUCAGCCGUUGAUUUUAAGCCCCUUCGUUCACUAGGCAAAUGAUAUCGAAAAAUUGCAAAAUUUAUUUUUUAGAUACUUCAAAUAAUCUAGAUCAAGUUUAACGGAGACGAUUGACGAUUCGAAAGUCGCAACAUUGAAAACGGCCUGGAAGCACGGAAGGCUCUGUGUUUCUAAAAACAUAGUAGCCUCUCUCUCUCUCUCUCUCUCUCUCUCUCUCUCUCUCUCUCUCUCUCUAUAUAUAUAUAUAUAUAUAUAUAUAUAUAUCAUUUCUAAUCCUUUUAACUUGUUGUUUAACUUGUUGUUCAUGAGCCAGCUCAUGUUCUACUCGAUAAUAAAUAAGCCGAACAUGAGUUGAAUUUUUCGGCUCGUUAUUUUAAUGAACCAGCUUGUGUUCACCUUGUUUCAUAAACGAGCCGAACAUGAGCUGGCCCCAGCUCGCUCGUGUUCGGCUCGUUGACAGCCCUAACCAUCAAUAGACCGUCAUUCGCUAUAUAUUACGAACACUUCUAUAAGUCUCGUGUGUUCGUGUCGAAUACGCGCAUGUCCGUGUCGGACUCGUAUCUGAUGUGGACACUUUUUGGACGCCCGUUCAAUGUCGAUCCAUAACGCAUAUAAUUUUAAAAAAUAUAUGCACAUUUUUAUUUUAUUUUUUUAUAUAUGCAUAUAUAAUGUAAGAUGAUAACUAUUUUAGCUUUUUGAUGAUUAUAUAUAAAGUUUUUUGGACGAUACAAACAAAUUAUGUAUGGUGAAAAAAAAUUUUCUUAACAUAUAUGAACUAUCAAUGAAAAUUUUUCUAACUUUUAUUUUUAUGAAAAAUAUAAUAAUAUUUUAUCAAAAUUAAUAUUUUAUAUAAUAAAUAUAUAUUAUUAUAUUAAUAAUAUUAUAUUUUAUUAGCAGUAUUCAUGUCAUGUUCAUGUUCUAAUUUUUUGCAAGCUCGCCGUAUUCGAGCCGUAUCGUGUCCCAUAUCUCGUGUCAGUAUCCAUAACGCGUAGGUCAUUCGUAACUGCAACUAUGCGACUCUUCGCUUUCCAGGAAGGUUACCUAUUCAAAAACUACUUUAAUUCUAGCAUAUUUCAUUUUUUAAAUUUUUAGAUUUAAUCAUUACCCAAACUAUUAUAGUCAAAUUAAAGGUUUGGUCCGAUUAUAUCUCAUUUAGAAUUAUUCCAAAUCCUCGAAGGUAUCACACUUCUCUCUCAUUUAAGUCCUGAUGUUCUUGUCAAACUCAAGCACACUUAUAAGUAUCAGACAAUGUGAGACUUGUCCUGACACUCUCGUCAGGCUCAAGCACACUUACAAGUAUCAAAUAAUGUGAGAUUUGUCUUGUUAGUUUUGUUAUUCAGACGCUGACUUAGUUUGUCAUUUUUCUAUUAUGGUUUACCCGAGACUCAGUUUAUACUUCCGACUAGUAAUUAUCUCUAAUACCAAUUGUGACUUCGUGUUAGCUUUCAUAUUUAACGCUUUAAUAGCAACUCAAUCUAUAAGUAGUUCUAAGAUGAGUGAACCUUUUGGAAAGUAGAGCAUCACAAAUUAUAUUAAGACUUUUUUGACAAAUAAUUCUAAAAAAUAUUGUAAUUGGCUAAAUUGCCAUACUAAAAAUAUAUUUGGCUAAAUAGCCCUCUAUUUGUCACGCAGGGGAAAUUUUUCUCUUAAUAAAGGUAGUGAAUCGUUUACCGCCUUCAUAAAAACGGUAAAUGAUUUACCAUUUUUCUAAUUUUCCACCAAUGCAGUGAAUGAUUCACCACCCUCUUGAAGAUUGUUUGUUAGGAUUUUUUAGGUUGUUAAGAUUGCAUAUGAUUUAAUUGUUAAAAUUUUUAUAUGAUUUUUAGGAUUAUAUAUAAAAAAUUAAAAAAGUGAGGUUUGUAGGAUUAUAUGUUGAUUGAUUGUUAGAAUUAUAUGGAUAGAUUAUUAGGAUCUUUUUGGUUGUUAAGAUUGUAUGUGAUUUAUUAAAAUUUUUAUGCAGUUGUUAGGAUUAUAUAGGAAAUAGAAAAAAAGAGAAAGAUGGUAAAUAAUUCACCGCUUUUGUAGAAAAUUAGAAAGACAGUGAAGCGUUUACGUCUUUAAAAUAAAAUUUCAUCGUAACUCCUACAUCGCAAAAUAAGGAUUAGUCUAUCAAUUUUUUUUUUUUAGAAUUAUUUAUCUAAUUAGAAAAUUUCUAUAGGGUUAAUAUUAUAUAUUUUGAAAUUUUAUUCAAUAUUAUACAAGCAUUAAAGGAAGGGUUGGGACAAAAAUAAAUAUAAUCCAAGCCAAUUUCAAUCCCCCCAUAAUGCAACCUAAUUUAGUUCCCCAACUAAUGCUACCUAAUUAAUUUAAUUCUCACAUUGAUGUCAAAUUUUCACCUUUUCAAUUCAUUUAAGUCAAUUUUACUUGUGCACCAUUUUGCAAGUUUAAUAUAUGUGGAGUAAAAGUAUAGCACUUUUGAAAAUUAUUGAUACAAUUUAUUUUCGCAUUGUUUAAAACAACGAAAUAUCUGAAUCAACGAUCAAUACCGUCACACAAGAUUUAGAAUAUUCGAACUUUGUAGAACUCGAAUUUUAUAUUUUUGAUAUCGUCUACUCAGUGAUCACAUAUGGUCGAUCUAAAAUUUAUAUAAUCUUAACAGUAAAAACGAGCCAAUUUCGAGAUCAUUUGAAUGCUAAAUAAAUUAUGCUGAUAAAUCACAAAAUUUUAAAAUUACAUAAAUUAAAUAAUUUAGAUUAAAUUUAAUAAUAUUGAUGGUCAAUUCCAAUGUCUUAUUACCACUGUGUGGAAAUAUCCAAGCUUUUACUCUCUAUUUAAAUAGUAAAAAAAAAAAAAAGGAAAAAAUGUAUGGAGAUCCCUCAACAAUAGCCAAUUUUUAACUAUAUGCUUUGUUCUAUUUUUAUUUUCGUUAGAAUAUUUCUAACUUAUGUAAGUUUCUUUUUUAUUUGAAUUUUUUUUAUUUUAAAAUUUCAAAUAGGCCCCUCAACCCUCAAUUGAAUCAACUAAUUUUCUUUUUUUUUAACCCAAAAACCUAAUGCCGUGAUUGUUUUAUUCAUUAAAUUUUAAACUUUGAUAAAAAUAUUUAACGAUUUUAAUUACUUUUCAGUACAUAAAAUUAUAAAUUUCACCAACAUAUAAGAGUUAACGACUAAUAGAGUUAUUAAAUUAAAUAAAAUUUAAAAUAUUAUUGCUUAGAAUAAUAUUAAUAAUGAGUGCUAAAGCACUACAACGAUUUUAAUUUGCAUAUAGUCGUUUAAACUUUUAAAAUUUCAUAUUUUUUACCCAAACUUUCAAAUUACACAAUUGACCACCUAAAUUUCCAUUUUAACAGUUUAAAGUGACUAAUGUUAGCCAAAUAAUUAAGAAAUAAUAAAAAAAAAGUGCUAAUAAUAUUAAUUUUUUUUACAUCAAAAUUCAAUCUUACUGUAUAAAAAUUGCUUUUAAUAUUUAGCUUUUACAAAUUGAAUAUGAUAAUAAUAGUUAAUUUUAUCCGCGAUAGAAAUUUUUGGCACCAAGAAACUUGCAAAUUGCAUAUUUAUUCUUAUAAAAUUUUAAUUUAUUGUAUUUCUAUUAAAUUUUAGUUAUCAAAUAUAUCUUUAAAAUAUACAAAUUCAUCCUUAAAAACUGACUCCCAUUAAUUGUUCAUUUAAUGUUCACUGUUUGGACAUUUAUGCCCUCACAAAAAUUAAAUUUUGUAAAAAUUUUUGUAAGAUUCAUAAUCUUAUUGUUCAUGUAGAGUGACAUAAAAGUUAAAAUAAAAAUAUUAAUUAAAAAAAUAUUUAUUUAAGGGUAAGGUAAAAUUGUGGAGAAUGUCAAAUUUGCAAACUAAAGAACUUGGGUGGAAUACAUAUAUAUUGUGUUUGAUUCGAGAACUAAAUUUUAAAAAAUAAUUUUUGUUGCUCUGAAAAAUAAAAAUAUUUUAGGAUAAUCUGGAAUAAGUUCUAAAUUGCGUCCGAAUAUUGUUUGUUUGUUCCCAGAGGAUAUCUAUUAUAGUGUUUGGAUGUUUGUACUGAAAUAAGAUAUCGAAUUAAUAAAAGUUAAAUAAAAUAGCAAUUUUGCGCUUGAAUAUAGUAAUAAAGUAAAUUCAAUAUAUAAGAAAGAGAUAGAAUUAAUAUAUAAUAAUAUAAUAUUGAAUGUAGCUGUGAAAAUAUACUUUCAAUUUUAUAAUUUAACAACUAAUUAAAAUUAAAUAUAAAUGUAUAAAUUUAAAUAUAGAAGAGCAGAUUAUUUCACAAAUUUAGUAUGUUCAUAAAUUACCUUAGAAAAAGUAAUUUAGUAGUAUGCAAUUUGAGCAUUCAUUUGAUUUACUUGAAAUUAAUUAAAAUAAAUUAUGAAAGAGAUAAAGGGGCAUAAUAGAAGGCAAAAGGGACAAAAAUCCAUUGUUCUAGUUUGAUCUCCAUGUGGGGCUUAACGGGUUAUUCCAGAAUAACCCGUUAAGCCCAGAACAAGAGGAAUAUCCCCUGACCAAACACAGCCAUAAAGUUUUAUAGGAAUGAAUAUGCAAUUUCUUUAUUUUGUAGGGGCACAUAUGUAAUUAUAACUCGAUGUAGAAAAACUAUAGGGCUAGACAACGUUAUCUCCUGACAAUCCACAACUUGCGGAAGAGGGGGGUGAUUCCAGAAUAACCCGUUAAACCCGGAACAAGAGAGAUAUCAUAUUUUGACAAAAGAAUAUCCCCCUAACCAAGCACAGCCAUAAAGUUUUAAAAGGAUGAAUAUGUAAUUUCUUUAUUUUGUAGGGACACAUAUGCAAUUAUAACUUAAUGCAGAAAAACUACAAGGUUGAAUAAUGUCAUCCCCUAACAAUCCAUAACUUGUAGAAGAGGGGGAUGAUUUCAGAAUAAUCUAUUAAGUCCGGAACAAGAGGGAUAUCCCCCUAACAAACAUAGCCUAUAAAAUUUUAUAGGGAUAAAUAUAUAAUUUCUUUAUUUUGUAGGGACAUAUAUGCAAUUAUAAAACGUUAUCCCUAACAGGUUAAGAUAAGCAGGAUAUGGUGCACGCUUUUCCAUGCAACACGAAUUGCUUUUUUGCAUCACCCCCCUCUUCCACAAGUUAUGGAUUUUUUUGUUUUUUAAGAUAAAAUUGUUUUCAAACAAUUUUCUUUUUUUUUUAUGAUACAAGUUUAUUUAUUUAUUUAGGAUAAGCUUUAAAUUACUCUCAUGUAAUUUAGUUUAGUGUUUUUUUUUUUUUUUUUUUUUACUUUGCAACUUGUAAUUUUUUUAAAAUUUUUUUACUUUGCGAUUCUAUUUCAUAUAUAUAGAAUUUUUGGUAAAAAUAAAAAUUAAUCCACUGGGGAGUAAAGUGUAACAAUUCGAAUCAUAGGAUAGCACGGAUUGCACCGUAGUAGGGCAAUUUAAAAUUUACUCAUUUAUUUAUGACUAAAUUACACUUUCGGCCUUCAAAUUGUAAGGCGGGUGAUACUUUAGUUUUCAAAUUCUAUUUUUUUUGUAAUUUUUUACUCAAACUUUUUUGAAUUGCUAUAAUCAAAUCCCACAACGCAAAUUAAUUGGCUAAAUUUUGAUGCGUCCUUGAGAUAAAAAUAAUUCAAUUGUGUCAUACUUGAUGAAAACGACAUGUCAAUAUUUAUUCAAUUAAAAUAAAUUAGAGGACUUAAUUAUAAUAAUUUAUAAAGUUUGUGUUAAAAAUUAUUGAGUUUGAGUACCAAAAUAUCACCAACUUUAUAGUUUGAGGGUCAAAAUUGUAAUUCAAUGCCCUUUAAUUAGUUUAGUGUUAAUUUCACUUGCUUGAAAGGAUUGCCUAAUUUGUGUCAUCAUAAUUAAACAAUGAUUAACUAGUUGUCAUUAAUCAAUAUUCGUAAUUUAUGGAAUUGCUCAAUUGCAUGUAAUUAUAACUGCGUUGCAAUUUUAGUUGCAUGUAAAUCCAAAUAUAACGUUUAAUUUGGCCUAUUUGAAUUCAAUUAUUGUGAUUGUAACUACACAUGAAAGCGCAACUGCAGCAUUUACAACUAUAUUUAAAUUGAUCACAAUUCCAACUAUAGCGGAUGGAGAGAACAAGUUUAGAUAAGAGAUAAGCUUAUCUACCGAAUUAUCUUUCAGAUAACAAAAUGCUUUUCUUAAUUACAAUUAUUUUCAAGGAAAAACUUCAAAUAACAUCCCUGUGGUUUCACACUUUCUAACUUUAGUAUCCUGUGGUUUAAAGUGUAUCAAUUUAGUGUCCUGCGGUUUUAUUUUUAUCUUUUUAUUAUAGAUUCUACUAAUAUUUUCAUUAUAUCAGUGACAAAGUUAAAACUAAAAAGUACUAAAGUGAAUAUUCGAUAAAGCUAGGUGGAGUAUCUGAAGUUUUUUGUAUAUAAUUUAACGAAAUAUUAACGGAGAAGCCGACGAAAAGAUAAAAAUAAAACAACAGAACACUAACUUAAUACAAUUUAAACUACAAGAUAUUAAAGUGAGAAAAUACGAAACCACAGAAAUGGUAUCUAAAGUUGACCCUAUUUUCAACUAUGCUGUAUUUUAGUUUGGUGUAGAAAUAUAAUGUUCUUUGAUAAAGAAUCAUAGUUGGAGAAUAAAAAAUUAUAUAUUGUAUUAAAAUAUUUUCAAAGAACAUGUGGGAAUCCAAAAUGUGCUCUAGGUAUCUCCAUUCUAAGGGCAAAAAGGUAAAUUCAUUCAUAGCCAAUGGAAAAUUACUACUAUUUACCUAAAAAGCAUUGGAUAUAAAAGAUGAUACAAAAUGAAAUUAGAAGAUAAAUAGAAGGAAUGGGUGGAAAGAAAUAUUGGAAGUAAUAAAGUGAGGAGAUAUUUUAGUAAUAGUAGAGAAAAAAAAAGGAACAAAACUAAUGUUGAAAAUGUAGAAAAAAGAAUAUGCAAAAAGUGAAAAUUGCAUGGUUACUUCUCCAUCAGGGUGCGUUUGAUUUGAUAUAAAAAUGAAAAUGAGUGAAAAAGAAAUUUUUGGAGGAAAAAUGAUUUGCUACUCGUUUGUUUCACCGUAAAACAUUAUUUCAGAAAAAAUAGUUUUAUGUAUUUGAGGAAAAAUUUUCUCUUUCGUUUUCCGAGCGUGAACGGCGGAAAACGAGAACACGGAGCUCGGAGCCAAAAAAUUUGCGGCUCAUAGGUAGUUUUCAUGGGGUCCACGAGGUCACUUCGGCCUCUUGGACCGCAUAAGAGAGAGGUCCACACGUCACUUCGGCCUCUUGGACCGCAUAAGAGAGAGGUCCACCGUGUGUGUGUGUGUGUGUGUGUGUGUGUGUGUGUGUGUGUGUGUGUGUAUAUAUAUAUAUAUAUAUAGAGUGAGGCUACUAUGCUAUCGGAAGCACAGAGCCUUCCGUGCUUCCAGCUCGUUUUCGAUGUUGCGACUUUCGAAUCGUCGAUUGGCUCCGUUAAACUUGAUCUAGAGUAAUUGAAGUACCUAGAAAACAUAUUUUAUGAUUUUACGAUAUCAUUUGCCUAGUGAACGAGGGGCUCAAAAUUAACGGCUGAAAAUAAAAAUCUUAUAAAAUGUAAUAAUAUGACAUUAAAAUUUUAAAUCAAAUAUAUUGAUCUUGUUUUAUAUAGUAUAUAAAGAAUUUUCUAUCAAAAUUUCACAUGAUUUGGAUAUUUCUACACCGUUAAACUUGCAAACGGCUCACUACGGCCAUUGAAAUUUGUUGAUUUUGAGCCCAUUCGAUCACUAGGCAAAUGAUAUCGAAAAAUAAUAAAAUUUAUUUUCUAGGUACUCCAAAUACUCUAGAUCAAGUUUAACGGAGCUGAUUGACGAUUCGAAAGUCGCAACAUCUAAAACGAGCUGGAAGCAUGGAAGGCUCCGUGCUUCCGAUAGCUUAGUAGCCUCACUAUAUAUAUAUAUAUAUAUAUAUAUAUAUAUAUAGUAUUUUAUUAUAUAUAUAUAAUUUUAUUUAUAAAUAUAUAUUUAUUUAUUAUAUAUAGUAUUUUAUUUUUAUACAGAGAUAUUAUUAUAUAAUAAUUUAUUUAUUAAUAUUUCUAAAUAUAUAACUCCUAUAUAUUAUAUAUUAUAUUUAUCAUAAUUUUAAAUAUAUUUAAUUUAUAUCUAAAAAUUAUAAUAAUAAUAAUAUAUAUAGUAUAUUAAUUAUUAUAUAUUUAAUAAUAUAUAAUAAAAAUAUAUUAAGUAGUUUUUUAUCUUUUUUUUUUCCUUUCAACUAAACAACCGUCAUGAAAAUUAUUUUUCUUUUUCUACAAACGAAACACUAAACGACGUAAAACUUUCUUUCCACCGAAAAAUUUUUUCCACCAAAGAUUUUUUUUCUAUAAUUUUACGUGGAACUAAACACACCCUUAGCCAAAAAUCAAUAAGUGGAGAGGGGCCAAGUUGCUAAAUCAUAGCAGAGAACUUUUUUUUUUGAGAGAUAGGUAGCACACUACCCGCUUCGUUUAUUUCAUUUAGAAAUAAACUUAGCUAGAAAUGUGAAUCAACUAGGAUUCGAACUUGGGUCUCGGGUGCCAACCAUCAUAACAAAGAACUUAAUGCAAUGCAAGUACGUUGAUCACAACUCAUACACACAAGUACAUUGAGCUGAACUCUAGGGUUUAGGGUAUACAUCUAUAGAGAGAGAGAGAGAGCUUUGCUAGAAUACUAUCGAUAGUAAACGAGCUGUUUUACUACCUAUUUGUUUUCGAUGAUAGAGCUUCCAAAUUGACGAUCGGCUCCGUUGAACAUGAUCUAUACCACUUGAAGUGUUUAGAAAUCAAAUUUCAAAUCUUUUCGACAUCAUUUGCCUAAUGAGUAUACUCUUAUAAGUAUAGAGUACUCUAGCAAAACUCGCUAGGGCUACUAUACUCUUAUGUGUAUAGAGUAUUUCGUACUCAUAAGUUGUUUUCAAUGAUGGAGCUUCCGAAUCGAUGAUCCACUCCGUUAAAUAUAAUCUAGAGUAUUUGAAACUUCUAGAAAAUAAAUUUCGUAAUUUUUCGGAAUUAUAAUAAAGUUCAUCAAGCAGGUACAAAAUAAACGGUCAAAAUCGAACGACGUCUUAAAAAUGGAUGAUCAGAUCCUUCAAUUUAAGAUCGGAGUUAUUGAUCUUUAUCUAUGUAGUGAAUAGAAUUUUCUAUAAAAAAUUCAAUCAAUUUCGAUUCUUUUACACAGUUAAACUAGCAAAUAUCUCACACCAGCCGUUAAAAAUUUUCAAUUUUGUGACCUUUUGAUCAUAAGAUAAAUGAUGUUGAAAAAUUAUAAAAUUUGAUUUCUAAACGUUUUAAAUGCUCUAGAUAAUGUUUAACGAUGUGGAUCGUCGAUUUGGAAGCUCUAUCAUCGAAAACAACUUAUGAGUAAUCGUACUCAUAAGAGUAUAGUAGCCGAACUCUAUAUAUAUAUAUAUAUAUAUAUAUAUAUAUAUAUAUAUAAUUAGAUUAUUAUACUAUUAAAAGUAUCAAGAACUUGGUGCUAUUAGAUUUUGAGCCUUUGGAUGAAGGGAGGUGCGGUUAAGAUGAUAAUGAUCGCCAGUUAGGAUGAUCGUAGUGUCCUAGGGGUGAGUGAGUGAUUGGUUAAAUAGUAUAAUUUAAUAAAUGAAAAUGGCCAAAGAAGUAGAUCUAAUGGCAGAAAACUCAAUAACACCAAGUGUUUGGUAUUAUCGAUAGUAUAAUAGCCAAAUUCUACAUAUAUAUAUAUAUAUAUAUAUAUAUAUAAUUGAGCUAGAUUACUUUUAGAAGCACCAACUCCUUAGUACUUCUAAUGUUCUAGCCCUUUAAUCUACUCCUUAAUUACUAACGCCACUUGGAUCAAACACUAUUCCACCUACUACCACCUACCACCAUCAUCUCAACCCUACAUCUCUCUAUCCAAUGGUUAAAAACUAAAACGCACCACCCCCUUGGUGCUUUUGAGAGUAUUCUAGCUCAACUCUCUCUCUCUCUCUCUCUCUCUCUCUCUCUCUCUAUAUAUAUAUGUAUAUAUAGCUAUCGAGUCUUUCGUAGAUCUACUUUGGCAAUUUUAGUCGUCAACUCGCCUCAAGAUCUGUAUAGCAAUAGCCGAUAUGUCCUAUUAAUUUUUUUUACUAAUACUGUACGAAUCUUAAGGCGAUCCGACGUUUAAAAAAUUAUAAACAUAAAUAUUUUAAUAAUUUUAAAAACACAUGAGCUCAACUCUGUAUAUAUAUAUGGAUCAACAAAAAUUUUAGAUAAGUAGGUAAUUUUCCACUGAACUACUAUAUAUAUAUAUAUAUAUAUAUAGAGCAAGUCUCCAAUACUAUCAAUAGUAUCGGGGCUCCGGUACUAUAAUCUUGUUUUCGAUCUUAGGGCAUGUUUGGUUCAUGAUUGGAAUAGGAAUGAGAAAUGGAAUUGGAUUGCUUUGAAAUGGAAAAUAGAAUGACGAAUCAUCUAAAAAUGUUUGGUUCAUUAUUGAAAUAGAAAUCGGAAUGAAAAUUUAAAAUUUUUGAGAGAGGGUUUUGAUUAAGAAAAAGGAAAGUUAUGAAGGGAGAAGAAGUAGGUGUUGAUGAAAGAAGAUUUUGAAUAGUUUACUUUGGAAUGGGCCUAUUGAUGCCAAAAUUGAAAUUAACAUGCCGACCUAACCCACGUAUGAGCCAAUAAGGAUACGUGGUAUACCAGGAGUCGGCAAUAAGGCGCCUGAAGAUUUUAGGCGGGAACGGUUGAGAAAUGGGGUGUAACUUUCAUAAGAAGUGGGCGUACCUUCUACGAUGGGGCGUAACUUUCAUAAGGAGUGGGCAUAAUUUCCAUGAUCAUGAUUACAACCACUGCCCCCACUACUUUCAACCAACCAAUAAUGUGGGUUGAUAUUACUAUAAAUAGUAAUUUCGAAGCCUGCAAUAGGAGCCUUUCUCCCCCUCGAACGAGAAGACCAUCUUUAUUUUCUCUGCAAUUUUAUCGCUUUUCUAGAAGUAGUCUAAAUGUAAUCUUUUUUUUCUUUUCCUAACAAUUUUGGCACGCCCGGUGGGACCCAAUUUUAGAUAAAUUCAUAUUUUUAUUGAAAUUAUGGUUGAUGAUAAUGCCAUGAAUUUGCGCAAUCGGGUUGUUCCUAGAAAUUCUGGGAGUGAUCAACCUAGCGAUUCAGACAAUGCUGGUGAACGGCAAGCAGUUUCGCCAGUUGAAGGAAAAACUAGUGGACAGUCGGCUUAUCAAGAGCUGACUCUAACUUAGGCACUCGGCCAGAUGAUCCGAGUCCUGCAAACUGUAGAUCAAAAUAUCCAUCAAAGUACCGCUCGAUUAGACGCGGUACUCGUCGCCAUCGUGGCCUAUAAUGAAAAUAUUGUUCGAAUCAGACAGUUAUUUACCCAAAACGAGCAACCUUACCGGGGGCAACAGGGGCCCCUAACUGCGCCGGCGCAACAAAAUUCAGUCACACCGGCGGUCUCACAUACGUAACUGCAAAUGGCACCUUUCCAGGCUGCUUAUAGGCCGGCGAAUAUAAACGCCGGCCCGCAGUCGGAGAUUGCAUCCAGUUUACCUCUUUUACCAGCUUAUCAGCCCCAAAAUGCGGGAAUUAGAGCUGGGGGGCAGGCCCCUAAUGCUAUGCAAGGAGCGAAUCCUGCGAUACAGAAUUAUGGAGUUCCUCAAGGGCCGAAUCCGGCUCAAGCACAAGCUCCGCUUCCCAUACAAGGGAAUAACAAUAAGCUGUAUGAUCAGAUUGAGGAAGUCAUCCGAAAUACCUUCAGAGUAGGGGCCAGGCCGGCUAUGCGGCCUGCUUUUCGAUCCCCGUAUCCCGCAACAUAGAUGCAGAUCAUCCAUAUAAGGCAAACUGGAAAAUGCCGAAGUUCGACAAGUUCUCGGGCGAUGAGACCGAGAAUACGAUCGAGCAUAUAGCCCGGUUCACUGUCCAAUGUAGAGAAGCGGCUGCUGACUCAUUUUUGAAACUUCGAUUAUUUAACACGUCGUUAACUGAAACGGCGUUUACUUGGUAUACAAGUUUAUCAGCCAAUUCCGUCCGAGAUUGGGAUAAAUUGGAAAGAAAAUUCCAUGAGCAAUUCUAUAGGUCAGAGCCACAAUUAUCGGUCACCGACUUGGCUUUGUACCGACAAAAGUCAGGUGAAACGGUCAAAGAGUAUUUGAACCGUUUCAAAAUAGCCAAAUUUCGGUAUUUUAUGAGAAUGCCGGAAUCAGAGUUCGCCAAAAUGGUGUUAAAUUGUCUACAUUUUAAGAUAAAAGAUCAUUUUGAAGAUAAGUAUUUUUCUAACCUAUUUGAUCUAGGUGUUCGAGUUACCCAAUUUGAGCAAUUCCGGAAGGAAAAAGAGGACGAUUGGCUGCAAUGGAGCGGAUAUAACAAUCAAAGCAAAGGCAAGGAGAAAUCCUUGAUAGAAGAACAGUUGGUUCAAAAAGAGCCAAGCCAAUCAAAUGAAAGUGAAGAAUCAGCUGAUGAAGCCGAGGUAUAUGCGGCUGGUAAAGAGCCACUUUCUUCAAUGAGAAAUCCUUGCUAGAAGAACAUUCGGUUCAAGAAGAGCAGAACCAAUCAAGCAAAAGUAAAGAAUCGGCUGAUGAAGCCGAGGUAUAUAGGCUGGGACGAUAAAGAGCCGUUUUCUUUAAGCCGACCAAGACCAGCGAAACUAAAGCUUGGGUCUCAGCUGCAUCAUUUGAGCAGUCGAUUUGGCACCAAUAGUCAUCUGAAUGUUCAUUCGAAAGACUAUUGGGGGGCAUUGUUGAUGUCAAAAUUGAAAUUAACAUGCUGACCUAACCCACGAUGAGUCAAUAAGGACACGUGGUACACCGGGAGUCGGCAAUAAGGCGCCUGAAGGUUUUAGGCAGGAACGGUUGAGAAGUGGGGCAUAACUUUCAUGAUAAGUGGGCGUAACUUUCACGAUGGGGCGUGACUUACGUGAGGAGUGGGCGUAACUUCCACGAUCAUGGUUACAACCACUCCCCCCACUACUUUCAACCAACCAAUAAUAUGGGUUGAUAUUACUAUAAAUAGUAAUUUCGAAGCCUGUAAUAGGGGUCUUUCUCCCUCUCGAACGAGAAAACCACAUUUAUUUCCUCUGCAAUUUUAUCGCUUUUCUAGGAGUAGUCUAAAUAUAAUCUUUUUCUUUUCCGCAUUUACUGCUUUCCUAGGAGUAGUUUUAAGUUAGAUUUCUGGAGUCUGUAUGCCCCACGGGCACACCCAAUUGUAAACUAUAUUUGCAGAGUCUGUAUGCCCCAUGGGUACACUCUGUUGUAAACUAGAUUUUCAGAGUCUGUAUGCCCUUCGGGCACACUCUGUUUUAUUAAUAUAUAAAAGCCUUCGGCUCUUUCAGCCGACCAAUCAUUGUGUAUUCUAUAUAUUCAGCUCAUCAGCCGACCAAUUACUGUGUAUUUUAUCUAUUCGGCUCUUUCAGCCAAACCGAGUCUACAGUAAAGGUUUUCGAACUUGGCUGAUCCGAUCCCUCGUCAGCCGAAUCGCUUAAUCUAGUCGAAGGGCGCAAACUUCGAGGGUCAGUACCAUAAGCCGUUUUGCAUCCCUAUACGCUCUCCUAGAAAGAUCUUUGACCAAGUCAAAGAUAAAGGAUUUCGGCGCCUAACAGAGCCAAUCCGGAAUUCAAAGUUGGAUUGGAUCAUAAAUGAAUUUGGCCAUUCCCAUUCCGAAGUGGAAUGGGAAUUGGAAUCCGAUUCUUAUAAAACAAACGACAACUAUCGGAAUCAAUGAAUUUUAUUCCGAUUCCAUAGUUUAAAAUAGGUGAACCAAACAUGCCCUUAGGGUGUUCAAAUCAACGAUCCACACCAUUAAAACUGAUUUAGGGUAUUUAAAAUUUUUAGAAAUAAAAUUUUAUAUUUUUUCGAUAUAGUUUUCUUUAUGAUCAAAUCAUUUCAAAAUUGUCAAUUUUCAAUGGCUACUAUAACGAGUUUGGAGUUUAACGGUGUAGAAGAAUCUAAAUUUUUUCAAAUUUUGAUAGAAAAUUUUUUAAACUAUCUAGAUUAAAGUUAACAUUUUUUAUCUUGAAUUUAAAAGUCCUAUACUCAAAUUUUAAAGAUUAUUCAAUUUCUACCUUCCAUUUUUACAUAAUUUACUUACUAAGUAAACAAUGUCGAAAAAAAUUAAAAUUUUAUUCCUAAAAAUUUCAUAUAUCCCAGAUCAUAUUUAACGGUAUGGAUUAUUAAUUAGAAUACCCUAAAAUUAAAAAUAAGACUAUUGUACUGGAGCUCCGGUAUAUAGAUAGUAUAGUAGCCGAAUUCUAUAUUUAUAUAUCUCAACAGGGAAAUUUGUUGCACAAAAAUAGGGGGAAAAGAAAAGUGCCUCUCAAUUUAGCCGUUUUCACAUUUCCCAUUUUACCCCCUAAACCCCCUCUUCUCCCUCUUCGCCUCUUCCCCGACCAUCUCUCUCUUUAUCUCUCUCUCUCCUCUCUAUAAAAACCGAGCGCUGGAACCCGAAGCGUCCGCGAACGAGCUCGCGAGGGCGCCCCCAAGCGAAAAGAAGAAAAACCCUAAUCUCCCCGCCCCUUCGUCGUCGUCGUCGUCGUCUUCGUCCUAGGGUUCUCUCGCGGGAAUGGGCGCGACGAUCCUCCCCGAGCUCCUCACGGAGAUCCUGAUCCCGGUCGCGGCCGUGAUCGGGAUAAGCUUCUCCCUUGUGCAGUGGCUCCUCGUCUCCCAGGUCAAGCUCUCGCCCGAGCGCCAGGGGGGGUCGCCGCAGGGGGGGAAGAACGGCUUCGGCGACUACCUCAUCGAGGAGGAGGAGGGGCUCAACGACCACAACGUCGUCGUCAAGUGCGCCGAGAUCCAGGCCGCCAUCUCCGAAGGUGAGAGAGAUCGAUCGAGAGAAGGGGAGAGUUUGCAAUUUGAGUCGAGCUCUCGCGGUGUUUUUACUCGAUUUGAGCGUUGGUUUAGGGGAAAUUUGUGUGGAGGGUUUGUUUUUGGGUCAGAUCUCGUAGUUGCUGAAGUAAAUAAAAAAGAGAUUUUUUUUUUUCCUAUUGUUUAUUAGAUCUGCUGUAGCUACCGGAGUUUUCUACUUUCUGUUGUUUUUAAGCUAUUUUUUGUGAAAAAUUCCCUUUUAUGUUUUCCUUUAUUCAGAUUUUACUCUUAUAGCUGCUCUGAACUGAUUUCCUAAAAUUUUUCUGUUUUCAGAUUAAAAUUGAUAUUUUGAAAAAAUUUUCGUGCUCUAAUACAAUGCGCGCUUCUAUGAUAGUUUGAUAUUUUGAAAUCUUAGUUGCUGAAAUAGUCUCACUUGUUUAGUAAAGGUCAUAUUUUUAAGAUACUCUUAGUUUUUUUUUUCUUUUUAAUUUAUAUUCUAUUGUUAUAUUUGAAAAGUUUUCUUCUUUUUUUUUUUUUUUUUUUUUUUGCAUAUUUUUGUUUUCCGCCAUCUGGGAUUUUUCUGAUUAAUGCCCUGUUAUGUGGAUAAUUAUUGUGGGUGUUCGUUCUCAUUUAAAAGUAUUCUUAUGGGUUUUCCUUUAAAGAUUUUGUUUUAUUAAUAAUUUUUUUAUAUUAGACAUGCCGAGAAGAUAAUAGUUGCUGAUUUAGUCUUUGUUGAUGGCUUUGAAAGAGAUUUUACAUCAAAUUUUUAUGUUUUUCUAGCUCAUAAUACCUGCUCUGAUUGUUGACUUAUUCUUACUUGAUGAUUGCUUAUGACUUAGUAUAUUUGAUGACAUAUUGAAUGUGUUUAUGGAUAUUGAGUAAGUACGAUACGUCGUAAUGAACACUUGGAUACUUUCUAUUACGUUCUCAUUAGAUGCCAUACUCAAAUACUAUCUAUUCUGUGGUCAUUGUAUACUUUUUCCCCAGUGGGAUGAUUGGAGAUGGUCAUUGUAAACAUUUAUGAAGUAUAACCUUGUACUCUUUUUCACAACAUGCUAGUAGUAUUUUCUUUUAAUCUCUAGGUGGGAUUGGAUUGAGGUCAAUUUUGUACUGUGUUUUCCGUGAAACUUGUCUCAGGAAUUUAGGCUGUAUAACAAGUUUGUUUGUACAGCACCAUCCUCCUAAAUCUGCUGAAUCGCAGAUGCAGUUGCGAUACAGUGCUGAUUGGACUCUUUAUCUUCUUAUUUUUUACAGUCAUUCAUUUUUCGCCAAAUUGUGGUGAUUUACUUGCUGUUCAGAUCUAAUCUGGGUGGCAUGUGUUUUAUUUUCUAUUGGCCAUGAAAGAAGAAUUUCGUAGCCGCAGUUUGGUCACGUGCUUGUAGAAAUCAUGCUUUAUUUCCCCUCCUUUUCGUAUCUUUUUUUCUCAUGCUGCAGUAAUUUUUUUAUCUGUCCCCCAUCUUUCUUGAAAAUUUUUAUUGGUAAUCUUGUAUCAUAUUUUUUUAUCACAUUUCUGUAUAAUGCACUCUGUUGUUAUUUUGACUUUAACUAAUUAUCUUGUAAGACAUAGGGAAAAGCAGCUUGGAUGGUGAUUGAUUACUGAAGAUUAUAGCUGUUUUCUUUAUUCUUUUUUCUUUUUCUUUUUGUGGCUGAAAUUGUUGCUUCUUUCAAUUGGACUUCUUAGGUGGAUCAGGCUUGGGUGGCCCUCAUUCUUUUACUAGUCAUUGAUAAUCUUGCCUUAUUCUUAAGCGUUUGGUUAGGGGAUGGGGAUAGGAAUAGGCCCUUAUCCCCCCUUUAUACCCAAACGCUAAUUUUUUACCCGAGAAUAGUAGUUCUCGGUUAUCCCCACCAACACCUCCAUUUUCUAUAUAAAACUACCUAAAAUUGUUCUUAUUCCCGGGAACAACCCAAUUUUCAUCCAAACACUAUUUUUCUUAUCCCCAUACUUGUACCUAUCCCUGUAAUAGCUAGUUUUUGCUUAUACCCGAACCAAACGGUACUAAAUCUUAAUACUUACUGUUUUGUUGUGUUUUGCCUUCUAUAUUGAAAUGCAGCGAAUUAACAACUAGACACUCACAUGUUGCUAUCUGGAAUUAAUAGAGUUCCUUUGGUUGGACGUCAUUGCUUGCGAAUUCUAUCCCUGCUUUAGUAUCUUCAUAAGUACUACCAUUUGUCCUUUUCUGGUAUCCUAAGUUUCUUGUUUAAAUAGACGGCGUCUUAUCCUUAGACGUCCAAAUGUGGUGUACAAUAUUUUAAAAAAAAAAUUAUCCUAAACGUGGUGUAUAAAAUACUUGAACUUACCGUAUUAGCAUUUUUACCCACCGUAAUUUUUGUAAACAGGAGCCACAUCUUUCCUAUUCACGGAGUACCAGUAUGUCGGGAUCUUCAUGGUGGCUUUUGCGAUCCUGAUCUUUCUCUUCCUUGGCUCUGUGGAGGGUUUCAGCACAAAGAGCCAGCCCUGCACCUACAGCAAGGACAAAACCUGCAAGCCGGCCCUCGCUAAUGCUAUUUUCAGUACUGUGUCCUUUUUACUCGGUGCGGUUACCUCCGUAGUUUCUGGCUUUCUUGGCAUGAAAAUCGCCACAUAUGCCAAUGCUAGAACUACUUUGGAAGCUAGAAAGGGGGUCGGAAAGGCUUUCAUUACUGCGUUCCGCUCUGGCGCGGUGAUGGGUUUCUUGCUUGCUGCGAAUGGGCUUCUCGUGCUUUACAUUGCUAUCAACUUGUUCAAGUUGUACUAUGGGGAUGACUGGGAAGGGCUUUUUGAGUCUAUUACUGGUUAUGGACUUGGGGGUUCUUCUAUGGCCUUGUUUGGUAGAGUUGGUGGAGGUAUCUACACCAAAGCUGCUGAUGUCGGGGCAGAUCUUGUUGGGAAGGUUGAAAGGAAUAUUCCUGAGGAUGACCCUAGAAACCCGGCUGUAAGUUUUUCUGUCCUUGCCUCUGUUGAACCUUUGUUAAUGUUUAUGUUUGUUCAGGAAUGCCAUUUAGUGUUAGUAAUUGGGCUUUUCCAUAUGUCAUUUCGGUACCCAUCUUAGCACAUAUUGCACUUUCCAUUUAUAUUUUCCAACAUAUUCUACAUUUUCUAGAAUUCGUUCGAUGUUGCUGUUGAGGUUGACAAACAUUUGUUAUCUUCCUAUAGGUCAUUGCUGACAAUGUUGGUGAUAAUGUUGGUGAUAUCGCUGGAAUGGGAUCAGAUCUUUUCGGCUCGUACGCUGAAUCUUCAUGUGCUGCCCUUGUUGUUGCCUCAAUUUCUUCCUUUGGGAUCAACCAUGAGUUCACUGCAAUGGUGUAUCCCUUACUUAUUAGCUCGAUGGGUAUCAUAGUUUGCUUGAUCACCACUCUUUUUGCCACUGACAUCUUCGAGAUCAAGGCGGUGAAGGAGAUCGAGCCUGCUCUUAAGAAGCAGCUCAUUAUUUCUACUGCCCUUAUGACUGUUGGGAUAGCAAUUGUCAGUUGGCUAGCUCUCCCGUCGUCCUUCACCAUUUUCAACUUUGGCGCCCAGAAGACUGUGAAGAACUGGUAUGUGCCAUGUUUUAGUUAAUUCAUUUUGAAAUAAUUGCAUAUUUAGCUCGGCAAAAAUAUCACGGUACAUACAACCUGAAAACCUGAAUUUGCAUCUGUACCCACUUUCCCCACAAACUGGAUGAUUCCCCAACUUUUAAGUUUUUGUGGGUAUGUGAGAAAAUAUGGAUUUUGAAGGGAUAUAUGUAUGCAUAUAUGAUUUUCGUAAGGGUAAAGCCAACUUUGGCAACUAAUUUUUUUUAUUGCUCAUUAUUUUCUUUUUGCUCAAUUUGGCAGGGAACUAUUCUUCUGUGUUGCAAUCGGUUUGUGGGCUGGUUUGGUCAUUGGGUUUGUCACCGAGUACUAUACGAGCAACGCUUAUAGGUAAAUAUUAAGUCCUCUAUGUUUUUCAUAUUUCUGACGUCUUUCCUUUUUGCGCAGAUUUAACCUUAAUUUUCUAUUACAGCCCUGUGCAAGAUGUUGCUGAUUCCUGCAGAACUGGAGCAGCCACUAACGUGAUCUUCGGGCUUGCUUUGGGAUACAAAUCCGUGAUCAUCCCUAUUUUUGCCAUUGCUGUUAGCAUUUUCGUUAGCUUUAGUUUAGCCGCCAUGUAUGGUAUUGCAGUUGCUGCUCUUGGCAUGCUCAGCACAAUUGCAACUGGCCUUGCCAUCGACGCCUACGGACCGAUUAGUGACAACGCCGGAGGCAUUGCUGAGAUGGCGGGGAUGAGCCACAGGAUCCGUGAGCGAACUGAUGCUCUUGAUGCUGCAGGAAACACCACAGCAGCCAUCGGAAAGGUAUGUUGAGCUGCUUUAUUAUUUUCCUGCUGCUCUUUUACAUCGGCGGUCUUGUGUUUUGAAAUUAGCGCCUGCUCCUUUGUUCUCAAUCUCGAUCCCAGAUUCUAUAAAUGCGAUGCUCAAAUUUGAAAUCUGCUCAAGAGAAUUUUUCCUAGAUGUUGUUUUUCCUGCACCUCAUUAGCAUUUAUAUUCUUUAGUUCAUACGGUGGGUUAGCAUGAUAUUUUAGUGCCCUCAUUAAACCAUUUAGACAUCUUCUGAGAUAUCAAAUUGAUUCACCAUCAGUAUUGCUAAUUUAACCAAAUUCUCACAUCAAAAGAAAAUGCAAUCAACUUACUAUUUUUCCUCUCUAGGGUUUUGCCAUUGGUUCUGCGGCCUUGGUAUCCCUCGCACUCUUUGGUGCAUUUGUAAGCCGAGCUGCUAUCUCCACCGUCGAUGUUUUGACCCCCAAAGUGUUCAUCGGGUUGAUCGUCGGUGCCAUGCUUCCCUACUGGUUCUCAGCCAUGACCAUGAAGAGUGUCGGCAGCGCAGCCCUGAAAAUGGUCGAGGAAGUCCGACGGCAAUUCAACACCAUUCCCGGCCUCAUGGAGGGAACUACUAAGCCCGAUUAUGCCAAUUGCGUCAAGAUCUCCACUGAUGCCUCCAUUAAGGAGAUGAUCCCUCCCGGCGCCCUUGUCAUGCUCACCCCACUCGUCGUCGGGAUCUUCUUCGGCGUCGAAACCCUCUCGGGAGUUCUUGCGGGCGCUCUUGUUUCUGGUGUUCAGGUUAGUAACAUUUCCUUGGAUCCAUUUUUCUUUGAAGAGUUAGUUUAUCACUAUAUUUAGGUUAAUUGUAAUUCUCAUUUCCAAGUUAUGCUCCAGUUUGAGAACUCCAAAUUGAAAUAAAUUAGAUUCUAAAGUUUGUUUCUUGCAGCAAUUAAAUCCUUCCACCAUUGCUCUGGAUGCGAGCAAUGAUGUAUCAUAUUUUUCUUUUUAGAACGGGGAGAGUUGUUACAUGAAACGAGCUUCAAAGAACAUAUUAUUGAAACUGAAACUCUUAGCCAUGCAACCAAAAUUUGAGUUCGAAGAUCAGGAACCCGCAAUUUUACUUCAUUUCUGAUUUUUUUUUAUUCUUUUUGUAUAUUUUGCAGAUUGCUAUCUCUGCAUCCAAUACUGGUGGUGCAUGGGAUAAUGCGAAGAAAUACAUUGAGGUAAUGUUAUUAUUGUACACCAAAUAAUUCAAUCUGAGGAGAAAUAAAAGAAUUCUCGGUGCAUCAAUAAACAUUUUUCACUUGCUGUGAUUUGCUUCAGGCUGGAGCUUCGGAGCACGCGAGGAUGCUCGGCCCGAAAGGUUCGGAUCCCCACAAAGCUGCUGUGAUCGGCGACACCAUCGGAGACCCGCUCAAGGACACAUCCGGGCCGUCGCUCAACAUCCUGAUCAAGCUCAUGGCCGUCGAAUCGCUCGUGUUCGCUCCCUUCUUCGCCACACACGGCGGCCUCCUCUUCAAGAUCUUCUAAACAGAGGAAGAAAAAGAAAGCGAAGAAGACGAGUCGGGCCAAUUUGCUCUCUCUAUAGUAUCUCUCUCUGGUCCUUAAAUCCUGAACUUAUAUUCUCUCAUUUUUAUCGCCGAUUUCGAAACUGUAGCAGUAUAAUGAUGAGUUGCCGGAUCAAUUUGGACAAAUAGUUGUUGAAUUUUUCCUUUGGUAGGUAAAUUAUGAUGAUGAUGAUGAUGACGACGACGACAAUGAUCAAAUUUCAGAAUCAGUUAUAAUCAGUUUUCGUCAGAAAUGUUUAUUUGGCUAUUUUAUCUCUGUGCUCUCAAUGUUUUUGCAUUCAUUAAGUUGCUUUUAUGUAUAUUUCAUGAUAAUUGGAAGGUUAAAAUGCAUUGCAACCCCCUCAACUGUAGCAAUUUUUUAAUUAGAUCCUCCAACUUUGUUUAUUUUUGUUGUUUGAUUGUUUAAAUUUUUUUUCAACUCUUUGUGACUAGAAUUGUGAAACAUAAUUGCUACUAAAUUCAAAAAAAAAUAAUAAAAAUCUUUUGAUGAGUGGGGAUCGAAAAAAUUUGAAGCUUGGGGUUUAUUUUGUGGUUUUGAACUUGGUCAAAAUCAAAUUGAAAGAGAAUUGUAUAUGUUUUAGUUUUUUAUUAUAGUUAGUAGAUAAAAUAGGGGUAAAUUACACUUUUGGUACUCAAACUAUGUGUGGGUAACACUUUAGUCUUCAAAACUUUAAUUCGGUGCAACUUUUGGUUCGUAUUUUCUGAAUUGUUGCAAUUAAGUUUCACAACCUAAUUUUUUGGACUAAAAGUUUAUAAAUUAUUAAUGUAGAAGUAAUAUAGCAAUGUCGUAAUUGAUGAUACGACGAUAAUUAAGAUGUUAUAUCACUUCUAUAUUAAUAAUUCAUCAAUAUUUAGUCAAAAAAUUUAAAUUGUGUGAUUUGAUUGUAAUAAUUCAAAAAGAAAUUACAAUGAAUUAAAGUUUUGAGGACUAAAGUGUUGCAAGCCUCAUAGUUUGAGGAUCAAAAGUGUAAUUUAUCUGAUAAAAUUGCAUAAAUUGCACUAUUAGUCCUCAAACUUUUAGCUACAUUUCAUUUUGGACCUCAAACUUUUGUUUUCCAUAUUAGAAUAUCCCUAAACUCUUUAAAGAGUUUUAUUUUAGUUCCUACACUUAUUACUAUUUAGAAUAAACUAAUUUAUUACUCUCGGUGCAUCUAUAUAUUCAAUGCAUCUGUGUAUAUUCGGUGAUAACUUAUUCAGUAUAAUAUUAUCACCCAUGAUUUGGUACAAUAAUAUAUUUCUUAGUAAAGUGAUUUAACUUAUUUCGAAAAAAAAAAUGAUAAAACUGAAUAUGCUAUUUUGUUUUAGACAUUUGACGUAAUCUAUUCUGAUAUCCAAAUACUGAAACCUGAAAAAGUUUAGAGACGUAUUUACUAAAGUUUAAACGUUAGGGGGAUGUUUGUAUAUUUUCCCCUCACUGUUGCAUAGAAUUCCUUGUCCUGUACCUGCUAAACGGACAGACUGCACACAUCAUAGGAACUAAUAAUGUUCUCAGGCUGCAGGCAAAACAACAACUGCUAACUCUCAAACCUCCUGCUAUAACACCAAACUCCACUCUCUCUCUCUCUCUCUCCUUUACUUGCAGAAGAAGCAAAAUAAAAAGCUUUACAAACAACCAACACAACUCUCUCUCUCUCUCUCUCUCUCUCUCUCUCUCUUUUCAAGCUCUGGGUCUUUUGCUCUUAUGAUUUGUGUUUGUGAGUGUACUACUGAUGGAUACAUUGAAUCUCCAUAUAUAUAUAUAUAUAUAUACUCCUAUUGUUACUCUCUAGUUUUAUAUUUUAUAUGAUCCUUCUAUUAAGGUAUAAUAUUGUAUAUGAGAAGCUAUUCUUAUCAGAGUUUCUGCCUUUCGUCCGUAAAAUUUGAGAUUUGAUUUAUGCUUCAGCAAAACUCUAGAUUUUCUUAGAUUGCCGGAUGCUUUAGUAUAGAAACCAGACAGCUGAAAACAAAACCACAAGUAGGGCCAAACAGGAACAUGGAGGUAUGCAUGCAUGUCACAAGGUGCGCCUUUUCCUUUCCCAUGUUUGAUCAACCCUUCAAUUAUUGUACCCUCCAGAGUUUGGCGAACUUAACAUAGUUUCUGAGGAAUAUCACAAUCCAGCAAAAUGAAAAGUAGUUUGAGACAUGAGAAACCGUCAAUCCGCAAAACAGGAAGAGAAGCUCCAGGGAGUGAAUUUGAUCUUGAUCGCCGCGGUUCAAAGGAAACAAUCAAUGAUCAAGGAGUUUCGAGCGCUGCGGCGGCGAAUCCUAUGGCUUUCGAUCCCCGUAAGAUGAAGAGGAACUCCGCGAUCGAUGUCCGGCGCGAGUUGUGUGAAAAGAUCCAUGCCAAGAUGCAGUUUCUUGAAGAGGACACAAGGCUCAUGAAGGAGGCUAUUUUGGAUUGUGUGAAGGAUAGGGACAUCCUCAUGAGUGAGGUAUCUCACAAGCUUCACAUGAUAAGAGAGCAUCUAAGUAUAAUAAGCUCAGAGUGUAGGCUUGAUUGUCCUCCUAGGGUUUGCUCAUUUGAUCCACUCAAGGUAGUACCUGAUCUUUUAAGGAAGUUUCCUAUUUAUAUAUAUUUUGUCAUUUUAUUCUAGAUAAAUUUGCUUAAUUAUAUGCAUUUCAAGUAAUGUUAGUUUGUUAUGACAGCAUAUGCAUAUUUUUUGCAGACUCAGUGUGCAGAAAAUUUGUGCAUACGGCUGAUCUGACCGUCUAUCUAAAAUAUGAGAGUCAUCUCCGCUAUUGAUGAUGAUCUAAUAAACAACCGACAAAAUAGUUUUAAAAUGACUUCUGCCUUAAUAUGUAUGGUUAAAUCAAGCGAUGCGUAGGAAUUUCUUGCACAUUAGAUCUGCAGAGGAUGUGAACCCUUAAAAAAAAAAAAAAAAUCUAAGCUAAAGUGUUAUAUUUUCCAUUAACUACCACUUUUCUCUUUUUUUUUUCCCUAUAUAUUGAGCUUAUUUAGAAGAGUCUUUUGAUUCUUCUAUCAGUUUUUACCUGUCACAAUUAAGAUCAUUCACAUAACAGCAUCUGGAUUUUUUUUUUUUUUUUUUUUUUUGUUUCUAUCUCCUUCCUCUCUCUUUGAAAGUUUUCAAAUUUUGUUUUUUCUUUUUUCUAAUUCAAGCAUAAAUCCAUCCAUACAUUUUCCUAUUUCAAAAUAUUCACCACUAUUUGAAGCACCCUAUACUGAAUCUUAUGCACAAUUUUUUUGUUGUGUGCACUUAACACAAGUUCCCUUCCACAUGCUAUAUAUAUACUUAUCAUCUUUGCAGUUGCUUCAUUAACUGUUUUGAUAUUAGUACCAUGCAGGAUGAUAGAAAAGAUAUUGGAUUACUGGGAGUGCUACACCAAGAUCUAACUCCAACACUCGUCGCGCGACGAGCGAAGAAAAUCAACGUCGACGCUUUCGACAACUAGCCUGAGCUGUUUAAACAUGUAAGUUAGUUCACUGAAAAAUAGGGGACUCUGAUCAGAACAUGGAACUUCAUUUGUAAAGCUAGCAUACAAUUCAAUGGAUUGGUAUUUAGUAUUCCAAACUUAUCAGAUAGUUUACAGCAUUUUUUUUUUAAUGCUAUUAUUCUGUAUAAAAAUUGACAUUGUAUUUGUAAAAUUGAUUUUUGAAUAACUUUGGAAUUCAUAUUUUGUUUUGUAGCCUUACAUAGCACAAAAUAGUAAAAGGAAUUUGAUUAUUCCGCACCCUACAACGGAUAUACGAUUUUGACAAAUAUAUUAGAGUUCUCAUAAUAAAAUAUGUGGGAACCCCAGUUGUAUUGUGCCAAUUUCGCCAAUUUCAAUAAGAAAAGUAAAGCACUCUCAGAAAGAUUAUAAAUUAAAAAAAUAAUGGCCUUUAAAAAGAUAUCAUCCUAUAAUCAAACACGCAAAAUGUACUGAAUUGACAAAUAAUCCUUAUGAGAUACGCUGAGACCACUAUUUUUCUAAUGAUUUUAUCGUUGCAACUUACAUAUUUUUUAACGUAUGAGACCUGUUUGGUGAAGCGCGCUAGUGCUGCACCACAUUCACUACUGCAAAAAAGCUCUAAUUUAAAGUUUUUACUGCAACAUGCUCUGCACUCUGUCUGCACCACAAACUGAUUCUACAUUAUCACAGUUUGUUAACUUCUACAUUCAACCAAAUGCUUCACCUGAAACCCCCCAACCAAGCAAAAAACCAAACUUUUUGUACCAAUAUUUUCUCCUUUUUCUUUUUUUUUUUGCUCCUCACAAAAAAGUCACAGUAAGUAAAUAAGAAGCCCAUCCACACUCAAAAAUAUAAUAAUUUUUUUGUUUUACUGUCGCAUCAUAUGCUAAGACAAGCUCUGGAACAAUAAAACUCAAACAGUAAACUUUCCUCGGGCGAGGCAGAUGCAUAUCCAGUGGAUCCGAAAAAUCAGCAAAUUACAAACAAAGUUCCAAGAAAAUUAAAAACACUUUUUGAGUCCUCAAAAUGGCUAACUCUCAAUCAAAAGAUACGGAAAAGUGCAACUAUGAUUCACUCAGGAUCUUGUUUCACCAUUCUGCUUACCACAAGAUAUUGGUAAUAUCCCAUAAUUCUUAACAAACAAACCAUAAAUAGAUCAACUUGGCAGUUUUGGUAUCCAAUGCGGCGACAAAUGAAUGUGAAAUAUCAAACUCGUAGAAAGACCUCUCGAAACAGAGUCCCUGCCUUGUGAAAUGCUUAUAGGAAAAAAAAAAAGACAAUUUAGCCUCUUCGAGGGCUUAAUUUAAGGUACAACAAAAGGAACCCUAAUCUGGUUCGCGGAGAUUGCAUUGAGCAUUUGAGAAGCAACUUUAGUCACAAAGGCAAAAUCUGAUGUACCAACAAGAAAACAAUUAGGACUGCUGAUUUAAAUUAUGUCUUUAUGCAUGCUUGACGAUGUGUGAAAUAUUUUACAACGCAGAUUCCAAGGGCGCUUUCCGAAGUUCAAGUUACACUGAAAUCCUACACACGGUGGUGCGCAACAUGAACAACGCCACCUAUAAUUUUGUCAUAUCAAAAUUCCUAUCUGCCCGCUAAGAAGCUGCACCUGGGUCGUUGAUAACACCCAAGAAGUCAUCCUUUAUCGUCCCAAUGCAGAACUGCACAUAUAGAAAAAGAAAAAACAAAAAAAAAAGAAGAUACAAUUAUGUAUGCAUAAUCUAGAAAUACAUUAAUAAUCACACCAUUAAUUAUCUUUAUUUUCAUAGUAUGCCAGUCUUAAUGAAGGUAACAUUAUGCACCAAACAUCAAGUAGCUCAUAAGUACUUCGCCAAGUCAUAGGAAGCAGAAAAAUGAACUAUCAGAAUCUUGGAAGCAAAUCUGUCUAUCCGAUAAUCAAAUAUCAAAAUAUAAAGAGCAAAACACUACAGACCAUAGUUUCAAAAUAAUCAAGAAAAACUCGCUAUGGAAUUGCACAUUAUUCUAAUAACUCGGCCAUAAAUCUUUCUUUCAAAUGAAUCUAAUUAAGCCGACUCCGCACAGGUGCUUUAGCAUCAACAUGGAACUUCCAUUAAGAUUACUUGAAAAUUAUGAAAUUGUCAGCAUCGUUUUAUGUACAGAAGUAGCAUUUUAAUGGAGAUCUCCGAGACCAAGCAAUAGAUAUAAAAAUAUUGAACGUGCUUUGAGGUUACAAACUUGCAUAAACUCGUAAAUAGAGUUCUUCCGGCAUGAACAUUAGCCAUGAAACUUGACUAAAAGGAACAGGAGACGUACAAUCUCUGUGGCAUCAACACGAGUCCCAAUAAUCUUUAGCCGGACCUCACUAUCCUUUUGUAUUUUCACCUACAAACCAUCAAUACAAAGAGGUUAGCAAAAAAGAAAAGCAUGCUGGCACAUUUUAUUCGCAGCCUGAAAAAAGAGCAAAGAUCCAUUCUAAAAGAAAAGUAGUUAAGGUAAAGAAAUUUGUUAUUAUUGAAUCUUGACUAAAUUAAUGCAUGCAUUAUCAAUUCAUACAUCUGCAUACAUGCAUCUUAAACUUCUAAAUCCACAUUAUGUCAGAACUUCAACUACCCAAUGUAUCAUUAAUGUUACAGAAUGUUGCAAAUGUUAAAUAUGCUCUUCAAAAUUGUAAAAUAUUGCUUGCGUUUACUUACAGAUAAUUAUCAAGAAAUAAGUGUAAAGCCCUCUUCUUUAACCUACCUUUCUCCCGUAUUUUCUUUUCUUGAUCACUCAACCAAUUCUAAGCAAAUGAAAAGAGGUAUCUAAUUUUUUCCAACUAAGAUCCUCCCUUUCAUGUUGGACAUGGUGACUCUCAGGCAUGCACCCAAUCAACACACCCAUACCCAAAAGGAAAAAAGUUCUCUAUCCAGGUAGUGGUGGCCUUGGGUAGAUUUAGUGAGCGGCAGAACUUAGGCCCAUUUAUUCCAAAACUCGCAGUGGCAUGAAGUUCUCUACCCUGACCCAGUAUUAUGCCUCUCAAAUCACUCCAAACCAGGCCGAUUCUGUAGCAUGAGUAUUGUCAUCCUUCAUUCAGUUUUGUGACAGCCAAUCCUGCCACAAUCUACACGUUCUGAACAAUAAAGUACUCAACAAUCAUAUCUACAUAUUACAAUAAAAACCUCUGUUGGGUUAGAUUGUAAGCAAUAGGGCAUCAACAAUCAUCAAAAUAUGCAUAGCAAGGUCAAAUACAAAUUGUCUUGUUUCUUCUUCUAAUCAUUCAGUGAACAAUUAGUCUAUUACCAUAUACCACUGAAAGUAUACUUUCGAUUCGUCUCAAAAUAGUCACAGCCACCAGUAGAACUCAUUAAGAAAUAAUGAACAGAGUGAACUAUAAUCCAUGCCUUCUCACUCAGUUAAAAAGAUUGAAAGCCAUAAUUCAGCCAACAUGCUAGAACUCAUAUUUCAGUCUGAUUCCUGUUUUUAGUGUUUCACUUGUAACUGUGAACAUAUAAGAAAUGUAGGAAAAGGAACAAAGCAUACCGAUCCAUCAGAUGUUGUAUAGUUUGGCAUAUCUCCAGACUGGAACUCCAUGUCAUCAGGGAUCAACUGAAAAAAAAGAAAAACAAAGAAACAAAAAACAGACAGCAACAAAGAAGGUAUCAGCAACAAAGAGGGAAAAAGAGACAUUAAAUUCCAUCAUAUCAGACAAGAGCCUACUACAACUUGAUCUACAGGGGUUUCUCGACUUGUACCAUGCCAAUCUUAAUUCCAUACCUUUCAAGUUAAAACCCAUGAGGCUACAAACUAAAUUUAUGUGUUUUCUCAACUAUUUUGUACAGAAAAAUUGUAUAUAUAUAUGCUAUUCUGAAAGAGACCCUUACAUUCACUUUUUUUCUGAUUGAGCACCACCUUUUGAUAUGUUUAAUUUCAGUGGUUGAAGCCCCAUCAUGAUCUUUUGAUUUAUAUAACUUUAGUCAAUCAAAUUGGGACAUUUUGAUAAUCUAAAGUUAUCUAACAAUGAUUCUGCUAAACUAAAUGACUUUAACCACUGUUUAGUAAAUGAAACUGCAGAUUUCACUAACAAUUAACGGCUAAUAGCUACAGCUGACGCUAAAUUUUAAAAAUUCCCACUUUAACAAACUAGGGCAACUUGAAUCCAGAAAAUAAAGUCGUCAAUUUCAAACCAGCCUAUAGUUUUAGGUGUUUCAUCACAUUUUCACUUUUUUUUUUCCUUUGUGUGUGUGUAUUCUACCAUGCACAUACCUAAACCACUCAAACAAAUUACCAAUUACAAGAAAACAACAGAAACAAAAAUUCUUACAUGAUUCGAAACGAAAAUCUGCACCGGCCCUGCCUCUGCGAAGAAACCCAUCUGCGGAAACAUUAAAACAAAAAAACGAAUAAAUAAAUAAAUAAAUUCAUCAAUCCAUCCAUCCACCACGCCUUAAAAUCCCGAAAGAAACCCUAAAUGGAGAUAUCGAGAUCGAGAUCGAGAUCGAGAUCGAGAGACCUUGUUGACCAUGGUGACCACGGCCUCGAGGAUCUCGCCCUUGAAGGGGCGGAACACGACGCACUGGUACUUGACGGGGAAGGUGACGAAGCCGGUGCCCUCCCUGAUGAGCCCCUUCCCGAUCUCCUCCACCCCGGUGAUCGCCACCACGAACCCAUGCCUCCCACUAAAACCGAAGCAAAGAAGAGAUCGCCGAAGGGGGUUUAGGGUUUAGGGCAUCCUCUGUAAGAGUUAGGGUUAGGGUUAGGGUUAGGGUUAGGGUUAGGGUUUUACCUGCAGGUGCCCUCGACGUCCUUCAUGAGCUUGGAGACGAGCUUGUCGCGGAGGUGGGGCCCGAAGUGCCGCGGGUGCAGCUGCAUGUUCCGCUCCAACACGAUGUGGAAGAACAUCUCCUCUCUCUCUCUCUCUACUUUCUCUCUCCUCUCUCUCUUAUUACUAUUUAUAUAGGUAGGAAUAAUUUCAUAUGCAUCCCUACGGAGUUUUAAAAUUGCUGAUUUAUCCUUGCAAAAUUUUAAUUAGAGCAAUACUUUACGUGGCGUGGCGGGCAAUUCAACUCGAUGUUCGCGAGUCUGCUCAUGUUCGAUUCGAAAUAAAUUCGAGAUCGUUCGAUUCGUUUAAUAUUUCACCUCGAAAUUUUAAUGAGCAAAACACGAGAUGAGAUAAGAUCGCUGAUGAUCGGUUUGAUAUAGUUUCGAGUAUAUAUAUAUUAUAAAUUUUUUCUAUUUAGAUUUUAAACCAAUUCAUAUGUGAAAAGAAUUAUAUUUUGUGCAAUUUUUUAUAGAGUAAAAUUCUAAUUUUUAAAUUUACUUGCAGCUUUUCAUCUAGUAGUAGGGCUAUUAUUUUAACUUGCUAUCAAAGAGCUGAAUUUUUCACCUCGAUAUUUUAACUACUCUGCUUGCGCUAGGCUCGUGUAAUAAACAAGCAAACGUGGGCUCACUUGUAGGAGUUUUGAGCUACUAAACCUACAAAAUUUUUAAAUAUAAAAAUAAGUAUUUAAAAUUUAUAUUUAUAAAAAUAGUUUGAUAACUUUAAAAAUGGUAAAUGAUUCACCGCUUUUACUCUAAUUUGUAUAUUUUCUACCUCCAAACUUUAAAAGAUGUAUAGUAUUAAAUAUUAAAAAUAGUUUCAAUUUUUUGAAAAAAGCGGUGAAUGAUUUACCGCAUUUCGAAAGUAGUAAAUGAUUCACCGUAUAAAUCUAAUUUUGUAAAUAAAUUUUCAGAUUACUAUUUUUAUAAUUAUAGUAUUUUCUUAGUCUAUUAAUAAAAAAAAUUUCUCUCAUGUUCAGCUUGUUUGAUCCAGUAGAUUCCAGUCAUGCUCGAUAUCAGCGUUUUAAAAUUUUUUAGAAAACCUUGACGAUACAGUACUUGACUAAUUGAAUCGAUGCCGAAAAUGUCAAAUCCUCUGAAAGAGAAAGUAGGCAUUGCGUAUAGGAUCGAAAUAGCCGCAGCCAUGGAGAACGGUAGUGAGUGUGGUGGAAAUGGACUUAAUACCAUACGUGGGCAUAUAGGAGAGGAGGUUAGGCACUAAAGUAACGAAAGGAUAAAGAUUAGGGACUAACGGUGCAAUUAAUUCUCAACGCUAAGGAUCUGAUUGCAAAAAAGUAAAGAGUUGGGGAUGAAAACGAAAAAGUUAGCACAGGAACUAAACUGCACGAAACGUAUAGUAUAGGGACCAUAAAUACAUUUUACCUUAUUUCUUCUGUUCUUGUUCUCUAUAUAUAUAUAAUAUAAACCCUCGCGACCUCGUCGUUCUCUCUCUCUCUCUCGCUCGGCCCCGAAAACGAAACCCUAAUCGAGGUAGGGGACGCGAAUCCCUGCGAUUUCUCCUCUAAUCCCUUCUCAGUUAUUAUCCUUAUUAAACCCUAAUCGGUUGGAUCGUUGUGGUUGUUGCAUAAACCCUAGAUUUCGAGCCCUUGAUUCAUGGAUCCGCAGCAACCCGAACCUGUGAGCUAUAUUUGCGGAGGUAUAUGUCUCUUUCCUUGUGAUUUAUCUUUUGUACUGAUCAUAAUGUAUUGAGACGCCCCCUUAACUUUAUUUUCUUUUGAUUGAUACCUCCUUGCUUUUUUUUUUUUUAUUUGAGUUAUUCUACUUGGUUAAAUUGGGGAUUUUGUGAAUUUAAUAGUAGUUGUUGACUGAUACAGUUUUGUUUGCUAAAAACCGAUCAGUGCCAUCAAAUUUUACGGAAUCGCUGUUUGAUUUAGUGAAAUUCUCAAAGCAUUUGGCUAAAAGCACACAAAUAAAAUAAAAUUGGAAGUUAGAGGGGGUGUUGAUAAAAAAAAAAGAUUGACGGAGACAAAAUGGCUAGUAGUUGAUGGGGUCUAAAUACAUUUUCACCAAAUAAGUUUAUAUUAGUGCCCAAUUUCUAUGAUAAAAUGAUUGAACUGGAUUGAUGACUAGAUUGUGGGGCGGAGAACACGCUGAAGCCCGGCGAUGUGAUUCAGUGCAGAGAGUGUGGAUACCGCAUCCUUUACAAGAAACGCACCCGCAGAAGUAUGCGUACAUUGAAUUUCUUUUUUUUUUUUGCUUGUUGAAGUAUGGUGGUAUUUUGUUUGUUCCUGUUAUUUUGAUUCAGUUCUUUGGUUGGAUGUUGCUGCUGAUGAUGUGACAUGUCUCAAUUUCAAGCAUGCUUCUUGCUCUCUAUUAAACAUCUAGGAAAGUUUCGAGCCUCAUGCAUAAUUGCACAAGUCCUCGAGGAUUGGCUCAUCUUGCUUCGAGUUUCUGGCUUAGACUAUCAUUCCAUUAAAAGGAAAUAUUGUGUGAAAAGCAUAAGACGUCACCUAAUUGGACGAGCUGUGUUCAUGGGGCAAUUUUUUUUUUCCUUUUUUUUUUUACGAAGAAGCAUAAAAGAAAUUUGUCUACAUCACAGUGCAUAUGUAAGUACUAUUAUUUCAAGGAAAUUACUCAUAGGUUCAAUCUUUGAUGCAAACCGAGAGGUUGCCAAAAUUGAAUUUUCAAGUUUGCUUUUGUUUAAAGGUAUUUCUUGAAAUAAACUAGCUUCAAUUUAUCGAUUCCGGCGAACUUUACUAUAAUUAAAGCAAGGAAGCAAAAAUUUCAGCAAGAUGAAAAAUUAAAAUCGAAUUGAAGCAAAACUAAGAUAAUGAUAAACCUUCGAUAUAUGAGAUAAUAACAACCAACUGAAAAUAUAUAUAAUAGUUUCAAAAGGUAAAUUCGGCUUUAUCGGACUUAAAGCUUUAGGUUUGGUUGUUUGGCAAAUAUGGUUGAUAAUGGUGAAAGGCUAGAUUAAAAGGGGAUAAUAGGAUGUCAUGAGAUGAGAGAUACAAAAAGUGCACCGUUCACACGAUUGCGGGGGAUCCACGAUCGACGAGGAGGGCGGUACACCACGGGUAGAACUUCGGCAACGGGGAAGAAGAAGAUGAGGUAGUGACUUGGAAGAAGAGGAGAGGUAGAAGUAGAAGCCGAUCUUGUCAUGAGGAAGAAGUGACAACGAUCAAGUUGAGGAAGAAGACGAUCUCGGCGCGAGGAAGAAGCAUCGAUGAUCUCACCGGGAAGUAGAACACCAAGGAUAAAGAGUAAGAGUAGAAUUUUCUAUUCAUCCAAAUAUAUCUCUCAAGGCUUCAAGAACCAUAUAUUUAUAGUGUUGAGAGCCUUCUGAUAAUAAAUUAUUGUCUUUUCGUUUUCAACAUAACACGGUCACCCAAGAGUCAUGAUGCAUAGAAAACGAAGCAAUUUUGAAAAUUUCAAAGGUCUUUUUUUUAUUUUUUGGGGAAUCCCAAAGGUCUUUUUGGUAUUGUUUUUUUGUUUAUGGGAGAAAAGGGUUUGGGUUAGCCAAAUCAACUAAAACUAAAUGAUUUAAGUCCGAAUCAAACACAAACCUACAAAAUAAAAGAAAAUUGCAUUCGAAAAUAAAACGAGAUUUAUGCUGCAUCAAUCUUUGAUGACCAGUCCGAUGAUCAAGCAUUAUGUUUUGCUAUGUAUUUUCCUAUAUGUUUAUUUCAUGUAUUACGGUACUUAUAAUAUCAAGGAAUUAGCGAGGGCGAACUUGGUCCUCUCCCCAAGAAUCCUAGGUGAGUUGAAUCCUAGAAGAGUUGCGGCCUCAAACUAGUGAUUGCAUACUAUACAUGUUAGAUUUAUCCAACUGCUCAUUCUAUUCCGCACCAUACUCUUGACAGCUCAUCUUUUAUUCUUGUCGAGUCUUUAGAGGUGUGUUUUUGUCCCCUUUUUUUUUCCUAUUCCUUUGAAGUUUGGACUGAUGCAAUUGUUUUUCUUGGGCCUAGAUGUAGAAAGACAUAAACACUGAAAUCACGUUGUUUUCAUUUUUGUCCUUCUAUGGUAGCCGUCCCCAUUUAAUGAGUGUUUGGUCGGAAGUGAAUGUUUGGACGCCGGAUGUUUAAGUUCUUCAUUCUUAUCAUAGAAUCACGACUCUGUGUACAACAUAUUGUGACGCUGUUUAGUAUUAGGUUCUGAUACUUUUGAGUUGAAUGGUGGCCUGUUUGGGCAAUUCAGUCUUCUUUGAUAUAGGAGCAAAAUGGAUAUUUGAUUGAGCCACAAUAUAUUCUGUUAGGGCAACAGGAUAUGCUUUAAUCAUUUCAAAAUGGACUGUAGUCCAGACCAGUAUUUUGAGCCCAUCCAAAGGGGUAUUAAUGCAAACUACUGAUACUGUGAUAUCAUAAUGUCUUAAUACUUUGUUUUGAAAUUGCUUCGUUAUCACAAAGUAAUACAUGCCGUGAGCCCGUGCUGAUUUUCAUCUAUUUUAGAUUUUAUUUCUUUAUAUUCAUCUGCCUCGCCUGUUUUAAUCCGUUAACACUCCCUUGGUCUCCUACUAACUUCUGUCAUCUUUGUUCCAGUUGUUCAAUACGAAGCACGCUGAGGAUGAAUGCAGAUUAAUUUCGCCGGUGAGAAACGCUAUGUAUGUUUUGUCGAACUUGUGAUCUAUAACGUAAUAUUGGACGUUUAUCAGUCAGAUCAAAUUCUUUUCUUGCAUUGUUUACAUGGUGUAGCCGUGGUUGCAUGAUUGUUCUGUGAUGUGUUUGCGACUUACACUCCGAGGGAGUUCGGUUUGCUAUCUGUUGCUGAAUCUAGAUAUAAACAUGGCAUCGCACUAAUAUAAAUCUAGAAUUAUUUCAUGCUGUAGCAUAUAUCUGAGGAUGAUCGAGCUUUACCUCAAAUAGUGUAGUCUUUGAGGUCUAGAUCGUAAUUUACUGCAAGGCCCUUGGCAUUUAGGGGGGUGGUAAUUAAUAGAGCAUGCAGGACAGUUGAGGUAUGAGCUGUUGAAUAGUACUGAAUGUUGUGCUGAGAUUCGCAUGGAUGCUAUUCAAUGAAUCAUAGAGUCGUACUCCUGUUGUCCUAACCAAAUUCUUUUCCACAUUUAUGUGGUUUCAUUAGAUGGGAGUGUUGAUAUGGGCAGUCACUUUGCAAAAUUAUCGUCACUCUUUCUCGGUAGUGUACUUGAAAAAAUCUUAACCUCUAUUGUUUGAUGCGAUUGUGAUAUGAGUUGCAGGUAUGACGGCGUCGGCAUACACCAAAACUACACUUGAAAUUUGUAUGUUUGUUCUACCCAACUUUUGCUUCCUCUCUCAUUUUUCGCUUUUCGAGUGAAAGCUCGCAGGCAAAUUUUAUUAAACUAGAGAGGUUUAGUUGUACAAGGAUGUAGGCAAUGCCAGUGUGUAGAGUUAACACUGUCUCCAAAACUCAAAUAGCUGUGUGCUGAACCAUUGAAGAGAGAGUGCAAAGUUACAGACCACUUCAAACUAAGUAUCUUUAGAUUCAAAACAGAGAACCUGUGAGAUUAAUGCAUGAAUAAAUAUGUAAGUGCUAUGUUAGAGUGACACCACCAAAGUUCUUUACAAUUACUGGAGCAUCCUCUUGCAACAAAAUUGACUUUCCCUAGUAUCAAAAGAAAAAAGAAAAAAAAAAAAAAAGAGGGAGAAGCUUGAGUAUCAUUAAAUUGGUAAAAGUGUAUGAAAUUGGCAUCAACCAUCAUCUAUUUUGACCUCAUUCUUUAAUCUUUAAAAGUUUUAAUUUUACUAUCUAAUCUUUUAAUUUUUUUAAAAAAAUGUGAGCCUGUUAAUGAUUUUUUAUGGCUUUAAUUGAUAUAUAUUAUAUAUGAUUUAUGUAAUUAUAAAUUUAUUGAAAUAAUUAGUUAGCUUAUAUUUAUGUUAGAAGAGUUAUCAAAUAAAUUAAAUCAAAUAAAUAGAAGAAUCGUCAAAUAAAUUAAAUCAAUUAAGUAGAAACUUUGGAUAUUAAAAUCAAACAUUUUAAAAGAUUGGAUAGUCGGAGUCCGGUUAUAAUACUAUCUAUAACAUCAAGCAUUUGGCACUACCAAGUUCUGCGGUUAGAUCUACCCUUUUAAACAAAUUAUGUCCGUUAGAUCAUACUAUCAAUCAACUACUCACUCAGCCCUAAGGAAUCACUAUCAUUCUAACCGCACAUCCCUUCAUUCAAGGGCCGAAAAUCUAAUAGCACCACUGACUUAGUUCUUUUAAUAAUAUUUUAGCCUAGUUCAAAUAGUCGAAGCAAAAUGAUCUAUAGUUUAGAUAAGUUCUGUACAUUUUUACCCACUGAAUAUCGCAAUUGUAAAAUUGAGUAGCAUAGUUGCCUUCUCUAGGGUAUCUAAUCUUUUAAUCCAUAGCAUUAUGGAGGUUCAAAUCUUUACCUUCAGUCUUCAGAUCAGAUUCCAAUUCCAGCGUCCCAUGAUGAUCAGAUUGGGUUACUUUUUGUGUAGUUGAUACAUUUUUUAGAGGCUGUUUGGUUAUAUAUAUCCACAACUUUACUAUAGUUAUAAUUAUUUAUAAAUUUAAAUACGGUAUUUGGUUUGAUAUAUUUGAAUCUAACUAUUGUUAGAGCUGCACGGGAAGGUUUAACUGCAUUAUGUUUAAAUUGACCGCAAUUCUAACUGUAGUUAAACGAAAAAUAAUUCUAUCUUUCUAAUCACAUUUUACAUAGAAAAUAAUACUUUUUCUGCAUGAGAGGUAACCUCAGAGUGAUGAAACUUAUAAAUGCAAAAUUUUCAAAUGCAUGCAGCCAAAUAAAUUAUUUAUGAAUGCAGCACUUUCUGCUACAUUUAAUCAAACAAAAUGCAUAUAGUUAAAUGUUGUUGCUGUAUUUUUUUUUUUUUUUUUACUUGGUAAAAAUGUACAAAACUUACUUGAAUUAUGAAUCAUUUUGAUUUGACUAUCUAAUCUUUUCAAACUUUUGAUUUUAUUAUUCAAGCUUUUAAUUUGUUUGAUUUGAGUUAGUCGACGACAUUUGACUUUAAAAUUUAAGAUACUUGAUUAUUUUAAUGAAUUUGUAAUUGCGACAAUUACAUAAAAUAUGCUAACUAAAUCUGUCAAAAUAAAUAAUGCAAUUCAAAUUUGAAACUCAAAGUGUCAUCGACUGACUCAAAUCAAACCGACUGAAAGGUUAGUAAAAUCAAAAUUUUGAAAGCUUAGAUAGUGAACUAAAACUGGUUCAUAGUUUAGAUAAGUUCUGUACUUGUUUACCUUUUAACUAUAUGCGUAUCCAGUUACACCAUGUUACGAUUAUAUCUAACCACGGCACCUCAAAGGGGGCUUUCUUGUUAGAAGUAGGGAUGCAAAUGGAUCCCGGUUAGUGGAGCUCCCAUUUCGAUCCGCACCGAAUGGGGCAGUAAGUGGGAAUAAAAAAUAUUAAAAAAUGUAAGCCGUCCAGAUUCGUUCUGAUCCGUCAAGUAAAUGGAAUGAGAGACAGAAGAAACCACCACCCUCCCUUUUUUUUGCAAUCAGAUUCAUAACCUCUAGUAUUAAUUUCACAAUGGUCCCUAACCUUGACCUAUUUUUUUCACUUUGGUCACUAAACCAUUCACCUAUAAGCAUGCUCAUUGCAUCAACCCUAAUCUCACCAAAAGCCCAAUGUAACAUUCUCCGCGACUGCAACCACCUUGAGCGCAGCUACAACCACCUCGAUCUUGCACAUGAUGCCUACUGCCUCAUUCGCAACAUCAAAUUAGACGUGCCACCGAGCUCUUUCGAAAACUUCGAAAAAGUCGGCGCCAAAAUCAACCGAAAAGCUACCGAUGAUAACCGUGAUCUCCACGCUAUCACGACUUCAGCGUUUUUGUUCACAAAGUCCGUACGGUGCCCGCAUUCCUGCUCGAAGAUGGACAAGCCUAACUCUUUGUUGUUAGCCUGGACCUCAGCCUCGUUCUCUUUUUUUUUUUUUUGCGUACUCAGUCAUAGAACGCGGAGAUUCAGGCUAGCAAUAAGGAGUUAUGCUUGUCCUUCUUCGAACAGAAAGAUAGGCAUCGCACGGGUUUUGCAAAUAAAAAUGCUAAGUCGGUGACAAAGAGCUCACUUUCUCAAAAACAGGCCCUCUGCCAACAUCAAUAAAAAUUGAAUAGUUGGGACCUAAUUGAAUCAGGAUAUAGUGGUCACACUACGAGAGAGAGAGAGAGAGAGAGAGAGAGAGAGAGAGAGAGAGAGAGAGGAGGAGAAAUGUAGACCAAGAAGUAAUCCUUCUCCUAAUAACAAUAUCUGUAGGAAGAAUCCCUACUCCUUAUCAAAGUUGAUGAUUCCGAGGAGAAUAAAAUCGCACUUUUGGCCAUCUUUCCGAAUAAGGUAAAAUUACAUUUUUGGUCAGCAAACUAUCGAGUGCGUCAUAUUUGUCCUUAAACUUAUUUGUAAUUACUGACUCAAAUUUUUAAAAUUGUUGCAAACAAGUCCUCUGUCUUAAUUUAAUUGAGUGAAUGAUAAUGUACCAUUGAUGUGUGGCUGCCACGUCAUCAACAAAAAACUGCCAUAUUUCUAUCCUAUUUGCCAUGCGUCACCAUUCACCCAACUUAAUUGUACCGCAAGAUUUUAUUGCAAUAAUUUAAGAUUUUAUUGCAAUAAUUUAAAAAGUUUGAGCUUAAAAUUACAAUAAAUAAAAGUUCGAGAACCAAUACACAACUUAAUUGUACCGUAAGGCUUUAUUGUAACAAUUUAGAAAGUUUGAACUUAAAAUUACAAUAAAUAAAAAUUUGAGAACCAAAAUACUCCGUGCCUCAUUGUUUGAGAACCAAAAGCAUAAUUUAAGCCUUCAAAAUAAUCUUAUCAAAAUUGUUUGAGUUCUCGUGAAGUCUUAAAGUCAAUAAAUAGAGUCCUAACAAUCACAUAAAUCAGUUUCUUAAUACAUUUGUCAGAACAGGAGAGUACCAAGUACUUUUUCAUCCUCAAAGCUCAAACUUGAAAAAUCUGUGUAAUGGAGAAUUUGGUGCCAAUAAAGUAUCAACAGUCAAGUGUCAGCACUGAAACAGGUAGCAGAUUUAUGCUUGCUGAUAAUGUAAGACAUGGUAGAGAGACUGGAAACUAAAAAGCCACUUGAAUUACACAACACAACAAAAUGUCCACAGCAAUAUGAUAUUCCAAGAGUUAAAAGAACACAAAAUAAGGGAAAUCUUAAGAGGUGCAUUCACAAUAAGUCAUUUUCCUAUUUCCCCUACUGUAACCCCUAACCACACACUACAACCCCAACCCCCCCCCCUAAAGACUAUUCCUCCAACCAACAAACUCCCCCCAUACUAAAACACAAAGCUGUAAGGAACCCUAAAAUUUAAGCAACCAACAUUCUUUCCCCCCCCCCCUUUUUUCAGGUCAUUUCCUCUUCUUAGAGGGUGGCUGGGGCAGCUCCUCAUCUUCUUCGUCGUCCUCAUCCUCCUCGUCCUCGUCCUCACCCUCCUCAUCAUCGUCAUCGUCGUCGUCAUCGUCGUCUUCUUCGUCGUCGUCGUCGUCGCUCCCCCCUUCGCCGUUGGCCUCAGGGUCAUCGUCGUCUUCACCUCCUUCAUUCUCGUUCCCCUCGUCACCCGAUUGCUCAUCCUCGCCCCCAUCAUCGUCCUGAUCCUCCCCAUCAUCGUCUUCCUCUUCAUCCUCGUCGUCGUCGUCGUCCGACUCGCCGUCGUCCUUGUUCUCGGGAACGGUUUCGCUUUUGCUUUUGCCUAGUAUCCUUCUAGAACAAUCAUGGUUUGAUUGUGAGAAUUGAACAAAUAUAAAAACUAACAUACAGCGUUUGGUUGUGAGACAGAUGAGAGAUAUGGCAAAAGAAAAGAGCGAGAGAGAAAAGGAAUUUACCUGUAAAUUACUUGUGGCUCUUCCGGACAAGGAACGACCUCACUCGGCAACGAUCCCAUCUGAAAGAAGUUGCAUAGUCGUGAGCAACUAAACAGUAAAAUAAACCGGAGGAAAAAUUAGCAAACUAUUGAUGACUAUAAUGCAAGAACUCUAAAAGAUCACAGUAUACUAACAGAGAAGAGGAACAACAAAGAAAGACAACAUUAUGCAAAUACUAUGAUAAAAGUUGAUAGCAGUACAGCUAGUUUAAAGGAGCAUGUAAAAAGAAAAAUCUAUAAGAGCAACAAACAAUGUUAUUAAAAUGUGGGAUAAUACGCUUAAAAGAAACAAUAAUCUGAAGCUGAAACAUAGAAUUUUAUUAAAAUUUUUUAAAAAAACAAGAUCUUAUAAAUUCAUAAUGCAUGAAAGAAAGAAAGAAAGGUGGAAACGAAAAGCAGGGUAAGAAAAGGAAACAAAACAAAUACAGAAAUAUGACGCCAAUGGUAAGUUCAAUAAUGCAGCUACAAUAUGUAUACCAUGCACGCUAAGCAUCUAGAAUAAAGGUCGCAAGAAUGUUAAGGGUUUAGAUAUUGGAUACGCAUAAAACUACAAGCCAUAAAGGUAGCUUGGCAAGAAGGCUUUUCAAAAAUUAACACACAAAACACGUGCGGGUGCGGGCGGGCGCAUGUUUAUCUGCAUAUGCACAUGCAUACAAACGCACGUGAGGAUGGAAGAAACCUCCUUCGCGUGCUACCUUUACGCUUUAACGCUUUUUGGCCCUUGAUGUUUACGUCGACCAUCAUGUUGAAUGCUGACUUGGACUGGUUAACGACAACGAAUCACAGUAUCAAACCAACAACGGUUUUUCAGAGGGAGGAAAGGCAAUGCAUGUCCAGAUGCGAAAAAAACCUGUAAGAAUAAUCGAUAACAACAGCAGGGAAAUCAUAAAAACGACGUCUUUUCACGGGCACUUAAUUUUCCACCCCAACUUAUUAUCUAAAAAUGAAAAUAGACAACAAAUUUGCAAAGAAUCCUUGAAGGAUUGCAAGUGCAAAUCUUGUAAUAUUUUUAUAAACACUAUAAGAUUUUUAUACUUCAGUGGGCAAAGUGUAAAUUGCUACAUUUUAGCCUUUUAAUAAAAAAUAUGUUUCUUUUCCCACUAAUUUCACAACCAAUUCCUAUAAGAUCCAAACUGGAUCUGAGGACAAAAUAUCAAUUUCAAAUAUAAGGCAUGCUAAAAUAGAUUGUAAAAACACUUCCAUAAAUUUUAAUCUCUACUGAAGAGAGGAAAUAAAAACACAAAAAAAAAAAAAAAUUCAAGCCAAACAUUGAAGGCAACAAAGAACAAUAAUGGAGAAAAAUUUACUACCAUUCAAAAUAAUUAAGAAACAUCACAGAUCUAAAACUUCAACAAAUGUCAUAUAAUUUGUUGAUUUAUUAAAGACAACAAACAGACUAAACUAUACCAAGUCCCAAACCCUCGUGCCCCAAAGUAUGGAAGUUCAAAUGCAUCAUAAUUUCGAAAAAAAAAAAUUAAAAUAACCUCAAACCCUAAACUAAAAUCCAACUAUUUUCUCAUACAUAAGCAACAAGGAUCUCAAAUCCCAUGCACUGAGCACCUUAUUAGACCCAAAAUUACCUCACCCAGAUCACAAAAUCAGAACUCUUAAGCACCAAAAAAAAAAAAAAAAAAACCUAAUUGUUACCCAAAUUCACAGCAAAAAAACGCAAAAAAAACCCAAAAAAUCGAGCUUUUCAGGGCGAGAAACAGGGAAAACCCUAGCGGGGGACGAAAAAGGAGAGGGAAACGCACCAGGAAUCGAUCGGAAGGGUAGAGAGAGAGAGAGAGGAGUGGGGGGGGCGAAGGAGCGGUGUCGCGAUCUCUACAGUGAGUGGGAGAGCGGUAGGGUUUGCGAAGCUCGGGCUAUAAAGAGGGGGGCGUUGAGAGGGUCGGGGUUAGGGUUGAAUUAGGGUUUUUGGGUGGUGUUAGGGUUUAGGGUUUGGGUGAGGAGGGGUCGGGUGCGGCGUGCGUGUGUGUGUGGUUUAAAUUUUGUGCGUGCGCGUUUGUAGGGUUGUCAACGCGCAGAACGCAAGUGAGCUGAGGCCGACUUGUUUCAUAAACACGUCGAUCUUAAACUGGCUCAUUAAAAUACUGAACCAAAAACUUCAGCUCAUAUUCAACUCAUUUAUUAACGAGCCGAGCUAGCUCACAAAUAAUAAAUUUUAUUUAUAUAUAUAUAUAUAUAUAUAGAGUGAGGCUACUAUGCUAUCGGAAACACGGAGCCUUCCGUGCUUCCAGCUCGUUUUCGAUGUUGCGACUUUCGAAUCGUCGAUCGGCUCCGUUAAACUUGAUCUAGAGUAUUUGGAGUACCUAGAAAAUAAAUUUUAUUAUUUUUCGAUAUCAUUUGCCUAGUGAUCGAAGGCACUCAAGAAUCAACAAAUUUCAAAUGGCCAUAGUGAGCCGUUUGCAAGUUUAACGUGUAGAAAUAUCCAAAUCAUGUGAAAUUUUGAUAGAAAAUCUUUUAUACUAUAUAAAACAAAAUCAAAUCUUUGAUUUAAAAUUUCAAUGUCAUAUUAUUACAUUUUGUAAGAUUUUUAUUUUCAGCCGUUGAUUUGAGCACUUCGUUCACUUAGGCAAAUGAUAUCGUAAAAUCAUAAAUUCAUUUUCUAGAUACUUCAAAUACUCUAGAUCAAGUUUAGAGACCGAUCGACGAUUCGAAAUCGCAAACAUCAAAACGAGCUGGAAGCACGGAAGGUUCCGUGCUUCCGAUAGAAUGAGUAGUCUCACUAUAUAUAUAUAUAUAUAUAAUAUAUAUAUAUAUAUAUAUAUAUAUAUAUAUGCUGGGCUACUAUACUCAUAUGAGUAUAGAGGCUCUUUGUACUCAUAACUUUUUGCCCGUUCAGAUAAAGAAUGUGCGGCCAGGAUGGAGUGAUUACAGUUAGAUUGAUAGUGGGCCCCCUAGGGUUAGUGGGUGGUUGGUUGAAUAGUAUAAUUUUAACGGGUAAAAAUGAUUAAAGGGUGGAUCAAACGGCCAAAAUUAUAGAGUACAAGAGCCUACUACUCAUAGAGUAUAUAGUAGCCGAACUCAUAUAUAUAUAUAUAUAUAUAUAUAUAUAUAUAUAUAUAUAUAUAUAUAUAUAUAUAUAUAUAUAGAUCUUGACUGCGGCUACUAUCGGUAGUAAACUGUUCGGUUUACUUACCGAUUUGAUUUUUUGAUGAUAGAGCUUCCAAAUCGACGAUCGGCACCGUUGAACUGAUCUAGACCCAUUUAAAUUAUCAAGAAAUCAAAAUUUCAUGAUUUUUCGGCAUCACUAACUGAACGAUCAAAGGGUCACAAAAAUAUAUAAUUUUAAGGGCCGAUAUGGUGCGUUGUGCUCGUUUAACGGUAUAGAAGAAUUCAAAUCAACUAAAUUUUUGUUAAAAAAUUCUUUAAACUAUUUCAAAUUAAGAUCUAGGUAUCUAGACUCUCAAAUAUAAAAAUUGUGAAUCCUCACUUUUUGAAGAUAUUUAUUUUCAGGCCAUUCAUUUUUUUGUUCACUUGAUGGACAAGAGAACAAUAUCGAAAAUGUGUGAAAUUUCAUUUCCAGAUAGUUUAAAUAGUUUAAAUCAUGUUUAACGUGCGAUCAUCAAUUGGAAGCUCUAUCAUCGAAAACAAAUCGGUAGUAAACCGAGCCAUUUACUACCGAUAGUAUUCUAGCCAAAACUAUAUAUAUAUAUAUAAUAUAUAUAUAUAAUUAGGCUAUAUAUAUAUCUAUAGUACCGAGCCGGUACUAUAGUGUUUGUUUUCGAUCUUACGGGUGUUCAAUAUACGACCACACCGUUAAAUAUGAUCUAGGGUGAAUUAUUGUGAGAAUAAAAUUUUAGUUUUUUCGAUAUCGUUUACUUAGAAAAUAAAUUAUAUCAAAAUAGACGUGGAAAUGAAUAAUCUUUAAAAAUUUGAGCAUAGGACCUUUUAAAUUCAAGAUCAAGAAUGUUAACCUUUAAUCUAUAUAGUUUAAAGUAUUUUCUAUCAAAAUUUAAAGAAAUUUAGAUUCUUCUACACCGUUAACUCUAAACUCGUCAUAAAGCCAUUGAAAAUUGAUCAAUUUUGAAAUAGUUUGAUCAUAAAGUAAACUAUAUCGAAAAAAUAUAAAAUUUUAUUUCUAAAAACUUUAAAUACCCUAGAUCAGUUUUAAUGGUGUGAUCGUUGAUUUGAACGCCCUAAGAUCGAAAACCAACACUAUAGUACCAGAGCUCGUACUAUAUAUAUAUAGAUAUAAUAAUAUAUAAUAGAUAAUAUUAAUAUAUAUAUAUAUACAUAUAUAUAUAUAGUAGGUCUUGUGUGCUAUUAGGAGCACGGAGGCCUCCGUGCUCCUAAGCCGUUUUCGAUUAUGGAGCUUCCAAAUCGACGAUCGGCUCCGUUACAUUUAAUCUAGUGUAUUUGAAGUAUCUAGAAAAUAAAUUGUUUGAUUUUUCAAUAUUAUUUACCUAGCGAUCGAAAGGAUUCAAAAUCAAAGGCUGAAAAUAAAAAUCUCAAAAAAAAUGGUGAUAUAGCGCUAAAUUUUCGAUCAGAGAUAUUGAUCUUGCAGUAAAUAGUACAAAGAAUUUUCUAUCAAAAUUUUAUCUGAUUUGAAUACUUCUACAUCGUUAAACUUGCAAAUGGUAUAUAUCAACCGUAAAAAAGUAUUGAUUUUGAACCCUUUUGAUCGCUAGGUAGAUGAUAUCGAAAAAUCGCAAAAUUUAUUUUCUAGAUAUUUCAAAUACGCUAGAUUAAGUCUAACGAAGCCGAUCGUCAAUUCGAAAACUCCAUCAUCAUAGGAGCACGGAGGGGUCCGUGCUCCUAAUAGCACACAAGACCUACUCUCUCUCUCUCUCUCUCUAUAUAUAUAUAUAGUCCGGCUGCUAUGUUAUUAAUAGUACCAAACAUUUGGUGCUAUCAAGUUUUCUGCCGUUAGAUUAACCUCUUUAAUUAUUUUUACCCGUUAAAUUAUACUAUUCAACCAACUACCCACUCAACCCUUGGGGACCCACAUCAUCAUAACCGCAUAUUUCUUAAUCCAAUGGCUAAAAAAUUAAUAGCACUAAUAACUUGGUGCUAUUGAUAGUAUUCCAGUCUAGUUCUAUAUAUAUAUAUAUAGGCCGUGGCUACUAUACUAUUAUGAGUAUUGGAGUCAUCGUACUCAUAAGUUGUUUUCAAUGAUGAAGCUUCCGAAUCGACGAUCCACGCCGUUGAAUAUGAUCUAGAGUAUUUGAAAAUUUUAGAAAAUAAAUUUCGUAAAUUUUCGAAAUCAUAAUAAAGUCCAUCAAGUGGGCAUAAAAUGAACAGUCAAAAUCGAACGACGUCCUUAAAAAGGAUGAUCGGAUCCUUCAAUUCAAGAUCAGAGUUAUUGAUCUUUAUCUAUAUAGUGAAUAUAAUUUUCUAUCAAAAAUUCAACAAAUUCCGAUUCUUUUACACCGUUAAACUAGCAAGUAUCCCAUACCGGCCGUUAAAAAUUGUCAAAUUUGUGACCUCUUGAUCGUAAGGUAAAUGAUGUCGAAAAAUUAUAAAAUUUGAUUUCUAGAAGUUUUAAAUGCUGUAAAUAAUGUUUAACGGUGUGGUUCGUCGAUUCGGAAGCUCUAUCAUCGAAAACAACUUAUGAGUACCAGGGCGAUCGUACUCAUAAUAGUAUAGUAGCCGAACCAUAUAUAUAUAUAUAUAUAUAUAUAUGAGUCUGGCUACUAUACUAUCGAUAGUACCAAGCCCUUGGUACUAUUGAGUUUUCUACCGUUAGAUCUACCUUUUAAUCAUUUCCACCCGUUAGAUUAUAUGAUUAAACCAACCACCCUCUCAACCCUAGGGGACCACUAUCAAUUUAACCGGGGACCACUAUCAUCCUAACCGCACAUCCUUUCAUCCAACGGUCGAAAACUCAAUAGUACUAAGGGCUUGGUACUAUUGAUAGUAUAGUAGCAUAAUUCUAUAUAUAUAUAUAUAUAUAAUUGAGCUCCUAUACUUUUAAAAGUACCAAGUCAUUGGUGCUUGUAAGUUUUUAGCCCUUGGAUUAAGGGAUGUGUGGUUAAGAUGAUGUGGGUCCCCUAGGGUUAAGUGGGUAGUUGGUUGAAUAGUAUAAUCUAAUGGGUGAAAAUAAUCAAAGGCGUAGAUCUAACGGUAAAAAAUUUACAAGUACUAAAUAUUUGGUACUUUUACAAGCACCAUAGUCGGACUCUAUAUAUAUAUAUAUAUAUAGAAUUAGGCUGGAAUACUAUUAAUAGUAAAACGCUCUUUUUGCUAUCAAGUUGAUGAUAUUAGUCGGUUAGAGUUGAGUGGUCCCUCUAGGGUUGAGUGUUCCCUACUGGGUUAUAGUAUUUAACUCAAUGGUUAGAAAUAAUGAAAAGAGUUGAUCCAAAGGCUAAAAAACUGGUAGCAACAAUGGGAUUUUGCUACUAAUGGUAGCCCAGUCCAACUCUCUCUCUCUCUCUCUCUCUCUCUCUCUCUCUCUCUCUCUAUAUAUAUAUAUAUAUAUAUAUAUAUAUAUAUAUAUAUAUAUAUGUGCGGCUACUAUACUCUUAUGAGUAUAAACCCCUUUAUACUUAUAAAUUUUCGGCCGUUAGAUCUAAUCCUUUGAUCAUUUUCUUCUGUUAAAUCAUACUAUUCAACCAACCACCUACUCAAUCCUAGGGGACCACUAUCAUCCUAAUCGAAGAUCGCUAUCAUCCUAACCACACAUUUCUUCAUCCAUCGGCUGAAAAUUUAUAAGUACGAAAGGGUCUAUACUCAUAAGAGUAUAGUAACCCUAGCCUAUAUAUAUAUGAUAUAGAUUUUCGAGAUCUUACCUAUUAAAUUUUGAUUUAAUGGUUGAAAUUUUAUAUGUAAAUAAACUUUUUUAGAAUUGAGUUGGGCUUAAUAUUUAGGUUGGACUAAAAAUCAAAUAACAAAAAUCUAUAUUAUGUAUAUAUAAUUAUUUAUUUAUAUAUAUAAAUAUAAAAUAUAUAUAUUCAAGCUGUUAUCGAGCAGAACACGAGCGAGUUAACCCUAGCUCGUGUUCGACUCGUUUACUAAACGAGCGAUUCGAUCUCGAAUUCAUUUCGAGCUGAACAUAAGCUGGCUCGCGAACAACGAGCUGGAUCGCCACCCCUACGUGUGUGUAUGUGCAAGACAAGUGGGUUUGUUUGAUUUGGGGAUUUGAUAUGGAGAGAUGUGAUUUAUUACUAUUAUUAUUAUUAUUUUUGAGAGAUAGAUAGCAUGCUACCCGCUUCAUUUAUUUCAUUUAGAAAUAAACUUAGCUGGAAAUGUGAGUCAAUUAGGAUUCAAACUUGGGAUCUCGGGUAUCAACUACCAAGUUCUUUGCCACUUGUGCUAGAGACGGUCAGUAUUAUUUUAUUAUUAUUAUUAUUAUAACACAUAAAAUGAGAAGAACCUAGGGCUUUCUCCUAGAAAAUUAUUUUUUAAAAAAAAUAGAUAAAAUAUUUAUUUUGGUUAUUAUCUAUAACUAUUAUACAUUCUUUUUUAUUUUUAAUGCAAAAAUAAUCAUGCUCAUCGGUACAAUAUGAGAUGGUUAUUAUGUGUCAAUUAUGUAGCUCAUGUUGAUAAAUCCGUACCAUCUAUGUUGUUCGUGUCGACAAAUAAAAUAUAAUGUGCAAGAUCAUUCAAAUUGAAGUAUGGUUAUCCAUCUAAUCCUCUAAAUUUUAUAUGUGUACAAGAUUAUUAUAAAGCAGGCAUAAAGAACUUUCUAUAUUUAAUAACUAUACAAAGGAAUUAAUGAAUGUUUACGCUCUCAUAAAAAUUUUUGAAGAAUAAUUCGCGGAAAAGAAUAUCAAGUUUUCAAUAGGCAAAAAAAAAAAAAUUAUGGGCAAUUGUGUUUGCUUAAAUGGUGCAAAAUGGCGCGCGAAAUGAUUACUUAGUUAAUUUUCUAUAUUGUUUAGGGUAUGUAUAGAUUCAUGUAGAACUACAAAAAAUAGUUUUCUGACGAAAAAAAUUUUCAGAUGAAAAUAAGCUUUUGUUUGGGUGGCAAAAAAAUGUUGGUGGGAAUUAUUGGUUGCUAAUUUUUGUUUUCCUUUAAUUACAUUUUUAUAAUAUAAUAUAUAUCAUUCUUAUUAAUCCAUAAAGGCUUAAUUAUACGCUACUAUAUUAUACAUUAUACAUACAUGUUUUCUCACUCGCUACACUAUAUCUUUUUUUAAAAAAAGUCAUAGCGCAACCAUCCCUUUUUAUUGGUCCCUCGGGUAGUAGUAGAGCAUAUAUUUGGCUCAAUUUGACACAAAAAUAAUAAAAUAUAUAAAAAUAACAAAAAAUUAUUAAAAAUAAUUUGAAAGAAAUUUUUAAUGAGUUUAUCAUGAAAAUUUAUUUGGUAUUUUUUCUACUAUUUAACGUGUGUCUUUUAAUAAAAAUGAUAUAUUUUGCAUAAAAUAAUAGAUUUAUUAACACUAAUAUAGAAAUUAGUAAGGAAAAAAAUAAUUCAAUGAUAUUUAUGAGAAAAAGUAGAGCAAGAUAAAAAUAUAAAUAAAUCUAAAAUACACUGUCAAUAUAAUUAUAUAAUAGUGUUUUUGAAAGAACAUAGUGUAAUAUAAUAAAUAAAAAUUGCACAAAAAUACAGUGUAGUAGGGUGUAGUUAAGUUAUCUAUAAUAUACAAUAGUAUAUAUGUUAUAAAUAAAAUUAUAAUAUAAUAUAUAUUGUUAUAGAUAAUUUAUAUUAUCAUAUAUGGUACUGGAGUCCGGCUACAAUGUUAUCAAUAGCGCCAAUCACUUGGUGCUAUCAAAUUUUAUGCCGUUAGAUCAACCCCUUUGAUCAUUUUUAUCCGUUAGAUCAUACUAUUCAACUAACCAUCCACGUAAUCAUGGUGGACUACUAUCAUUCUAACCAUACAUCGCUUCAUCCAAAGGCCGAAAACUUAAUAGCACUAAUGACUUGGUACUAUUAAUAAUAUUUUAGGCUAGUUCUAUAGUAUUGUAAUAUUAUAUUAUCUUAUACAUAAUGAAUAGGCUAAAUUACAGAAAACCCCCUUGUAAUAACCCGCUUUUUCACUUUCCUUUCCUGACAUUUAAAAACCUACACUUUGCCCCUCUGUAAAAUAAAAAAUGUGCACUUCACCCCCUACCGUUAGGGUUCCGUUAAAAAAUAUAUUUUUAUGCCGAAAAUACCCCUCCGCCAUCUCCCUGUUGCUUCGCCUCCCUCCGGCUCGCACCUCGCUGCCGCCUCGCCGCCUAGCCGCCUCGCCGUCCUCCACUACCGCGCCCUCACCUACAUCCCCUUCGCCGUCCUCCGCCGCCUCGCCUUCGCCUUCUUUGCCCUUCUCCUACUGUCGCCCACCUCGGUUUUCUCCUACUGUCGCCGAAAUCGAGAGCGGUUUUCUCCUACUGUCGCCGAAAUCGAGGGCGGCAAGGGUGCAGGAGGAGAAGGGGAGCAGGUGGAGAAGGAAAUGGAGAGAAAUCACAGCCGAUUGAGGUAGGAAUCGCGGCCGAACGAAGGGGCGGCUGAGGAAGAUAGGGAAGAAGACGACAAUGGCGAGGGACAAAAUGGUCAUUUUACACACCGUAACCCCCCUGUGAACAUUUUUCAUUUUACAGGGAGGUAAAGUGUAGGUUUUUAAAUGUCAGGGGGGAAAAGUGAAAAAGCGGAUUAUUAUAGGGGGGUUUUCUGUAAUUUAGCCUAAUGAAUAUUAUGUAUAUUAAAAACUAGGGUAAACUUCAAAUACCUACCCUCUGGUUUCACACUUUCUUAUUUUAGUACCCUGUGGUUUAAAGUGUAUCAUGUUAGCCCCUAUAGUUUCGCACUUUCUCACUUUAGUACACCGUGAUUUAAAGUGUUUCAAGUUACUACCUUGUGGUUUCAUUUUUUUUUUUUUUAUUAUCCAUUUCACUAAUUUUUUCGUUAAAUCAGUGAUAAAGUUAAAAUUAAAGGGUACUAAAGUGAAUAUUCGAUAAACCUAGGUAGGGUAUCUGAAGUUUUUUUGUAUAUAAUUUAACGAAAUAUUAACGAAAGAAAAAAAAAAUCAGCGAUAAAGUUAAAACUAAAGGGUACUAAAGUAAAUAUUCGAUAAGCUUAGGUAGGGUAUCUAAAGUUUUUUGUAUAUAAUUUAACGAAAUAUUAACGAAAGAAAAAAAAUUAGCGAUAAAGUUAAAACUAAAGGGUACCAAAGUAAAUAUUCGAUAAACUUAGGUAGGGUAUCUGAAGUUUUUUGUAUAUAAUUUAACGAAAUAUUAACAGAGAAGCCGACGAAAAGAAUAAAAUGAAACCACUUGAUACUAAAUUGAUGCACUUUAAACCACAUGGUACUAAAAUGAGAAAGUGCGAAACCACAUGGUACUAAAUUGAUACACUUUAAAUAACAGAAUACUAAAGUGAAAAAGUGCGAAAUUACAGAGCUGAUAUUUGAAGUUUUGUCACGCCCCGGGGUCCCUUUUAGUUUAAAAGGUAGCGGAAAAGCGUCUGAAAAUUUUUUUUUUUUGAAAAUCUGACCCCAGAGUGUGCCAGAUCCGCCACAAAUACAGGAGCUCCACUGUUCACACGGACAGAGUCUCCCCUGUAUUUGCACGGCGUCGCACAAGUACAACAGAGUAUAAGUACACACACAACCACAACCAGAUGAACAACAAGAUAGAUAACAUUCAUCCAUUCCAUUCACACACACAGAUAUGAGACUUGAAUAUGAAUAACAUUCCACAUCUAUCAGUUAAAAAUGUUUCCUACCUGGAAACUGAUUUUGAAAUACUAAAUCCAUAAAUCCACAGAGAAAUCAACUUGAAAACUGAUCCCUACACGGGAACCAUUCUUUUUCAAGACCAGCUACCACGAGGGGUAGAAAACUGUUUUAUAUUCCAGAAAACUCCAAUCCUUACGUACCUUUUCAGAAACCGAAAUUGAAACCCAGAUAGUCAUAAUAAAAUAGAAAACUGAACCAUAAUAUUGUCUAAGUAUUAUUCAAGCAUGAAGGGUAAAAGGAAUAACCGCUCGGGAAGGAGCUCUAUCGCACGGCUAGACAGCUCCGUCACCAGCUGUCCACUCGGACCUGCUACGUCACCUGUAAUGGGGGCGGGUGAGAGAACAUGUAAACAAUGUCUCCCCUCCAAGUGGGUACGCCAAGUCGUAGAGGGCGAGGGGUACUCACUAGUCACGGGAAACUAGAUAGAUAUAAAUGUUGAUAAAGUAAAUUUAAUGCUGAAAGUAAGGACUGACAAGUAUAGAUGCAGGUAAGUAAAACAGUAGCUACAAUAAACAGAUAAGGAUUGCUGGAAAUAAACACUACAGCUACUGUAUGCAUGCGUCAUGACGAAAAGCUCAAAGUCCCCAAUCUCGCUGCCCUAUUGGUCGUAUGACCUCAGGCUCAUGCCACACUGCAACUGUAUCUGACCCUCGCAAUGAAGCCCUGGGUCAGAAGCAUAUACCCCUCGCAAUGAAGCCCUUGGCUCACGGUUGCAAUCCAACCACUUUUCCCGGAAAAGAAACACCCUCUUGCGGUGGAGUUCAGACCGCUGGUGUUCGUGAAAUGCGUACCUGUAGUGGCGAUCAUGUAGUGCUCAAAGAUCAUCCGUCGGCAACUAGCCGACAAUCCAGGCCCUCCAGGCACACCGGCCGUAUAGGCCAUCAGCAACUAAUCGGCUAGUAAGCCAAGAUGGAACUGUAGCAACUCGACCGAACAGGUCAUGAGGUAUCACAAUAGGGGGAACGCCCCAACCAAAUCACUGAUAGUGAAUAGAUAGAAAAAAUCAACUCUAGCUCUAAGCAUGUAGUCAACAUGAAAAUAACUGAGUAGAGAUGUAGAUAUAAAUACAGAUGCAAGGCUCAAUAUACUAUAAGAUAUGAGUAAACAGUAGGGGGAAGAAACGUCACCCGAGCGUGCACCACGUAACCGACUACGGGUCGAAGUACCCACUGUAUGUAUCUGACGAAGGUCUUCGACUGUGAAGACGGUGCAAACCGAACCUAACGAAAGGCUACGGGUUAAGGUCUAACCGCACUGACAUGAAAAGCUAACUCACAACCCCUGCUAACAAAACCACGACCGGUUUCCAAACGAUACCAAAUAAGCCGAGUCACGAAAACUGCACCGGAACUUUCUCGUCGCUCCUACCCGUCGUUUCGAACCCUCAAAACGACGGCGGGUGACCAGCCCAACCAGGCUCAGCGACGCCAUAAUCAUCUCACAGGAGGCACCGUCGGAUGAAAUCCGAACCGAAACGCGUUCUAUCGGCAGAUUUCGCCGAAAACGCCUCGGAAAUCACUUCCGAUUUCCGCAAAGGCUUGGGGCCUUGGACCGAUUCAGUCCAGAGGUUACCGCCUCAGCAUUACACGGCUGUCACGCAUCUACAACGAAGCAAAAGCUAAAAGCCGAUACCGAUACAUGAAAUGAUCAUUUCACUGUGAUCUAGCUUUCUGGACCGUGCACGCAAACCGAAGUCGAUUAUCCGACCGUCUACUGCUGACAGGUUUCAGCAUGUCGGAGCCGUGCUCACUUUGGAGCACUGCCGCCACUGCGGUGCGCGCACGAGCGACGCGAAGUACUGAAAAACUGCACGCAACAGCGCGCAAGAUCGGCGACUAACUACAACCAGGGCAUCUUCGCCGUUGUUGGAGGUGAGCAGAUGUUCAGCACGAGUUGUAAGAUCAUCAUGCCACUUCCGAGACUUAGAAGGCUUCUCGAUUCACCGAAAAGACGCGAAGCCUCGGAAAAACAGUGCUGGAACAUAAAAUGUCCUUACCCAGACCCGAGAGAGCUAGGGUUGGUCGCAGGCCGCCGGGAGGCGGGCGUCCGGCCGAGGAGGAGCACUCGUCCAGGAGGUCGGGAGGGUGCUUGGCCGGCGGCGGGAAGCAACCGUGGCGGCGGCGGCCGAGAUCCACCCUGCACACCUCCUCUCGCGUUGGGCUUCCCGGCGGCGUGGCGGGGCCUGAGGAGUCGCGGCGACUCUGUGCGGCGCCGGAGCACGAGGGGAGGACGUGCAGCACCUAAGUGGGCUGCGCAGCGCCUGAAACCAGAGCGGGCCCGACCUCGGCCGCACGUGACUGGCGGCCACAGAAAGCUCCAGCGGCGGCCGGCGGCUGCCGGGACGGCGGGGACGCGCGCGCCGGGUUGCCGAAGGUCGCCGGGGCCGACUGGGGGCCGCGGCCGAAACGAGCGAGGGCGCUGCUUCCCGGGGGAGCCGCUCGUCUGGGCUGACCCGAGCUGCUGCAGGGAGCGGGUGUGGCUCCGGCGGCGUCGAGCGGUGCCGGGGCCGGCGGGCGAGGACGCCGGAGGAGGGCUCGCAGGGAGGGGAAGCCGGCUUAGAUGCCCUCCGAGCACAAUACACGAAAUGUGGCAGUCAGGGGCUAGGGGAGAGCUAAGAGGUGGCCGGGUGACUUCUCCGGCGGCCGGAGCACCUGCCGGCCGGCCAGGGCCGAGCCACGGAGCUGGGCAAGGAGAAGGUAGGGUGGUUAGGGCAGGCUGGGAAAAAUUAGGGUUAGGGUUCCUUAGCCGAACCUAAAACUCAUUUAUAUCAACAUGACUAAUUGUCGAAACCCCUCCUAGUCCAAUACCCUUUUUACCAAGCCCCUGGCAACAUGUGGAAAAUCCGCAUAGUCCCUCGACAUUCGAAUUCGGCGCAAGAUCGCGCAUAAAAUAUUGGACUUUUCGCGAGAUUAAUCGUUUGCACUUGACCUCUUAGCGGACUUUUCACGGAUUCCCGAAGAUCCGUCCGUCGGAUUUCGAACGGAUUGCGCCAGGCGAUCAGCACGACUGGGCAUCGAAUCUAGCAUUCUGUUUCGUCUGAAAAGGCUCCGAUUUGCGACAAACCCACCCUCACUGGUUCAUCAAACCACAUAUAGGUAUAAUCAUAUGUAAAAACCAUUAAACCCCUUUUCUCGACACACCAUGCAUCAGAACCCAAUUCCGUCAGCGCCAAUGGUUCGCAGUAUAGUCGAGAGUUCGAAACAAGUAUUGGAAGCUAUAUCAGGUCGAUACGCGUCGAAAGUCCACUCUACUCCGCGGCCUCUCCGGAAAAUCGGAGUCUAUCAUCACUUAAGUGAACUUCCGGGUCGCCGUAACACUCUCCGUUUUAACUCGUUUUCUCCUGAAAUUUGACGAGUACACUUAUAAUUAUUUACACACAAGAACAUCGUCAAACAAAAGGGUUCAAUCAAUAAAUGAAAAUCUCAGUUAUUACAAGUUUGCCUUAAAAGACUAUACCAUGAAUACAUCUAUCUAUCUAUCUCUAACUACAUUAAAGGAGGGUUUGGGGACCACGGUGACACGUGUCCCCCAAACCCCCUUCUCUCUCCCCGCUAUAUAUAUAUAUAUAUAUAUAUAUAUAUAUAUAUAUAUAUAUAUAUAUAUAUAUAUAUAUAUUAAGUUUUAAAUUUUUAUAUCAAAUAUAAAAUUUUGAUACUUCCAAAUCUUUACAGUUUAAAUUUCUAAUUUUAUAUUUUUUAUUUAAAUUUUAAAUUUCAAUUUUUACUUAUAAUAUUUAUUUCUAAAUUUUAAGCUUUUUAAACUUCAAAAUUUUAAAGUUUUAAUUUUCUAAUUUUAUAUUUUAUAUUUAAAUUUUAAAUUUUAUUUUUUACUUAUAUUAUUUAUUUCUAAAUUUUAAGCUUCAAAGUUUAAAAUUUUAAAUCUCUAAACUCUAUGAAAUUAAUUAAUUAAUUAAAUUUAUUAAUAAUUAGUUUUAUACAAUAUAAUUAAUUAAUUUUAUUAAAAAUACACAUAAUAAAUCGCAUAAUAAAAUCUAAUUUGAUAGAUGAAAUUUAAAUCACAUAAAAUUUCAUUGUAUAAAAAAAAUACGGAAUUUAAGUUUCAGGAGUAAAAUUUUAAAAAUAUAGUGUAUGUGUGUAUAUAUAAUUAAUUUUAUUAAACAAAAUCUUUUACAAUUUUAUUUUCCUUCUAUUUAUUGGUUUUUUUAAAAUUAUUUUGGUAGAUUUAUCUCAAAUCCUUUUCAUAUAAUUUUUUAUAAAAUAAACUAUUGUAAAAAUUUACUUUGCGCAUAUACCAAUUUUAAUGACUUUUAUUUAAAUAGAUUUAACUAUUAAAUUAUUUUUAUAUAACUUUUAUUUAAUUAAUAAUUAGAUUUAUAAAACUAUAUAAAAAUAUUAAAAAAACUAAAAUUUAUGAUAAAAAUAUUUUUAUAUCCGCAGCAUCGCGCGGGUAUUUUACUAGUAUACAUGAACCCAGUGCACCCAUGGGUAAUUUCUCACACUUUCUUUAAUUUAAAAAUCCAAAUUUAAAAAUCCAAAAUUUGUUAUUGUGGACCAUGCCAUUUUUUCUUUUGGGUUGGGAAUUAUAAUUGAAAAAAGAAAAAACAAAAGAUGCAUAAGAAAAAAUGGGAGGUUAUGGAAUAUGGAGAAUAUAUGGAAAAAAAUUCAUAUUUUUCAAAAAACAUAGGCUUAUGAGAUUUUUAUAUUUUUCAAUAAGAGAGAUAAUAUUUUCUUAUUUUUCAUAAAAAUAAAGUAAUGUACAAUGUGAAGGUUCAGCUCUUCUUUUUCUCUUUCUAGCCCAUUCCACAUUUCCACCAACCUUUUGCUCUUCAGUGUUUUUCUUUGCUCUUAUCUUUUGACUACAUUUUGGCUCAGCAUCUGACCAAAAAUCGAUUAAUAAAUUUAGAGUUUUGUUUAAUUUUACUGAUCAUGUUCUACGAUACUAUCUUCUAUAUAUAAUUUUUUAAUACGUUCUACUCCACAAUCAUCUAGAUUUUUGUCUCUCACUUGCUCCGAUCUUUCGCUAUAUCUUUCGUGCUGUAGCUUGGUGGACUCGAAGAGAGAAAUGUUUUGCUGUGAGUUGAAGGACGAAAGUUAGAUUAGAUAUGCAGAGAUUGCUUUCAUCUAUAUUAUUCCCUAUAUUUUACUAUAGGGUUAAUUGUAUAUAGAUCCCCGCAAACAUAGUGAAUUGCAUAUAUAUUUCUGUAAAGUUCAACUUUUAUAAGUUAUUCCUAUAAAAAUCCUAAUGUUUUCAGAUAUGUUCCUCUGGUUUGUUACCAUUAGAUAACCAUUAGAAAACUGUUUAUAUUUUUAAUUUUGUCAUUACAAACAUAUCCCUCCAAAAAUUAUAACAGUAUAUUAUAAGAGGGGUAAAACUGUCAAAAAUUAGUAUUUAACCUAUGGUUAACUAAACUUUUCUAACGGAUUCUAACAGUAGGAACAUAUCUGAAAAUAUUAAAACUUUUAUAGAAAUAAGUUAUGAAAAUUGAACUUUACAUGAAUAUAACUGUAAUUUAUUAUAUUUUUUUGCAAAAAUUUGUAUGCAAUUGACUCUUUUUUCUAUAUUAUGAGCUUAAUUAAUUUCUAAGUCGAUGAUUGAGUUAGGGACCGAUUCACAUAUUUUUCUUUUUCCUCUGUUAUUUUUAUAUUUGCCUUUUCUUUAAUUUUGAGAAUUUUUACAUAUUUUUCUUUUUUUCUUGAUAUGGGAAUGUACUUAUUUUAUUCACAAAAUCCUAUAAUAUGAGGGGCAUUAUAGUCCAAAAAAAUUAUGUACUUUCCUUCCCAUCCUUGACGUGGCUUAAUUUUUUGAAAAUGAUAUGAUUAUCUUGAACCAUCCUCAAAAGUAAAAUUGUGUGGAGACCCUUCAACCUCAUGCAAAUUUGAAAUUGUCUCUCAACUUUUAUUUUUUCAUUGACAUCCCUUAACUUAUAAUAUUUUAAAAAUUAAGUAGUUUUAAUAAAUAAAAUUGCAAACACCAAAUUUAUUGAUAAUUUCAUCAAAUUUAAUAACUAUAUUAUUGUUUUAGCAAAUAAGUAACUAUGUACAAUGUCUUAUUUCGUCAAAAGGGGUGCCCAUCAACAAAUACGUUAUGUGGUUAUAGUGUCAAGUGCCAGACAAUCCUUAAUCAACAUUUUGGAGUCCCAGCAAAUUUUUAUCCCAAUCCCAAGGUGGUCAUUUAGGAUUGCCUCCCGAUAGGCACCGCAGCCACGUGGCGCUUAUCCAUACAUGCACCCACUAUUUCUCAUUAUUAAGAAAGCAGUGGGUACUAUUAGGUGAAUCAAAUGCGUGCAUCAUAUAAUAAAAAAAAUUUUAUUUAAUUUUGUAGAGUUUAGAUUAAGAAUUUAGGGUUUUAGAAUUAUGCUGUAAAAAAUUAAAAUAAAUUUUAAAAUUUUAAAUCCUAAAUCCUAAACCCUAGAAACUACAAGUCCAAAUCCUAAGCCCUGAAAUCUUUAAAACUUUAAAUGCCAAAACCCUGAAAAGUUAAAAUAAAAAUUUAUGAGUACACAGUGCACCCUUAGGCAAGUGCAUCGUGAUAAUUUCCAGUGUUUUUUUCAAUUAUAAGGAAAAAAAUAUUUCUUUGGGAGGCAACUUCAAGAUGUCCAUUUGGGUUAGGGAUACAAAUGGAUCCGGGUUGGUGGAGCUCUCGCCUUAAUCCUACUGAAUGGAGCGGUAAGUGGGAACAAAAAAUAUAAAAAAAAUAUAACCCAUUCCGAAACUGCCCCGAUCUGCCAAGUAAAUGGAGCGGGAGGUGGGAGGUCCUUUUCUUCCUUCAAUCUGUCCCGAUCCGUCAAAAAUCUACUAAAAAUUCGCUCCUACCCCGAUUCAUCUUAAAUAGGGCGAUAAGUGGGAGCCAAAAAUAAAAUAAAAAAUAACCCGCCCCAAAUCCGUCCUAUUCUGACAAGAAAUGGAGCGGAAGAUGGAGAACACUCCAGCCCUCGGAUCCGCCCCAUUUGCAUCCCUAAUUUGGAGUUGCCUCCUCAAUAGGCACCACAUGGCACUGCAGUGAUGCGACGUCCAUCUACGAAGUUGCAAUUAAGGUUUUGUAUAUAGUUUACUUAUUUGCUAAAAAAUAAAUAAAGUUAUUAAAUUUGACUAAAUCAUUAAUAACUUUUAUAUUUAUUUUAAGUUUUAUUCACUAAAAUAUGUAAUUUUUAAAACGUUAAAAGUUGAGGGAUGCCAAUGAAAAAACAAAAAUUGAGAAAGUUAAGGGAUGUCAAUUAAAAAAAUAAAAGUUGAGGGGCCAUCUGAAAUUAGCAUAUGGCUGAGAGGUGUCCACACAAUUUGUUUUCUAAAUAUUAGUCCCUGUCUAACUAUUUAAUAACUAGAGUAAAGAUAACAUCAAC